UCCUGAAUGCCGUUGGUGGUCAAAGUGUCCCAUUUUAUAAGGGUUUGGGGAUUUAAGUGUCCCAUUUUAUAAGUUUAGGGACUUAAGUGGGAGGUAUUUAUAAGUUUAGGGACUUAAGUGUCCUAUUUUGAAGUUUAGGGAUUGAAAUGGGUAAUCGUCCAAAGUUUGGGGGGUCAAAGUAGAAUUAACCCUUUUAUAAAUAAGUGGGGGAAGGAUUAACCUCUUCAUGCCAGUAAUGAAGGCCGGCGAAAAAAAAACUUAAUUGGAAUUAAGUGAACCCCAUAAAAAUGUGGAUGGAAAAUAUAAAAAAAAAAAAAGAUUGUCGAUGAUGACAAUUAAUUUUACCUUUCUUCCAUGCCAGGAUAGACCUAUUGUAGACUAGAGCUUGUCUAAUCUAGUGAAAGAGCCUGAAUACAGAUGAAGGCAAUCAAGGGCAAAGCAAUCAAGAUCAUUUGAAAGUUGUUCUAUUUCAAAUGAACAAGAUGCUUUCUUUCUUUCUUUCUUUCUUUCUUUCUUUUUUUUUUUUUGUCAAACUAUGAAGUACCGCCCACUUUCUGUAUACAGCGACAUACCCAUAAGAAGUCUUUUGUAGUGUUGUGACAAAUCCAGGCCUCUACCAUAAAGAAAUCAAGAAUUGCAACUCCUCCUUUCCAAUACCUCAUCCAGGAGUUCGUAUAUUUCUUGCGGAUUUAGGGAAUUCUUUUCUUUUGCUCAUAUUCCCUCUCAAAUGGCUUUGAUAGGAGGAGUUUCUACUUCUUACCUGUUCACUUUUACUUGAAUCGUUUCAUUCAAAAUCGUAUAACAACUCUGCUCGAUAUGCCACUCAUGCACCUCACAGAAAAUGUAAAGAAACACACAACCUUAUGAUAAGUUCCAUAAUUUUUCAUAUGGAAAGCAGUACAAGCUUUCAAUAUUACAGAGUCAUACAUUAUUCACUGGAGAGAUAGAGCAUACAUGGCUCCUUAUUGUGCUUGCUUAAAACUGAAAUUAAGUAGAGGUAACGGACUUGAGAAUAUCUUCAUUUUUCUUACUGAAGUACACCACGAAAGGCUGACCACCUAAAGCCAGUCGCCUGGUUCCAUCGUCAUCAUAAUAGAUGCCAACAUCUUUGCAAAUCGCUUCAGAACUGGAGUCACAAACUGCGGGACAGAAAACAAGCUUGUAAAAAGGGUUGAUCCCUUCAAUCUUAAACCAAUUGGCCUCGGUCUCACAUCCUGAGUUCCCUUCAACUCCGUCAGUCAGUACAAAGUGUUGUUCGAGUGCCUCGUUGAAAUGAACCUUCCACACAUUUGAUCCACGACAAAAAUUAAUAAAUGGUGAGAACUUGAUGUUUAAAUCAGUGGAAACACGAAUCACGCCUUCUUCCGGGUUCACCGGUGUAAAAGUUACUGGAUGGCCUCGAUUGAGAUCUGACAGCGCCUGAACAACUGCCAGAGGGCAAAUUUCAUUGUCUGGGCCCUUGCCAUAAGUUAAACCGCCGCCACCGCCACCAAAGAUGGCGGACACGACGUGGUACUCGACACCGGGGCGGAUUUCCUCCCCGUUGAUGUCGAGCACUGGAUUAGGCUCUUCAGUAGCAAAAGAAAGGAAAGAGUUGAAGAGUAGAAAUGAAAGGAAGAGUAGUAAUUUCUUCAUUGUGAGCGGCAAGGUGUGUACGAAGUCUAGGAAGUAUUCAGUGCAAUUGUGCUGAUGUCGAGCUAUGUUACUCGCUUUAUAUAGCUGAAUGAAUUCAGAGGUGAUGAUAAAGUUUUGUUUCGAACUACUGUGGUCCACCGUUACACGUGUGCUUGUACCGUUCAAUUGAUCUUGUAACUGCAUUUUUUCAUGGCAUUCAAACCGUUAGCGUCCAUUCGAUUCGAUGAAAUAUUGGUUUAUGAAGAAAUUUUCUGGAAAAUGCUUUACAUGAAGAAGAUUUAUUCUUGACAUCUUCUUGUGCUUGGUGUCAUUAAAUAUUUUUAAAAUUGAUCUCUAAAUUUGUAAUUUGAAGGGAAAAUAUUGUGAAUGGUGAAUGGUAAAUGGUGAAUUGGUAAGUAUUCAUUCAAUCAAAUAUAUACUACACUUAACUACAAGAUUACCAAAUUAUCUUUAUUUCAUACAAACACUAGCUAUUGGCCAAAUCUACCUAGACUAUUAGGUUUUUUUUUUCCAAUUAGAUUUUGUAUGUUUUUGUGUACAAUUGCCGAAUAACUAUUAGUUUGGAAAGUAAAGUACAUCUUGUGCUUCAGUGAUUUCUUUUGGUCGCUAUUGUUUUCGUUAUAUAUUUUCUUACUUUAAUUCUCAAUUUAGCAAUUUGUAUUGAGCGCUAUUUCAAUUUUCUAUCGUAUGAAAAAUUAAGUUCAGCCUUUAAAAUGAAUUUUCAAUGUAAGUUAGAAAACCUGGUAAGCUGAUGUCUUAAAUCCUCAACGAUAUUAAAUUUAUUAUUUCGUAAAAAUGAUAAUUAAGUGUUCACUUCUAAAUUUUAUUCCAAGGUUAUUGUUAAUUUUAGAAAAAUUAAUUUUGAAUCAAAAAAAUUUCUUUUAAAUAGGAAAAAGCUUUUAUUUUCUUUCUCUAAGAAAGAAAAAGCUAAGUGAGAAAAAUUUACCCCAUGAGAGCUUUAAAUGUAAAAUUAUAAGCCACAAAAGUUGGUUAAACAUUUAUGAACCUCAGGAGCUCAUUAAGCGUUUAUGAGCACGUGCUUGUUGUCAAAUGUCAAUUGUUAUUUAAUUACGAGAGGGCCAGCUGCGUUGUAAUAUAGGGACAGGUGUAAGGAUGGCAACGGGGGGACCUCAUUAAGCGUUUAUGAGCACGUGCUUGUUUUCAAAUGUCAAUUGUUAUUUUAUUACGAGAGGGCCAGCUUCGUUGUAAUAUAGGGACAGGUAUAAGGAUGGCAACGAGCUGCCCCCGCCCAUUCCCCCGUCCCCUGCUCCCCCCCCCCACCCCCGGCCCCUCGCAUUGUUUCUAGGUGCGGGCUAAUAAAAAUUUGUUAUUUAAUUUUAUUAUUAUUAAAUUUUAGUAAAUAAUUAAGUACUAAAAUAUUAACAUAUUACCAAAUUAUUAUUCAUUGUAAUUUCACAAUUGAAACUUAUAAAAACAAUCAAAUAAAAGUUAUUUGAAUACAAUACAACAUGAUGAAAUAAAUAUAACUAAAGUAGUCAACUUUUCACUUUUGACACAAAUACAAUUACUAAUUUAUUAUUGUGCUUGUGCCUUUUUUUGAGAAAAAAAUGUUAUUGUAUUAAGCAUAAUUAGGGAUUUAAUAUAAAUGUAUUAGGAAUAUAAAUUCAUUACCAAAUUAUUAUUCAUUGUAAUUUUACAAUUGAAACUUAUAAAAACAAUCAAACAAAAGUUAUUUGUAUACAAUCCAAUAUGAUGAAAUAAAUAUAACUAAAGUAGUCAACUUUUCACUUUUGACACAAAUACAAUCACUAAUGCAUUAUUGUGCUUGUGCUUUUUUGAGAAAAAAAUGUUAUUGUAUUAAGUAUAAUUAGGGAUUUAAUAUAAAUGUAUUAGAAAAUUUAGUAUAACCAAUUAAUAAUUUGUAUUAGUAUACAUAUAUAAUUAUUAGUAUAAUUGAUAAUAUUAAUUAUAUUACAUAUACUAAUAUACAUUAUAUAAUACAUAUAACUAAUAAUAUCAUUAUCAUAAAUUUGUAACUAAUUAAAUUAUAUAUUAUAUAUGCAAUUAUAUGCAUAUAUAUUUUAUAUAUUUAUUUUUUUAAAGCAGGUGGCGAGGUGGGGGUACACUCUCCCCCCCCCUGCCCCGUUUCUCAGCGGGGGGAAAAAUUUCCCCAGCCCCCACCUAACCCCCACCCCAUUAGCACCCCACGGGGCACCCAUUGCCAUCUUUAGAUAGGUGGUAUACUUUCAAUUGCAUCCGAUCCUCGGCCCUUAAGAAGCCCCAUUACCAGAUCUCACCCUAAAUAUUUGAUAUCUGUAAUAAAUUUGACAUCAGCAAACAAAUUUUUUUUUUCAUAAUAGGAGUAGUGAUUUUUUAGAAUUCUAAGUCAAGUAAAUCACAGUUAUUUGAGAGUGAUUUUCUGGAAUUCUAAAUCAAUAACAGAUAUUCAAAUUUAAAAAAGGGUGUAAACAGUGAUGGAAAACAUCAGAUGCUGCUGAGAGGGUUGAGAAUAAUUCUAAUUAUAGAUUUAUAGUUUAUAGAUUUUUGUUUGAUGUGAUUUGUCAUUGGUUGAGUUAUUGAUAGAGUGACUGGUUUCGUAAUAUUCAAGAGGAAGGAAUAACCAAAUUGAUUUCGGGAUAGGAUUGGAUUAAUAAAAUUAUGUGAGUUAUUUCUGAUGUCAAAUUUUUAGAAUGAAAUAUGACAAGGGAACUGAUGAUCGGAUACGAUUUUCAAUGGGAUCGGAACAAACUUUCAUAUCAAUCAGAUGUGCUUUUGUUUCUACUUAUAUAUUUUUGUAUCUGAUGCAGUCUUUACAUCCACGGCAAAUUCAAGCGCGUGAUUAUGCGAGACAAAAUUGUCCCUUUCGGGCAAUUAUUUGAUAAACCAAGAGGUGCAAGUUAUGCCACGUUUUCCUGGUACCAAUCCCCCCUCAAAUCACUGUACUGCCUCCAGGCUCUGGACUGCCACGGACCUCGGGCAGGAACGAUUGCACGGGCAAUCGUUUCUAAUGAUUUUGUGCAUUUUAUACAUCGCGUAAUUUUAUUUACACAAGGCGUAAUUUUGUUUGCACAACGUGUAAUUUUAGAAUAAAUUUUUGUGGAUCCUACACAUAUUUUUAAAAACUAGGUAUAAGAAAUGAUCUGAACAGUAUAAUUUUUUGGGGUCAAAUCUUAGCUGUGAACAGCUCAGGAGCGGUCCAUCUGAUGACCGCUCCUGCCCCUCAUUCGGACUCCCACCAUCCCUUAUCAACUCCGAAUCCUACUUCCUACCCUUUAUGCGGAUAUGGGGCAGGACCAGUCAUCAGAAGGACCGUCCCAGAUCAGUUCACGGUCCAGAUUUGAUAAAAAAAAAUUGUACGAUUUAAAUUUCAUCUUAUAUCUCAAUUUUAAUAAUAUGUGUGAGAUUUAUAAAAUUUUGUUCUAAAAUUACACGUUAUUGAAAAUAAGUUACACCAUGUGCAAACAAAAUUACGCGCUAUGCAAAAUGCACAUAACUACUAGAAUGGUUGCACCUGCAACCGUUCCUGCCCAUGUCCCCUUCAUGUAUACCCCAAUCAUCACCACUCCUUCCUUAUCUGCUCCUUCCCCAAAAGUCACUGCUCCCUUCGUACCCCAAUCAUCAUCACCAUAUUAUCCACACCUUAUUUCCUCUAUCUUCCCUCCCCAAAAAUUGUGACCGCUCCCUUCCUUCUCUGUGCCUCCAUAGACACCUACUCUUGAAAUCUUUCUCCAUUUUUAUAAGAAAAAGUUUACGUGGAUUCGAUUUGAUCGCUUACAAAUCGUUCACUAAUGUAACUCUUACAUCAAUAGCAAUUUUCAAACAAGCACCUUUCACUAUAAAUGUGGACUGUCAUUGUCAACUGACCCAACUUGUGUUGGUGAGAUCCUUCUCCGUUGGAACCACUGCCACUCUCCUUCUUCAUGAUUUCUUUCCCUCUAUCAUUUCCUAAGAUGCUUUAAGGUUAUAUAUAUAUAUAUAUAUUGUUUUGGGGUUAAGCUCAUAAUUACUGAACCCCAAAUAUAUAUAUCCAAAAUAAUAAACCAAAUCCAAGCAGAAAUUACCAAAAAAGAAAACUGAAGAUGUGGGGAGGGGGUUUUGGGAAAUCUUACAAGUGUGGGAUGGAAUUUGGGUAAGAAAGGCAAAAGAAACCUGAUCUUGAAAAUCGUUGCUUAUUAGAUUUUGAUUUGUUCUCGUAUGUAUUUCAAAAGAGAAAUUUAACAAGAUUUGGAAAAUAAGAAGAAGAAGAAGAUGAUGAAUGAGAGACAUGGGUGUGCAGAGCGUUGCAAAGUGAAGCAAAGACUUAUGCUGAAUGUUUUUACUUUUCUGUGAGUUUUGAUGAUAUGGCAAUUUCAUCGUUACCUAAGUGGCCCGUAGACCAAGUCUACACAAGUUGUUGCCAUCUAUCCUCAGCCAGCUAACUUGUGUGAUCGCGUCCGCAUUAGAUUGAUGCGCGAGGACCAAUUUCAUAUAUACAAAUAAUUUCUUUUGAAUCUACAAAAUGAUAGAAACCACAAGUUACGUUGUACAUGAGUAAUAAUUUCUUUUGAAAACUGUCACUAAAACUAGUUUUCAGUGGCACUUUUUAUGUUCUUUUUGGGUUUUUUUAUUAUGGUUUAGAAAACAAAUUUUGAGAUUUUUAUUACAAAAUUAAUUAUUUUUAAUUGUUGAAGAUUUCAUUGUCUAGUGGAUAAGUUUUUUUUUUUAAUUUUAAUUAGAGAUCUUAGGUUCAAAUCCCCUAUUCCCCUCCAUACUUCUUAAAUCACACCUCUCUUGCAAGAAAAUUAUUUUUUUAAAACAAAAAUAAUUCAUGUUCUUAAUAGCUAAUAGAGUACAGGAUGAUAUGAAUUUAAUUAAUUUUUAAAAAAUAUAGUUUACUUAAUUACCUUUACAAUCCUUAUUAUCUUUUGUAUUAAAAAAAUUAUUAAGUCUUGUAGCAUCGUAAGAUAUGUAAUAUUAAAUUUAGUACCACGACGUGGUCAUGACUCUAAGUCAUCAUGGUCAUGACACUUAAAGUUACUCUAUUGUGACACGCAUGUGAUAAAUGGCAUUAUCUUGUGAUACUUAUUAGUUAAAUGUCAUAAUAAUGUCACUAAAUCUUAUUUUUCUGACAAUUUAAACAAAGUGUCAUUAAGCAAUAACAACAGAUGCUGUUAUAAUCUCUUAUCUUGGCAUUAUAAUUGAAAAUAUCAUUAAUUUAAUGCCACUAAAUUGCUUUUCUCUGGCAAUGAGCUCAAGGCUACAGGUUAAUCUUGUUGCGUCAAGGAAUUUUCUGUAUCUCCACAAGUUAAAUAUUUUUCGCCAAUUUUAAGAGAAAUUUUCCUUGGAGCAAAAGGCCAAAAUAGUCCCAAAAAUAUUUUUCCAAAGCUGCAGUAGUCCUUAAGUUCCACCAUUACCCUGCUGGGAAAAAAAUUUAAAAAAAAAAGGCGCAAUAGUCCCUAAACUUUAAUUGGGGCUAAUUUAGUCCUUAAACUAUAUUUGUCUAGCGAAUUUAGUGCUUUUUGGGUUGAGCCACCAAUAAUGCAAAAUUCGGGGCAAAAAAAGAAAGCAUACAUUCAACAUUCAUUAAAAUCAUUAAACAAGAUUUUGACGGGACAAUAUAGCAUCGAUUGGAGGAUCGAAAGCACAGGUGCAUUUUGAAACCCUACAUCCAAAGUCCUUAUCCACCAUUCAUCUUAAAAUCCAUCCAAAAAGACACCAGUUAAUCUAAACCCAGAUCUUCGUCCGCUGCAUUAAUGAGCAACAAAGUGCAUAUAGGAGGUAGCAUUAAUGAGCUUUUGAAGAGUAAGUUUCCUCACUCGUAUACCUCCAAAUAGCAUCAAUUAGGUUUGGUGCAAUGUUUAUGAUUGCUCGUCUGGGCGUAAACAAUUUAUGAUGUUUAGUGCUUGUUCAUUGAAGGGAUUUGGUUAAUGUGGGUCAAAGUUGAAUGAACUAUGUAUCAGUGAAUUACUAAUUUUAGCCCACGGGAUGCGACUAUUUGUUUGAUUGUUUACCCUUUGCUUUCAUGUUCCUUUUUUUUAAGACAAUGUGGUUCUCAGUUCUAAUCGAGUGUAUCUCUAUUGUUUAUAACAGGUGAAGGUGGCAAUAAUGUCUGCCUUAAAGUCCAUCAUGGUGGGGUGAUUGUGGAGGAAAAUAUCAAAAAAAUAUGCCUGUGGAUUUUUCGAUAGUUUGGGUGGGUGUAAUGUUGAAACAAUGAACUUGUCCAUAUUGGAACAUGGUGCCACCGACAGUGGCGGAGGGAAUGGGGAAGGGACCCCUAAGUCUUGAGAUUACUUUUUAAUCCCUAAGAAAUUUUAAUAACUUUUAUUAGAGAUCUUUUCUUUGUCCCCUCUAAAAUAUUAACAAAGUUUAAUCACCUAGUUUUUGCCUUCUGAAAUUUUGAACUGUUAUUCAUCUUUGAAUAUUUUUGACCUUGCAUUAUUGUUAGUUGAUUACUUAUCAAUUGUUUUAGUAUUAUAUUUUAAAUUGUUAAAAUUUUAUUGUCAUCUUAAGAAAAAUCUCGUAUAAGCUAAGUUGCGGACACCUUUCAAUUAACUGUUUUAUUUUAAUGUUCAUUAUUGAUCAGCCACAUUUCAUAGUUAAGUACUUCAUUCUACAUUAUGCCAGCUUUUCGUGUAAAACGAGGAAACUAAUAAGAAGUAAAUUUUAGAUAUUCUCUUGCUAAACAUUUAAAACCAACAUUUAUCGCUAAUUAAUAAUGUUAUCUCUUUACUUCUUUUUUUUUUUAACUUUGAGAUAUGAUUGCUCUCCAAAGUUUGAUAUUACAAAAUAAUCAAGUUAUAUUUUGUCUCCUUAAUAAUGUAAGAAUAAAAAGUUGGAAAAUUGAGUAGUUGUAUUUAAUUAAUAUAUUAAUGCAAAUUUUUAUUUAUUACACAAUGUAUAGCUUCCUUAUUAUGUUUCAUUAAAUUAAGUAUUACUAUUACUUUGUCAAAAAGUCCAAUGACAAAACGAACUUGUUAAUAUAAAAUUUUAAUUAAAAAUACUUUUCUUCAAUUGCAAUUCAAUAGCUAGAUUGAAUAAAAAAUAUAUGAUGCAAAAUAUGGGUUGCUUAAGGGCCAUGUUUCAAGUUUCAAGUAGUUCGAGUUUUUAUUAAUAGCUUACUAGUUUAUUUUCAAGAUUUCUAAUUAAUUUGGUAGGAACAGGUCCAAGAUCUCAUGUUGAGUUGGAUCCGAAUUAGUUGUCAAGUCCAUUGGUUAAUUGAAUCAUUUUGUUAGUUAUUUCCUUGUGUAAUAAUCAGCCAGCAAUAAGUUUGUUAAUUGGGACGUGAGUUGGUUGAUUUAGCUAAGUUAAUUGAGUCCAUUAGUUCAGGUAUAGUAGGGUUAUAAAUAUUUGUAUCAUUCCAUUCAAAAAAAAAGAAGAAAGUUGAAUAAACGUUUUUCAAAGAGUUUUCUCUUGGCUCGUUGCCAACGCCCCCUUUGAAUACUUUAGAUUGGUUCUUGAGUGUUCAUCUGUGGCUUAUUAAUUAAAAAACAUGUUUGAUUGUGGCACUUUUCUACUGAUAAGUAUAUAUUUUACGUGAUUUUAUUGUGUUUUAUUAGUUAGUUUUGGUGUGUUUUAUUUAGUUUCAUAGCUAAUUAACAAAGAUUCUAGUGAAAAUAUGCAUUUUAUGGUUUAAGUGGUAAAAAUUACAUUUUUAUGGAUUUUAAUGAUAAUAGGUUUAAUGAUUUAAUCAUCAAAUGGAAUGAAUUGAGAAGAGAAUUGGAUGAUUAUUGAUGAUUUGAAGUGAUUCAGAGAAGACAUGAAGUGCAAAACAUUCAAAAGAAGAAAUGCAAGUGAAGACAGUUUCGAUACCUUAUGGUAUUUCGGCUAUAUAUUGAGCUAGAAUGAUCAGAUUGAGGUGAUUCUUGAACCAUUUUGAAGCUAAGAGAUAGAUCUAUAUUUGGUAUGAAGAUAUCGAAGUCCAGUUCAGCCAUUUUCAUUGUCAAAAUGUCAAAAUACAAAAGUACGACUCUGUUGUCAAAAGCUGAAAUAGAGCUCUAACCAGUUGAUGGUAUUUUGAUCAUAUCUCAAUCGACAGAGUUCCAAAUGGGAUGAUUCAUGAGGCAUUGGAAAGCUAACUCAAAGGGUUAUAACUUUCGUGUUUUGUAAAAGAACUAGUUCAACCUCCAUCAUUGAGAAAAUAGUAGUUGAAGUGGUACCAAAUGCAUAGAAGUGAAAACACGACUUCAUGAUUACGUGGCUUGAAGUCGCGUAUUCUCACUUGAUUGCUGCAAUUUGCCCAUCAACUUACCUUGCUUUCACACAACUUUUCCAACUCAAUUCCACCUAUCAAUCUCGGCUGUAUCUGAUCAAGAAAAGGUUGGAAAGUUGGAAAGACAACUCAUAGAAGUUUCAAGAGUCCAAAAUGACAACUAAAAACAACUCAUUUGGCUCUUGAAUUCUCCACAAAUAGAGGCCUUUGGAGAACAUUUUCACAACUUUGGAAGGCUAGAGAAACUGUGAGGACUUGAAAAUUUGCUUAUAUUUUCUUAUAAGUCUCCUUUAUUUUGAAUAAGUUAAUUUAUAAUUUCUUUAAUACUAAUUACUUCCCUUAAUAGUUGUAAUAAAUAAUAGAGUCGAGAGUUUUACUUUUACUUUUAAAGUUAGUGUUAGUUAGGGUUUUGGUGCAUUGUUAUAGUGUGAUCAAUUGAUGAGGUGUGUGUACUAAAUUUGGUGGAUAAGAGCGGAUAUUAAGUAGGAGGAAGUAUGUGAUUAAAAGUGCUAAAAGUACAUUAGUGAAUCAUAAGUUAAAACAAAAGUACAAGAGAGACAAAAAAACAGGUUUGAACCGACUCGCGCCGUUUGUACCGAUCAAAGACACCACUUGACUGAGACUUUCUUUUUCUAAUCUUCUUAUUUUUCUUUUAUUUUCCCUUCCCUAAUUUUGCCCUAGGGUUGGCUGAAAUUCUUGACCAAAAAAGAGAGGAAAAGAAAAAAAAAAGGAAAAAUGAUUGAAUGCCAAGUGUUGGCAAUCAAGGCCAACUUUGACCAAACCUUUCUUCCAUUCUUAUCUUUCUUUUCACUAAAAAUUCCCUUUAUUUCCUACUAGUUUGGCCAACCCUUAGAGAGAAAAAAAGAGAGGAGAAAAUUUCACAAAUCAUCCUGAUCUUGCCUUGAUUUAGAAAGAAAUCAACAAUAACCACAAAUCUAAUCCGAACAAAGGUGCAACAAGGUGACAACGAAGCUUGAGGUGGAGUGAUUUUGCAUAGGCAGCCUUGGUAUUGUAUUUUUCCUUGAGGUUUAAAGGUAUUAAGUUGGAAAAUUUUCUUUCUCUUUCUUAUCUUGCAAUUUAUGGGGAAGAUGACUUGAAAUUGGAAGUUUUGGGGAAAAUAACCUAGAUUUGUGAAGAUUGGUGAAAUUUCCCUCCUAGGGUUUUAAUUUGCAGCCUUGUUUCUUAUUUUUCAGCUAUGGUAUGAUGGUAUCUAGCCUUGUUAAUGACUUGUAUGAAGAUUAGGAAUUUCCAACUUUAGUAGAGAAUUUUCCAGCUUUGAUAUGUGAUGUUUAUAUGUUAGAGAUGAGUUUAAAUUAGUUGGUUUGGUGGUCUUGUAUAAGAACCUCUUUUUCCUUAUAACUUGUGGACUUGAUUUGGGUUGUUUUGCCAUGGAGCUUAACCUUGGAAAUUGAAGGGAAAACUAGGAAAAAACAGGAGAGAUGCUAGUCGUUUUUUUUUUCUUGUAGUUCAUGUGAGUGGAAGCGAUAUUGAGGUGUGAAUUUAGGGCAUUUUUGUCUUCCUCUUGCAUAUGAUUUUACUCAAAACACUUGUUACAGGCUAUUUCUUUGUAUGUGUGUUAGUUUUGAGCCAAAACAAAGAGGUUUAAGAAAAGAAAAACCUAGUUUUUCAAACUAAUAGUUUGUUGAAAAAUUUUCGCAAGAAACCCUUCGCAGUUUUGGGAAAUUAACUAUAACUUCGUAUAGGAAAGUUAGAAUUGAGUUCCGUUUAUUGCGUUUGAAACUAGACUCAUAGAGCUUUCAACAGUGUAAAAAUCAAGGGUUGGUUCAACUCCUAUAAAUACCAGCAAAUCUACAAAAUUUCUUGAAAAACCAUGACUGUUCUGUCUUUGAACAUGAGACAGUAGUGAAUUUGAACUGAAAUUUGACUAACUUAUGAGUUGAAUUUCAUGAAGCUGUCUUCUAAAGCCUAUUAUUAGUUCAGUUUAUUUUCUAACGGUAUAAGAUUUAUGAUUUUUUGACUUACGGAACUCAAAUUAUACUUUUUCAAAAAAUGUCACCAAAGCUGGAAAUUUUAUCAAAUGGAUUGAGUGGGACUUGGAAAACUUUGGAAAAACAUUUUCUGGGUUUUAAACCGUAUUUUGGUGAGAUUUUGGAUGCUUAAAUUACUCUCCUCACUUUUAGAAUACAUUUAGAUUUUUCCUUGAUUUGCAUCUUCAAAUUUGCCCUUGAACCCUACGUGUUUGAGAGGCCAUCUUGUAUAGGCUUGUGGCUCAUAGUUGAGCCUAAUAUGUGAAUUUUGUUCACUUAAGUUUUGGAUGGUUGGACUAUAAUAUCUUUAUCUUGGUUGUUCUUAGGGUUUGUUGGUGAGCACGGGCAUUACCCGGGGACGAGCUUUUGACAUUUACUCUACUAACAUCAGUGAGUGUUCCUUGCAUGUGUGUGCUUUAAAUGACUAUGUGAAAUGUUGUGAAUGUUGCCAAAAUGUUAAAUGCUUUCCAAUGAUUGCUAAAUAGAUUUUCGAUGAGCGAAUGUGUACUUUAUCGCACUCGACCCAAGCAAAAGUGAAUUUUCAAUGAUUGAAUGCUACUUGUGCAUGAAUGUAAGCCUUUUGGCUGAACUGGACACUUGCCCUUCAUUGCCAGUCGACUCAAGUCAGAAGUGGACUCGGUCGGGCGGUUGGUGACCCUGGGACAAUGUUUGGUAUACUCGAGUAUUACCGCGAAAUCUGGUGGAGAACUGGCUAGUGAAUUCAAUGCAAUGAAAUCAAUGAAUGAAUGACAAGAACACUGAAGGAGUUUUCACUUGCAAAUAUUUUCUAAUGUCGGAGGGAUAAGGAAAAUGGUUGGUAAAUGAAUGAAUGACUUGAAUGAGUGGCUCCAAUUAAACACGUAUCCUUUCAAUGAAUGAAUGAUUGAUUCUUGAAUGACUGCUUAUUACUGUGCUAAGUGUGCAAAGUACUAAAUGUAAAUGUUUCCGUGUUUCGCCUGCUUGAAUGCUUAUUUGGGAAAUUCACUGGGCUUUUAGCUCAUUUCAUUAGUUUAUUUUCCUUACAGGAGUGGAGGCUGGAGCAAGUAAGCGUGAACUAGUGUGUAUAAGUUUCUUGUACUUGCACUUUUAUGGAUUGAAUGUAUGUGGAAUAUUUGGCAAUGUAAAGCUACGUUUUAUUUUUGGCUUGUAAAUGAAGUUGAAUUAUGGUUGAUUUGAGGACCUUCUAUGCUAAUCUAGAGGCGUGAAAAACUAUUUCCAAAAUAUAAGUCAGUGAGUCCUGGUGAAAGUUGGGCAGGCGGUCCGCCAAACCCUUGGGUACGCCUUAGAGGAAGGUGGGGUCAUCGCAGAAACUUACUAAAAAUGUAGUCUUCACUAGAGUUUCCUUUAUUCAUUAGUUAGGGUAUUAUAGAGUAGUUAAUGUAGUGUUUCCUUCUUGUAUUUGUAAUUAGAUUUGGAUUCAGAUUGAGGAGCAAAGAUAGAGAGUUUGAAACUCAUGUGACAAGGGUGACAUCUCUCCUAUCACUUUCUCUUUUGUAUUUAAGUUCAUGUUUAGCUAUAAUACAAGUUUGGAUUUGUUUUUCUUCAUGUUUUGCUAAAAUUUAUGCCUAGAAUUAUAGUUGAACUUGCUAUAUCUUGUUAGUGAUAUUUAUUUGGUUAUUUGGUAAUAUUAUGUUGAGCAAGUUAUUUAUCACUUUUGCUUAUCUAAUCAUGAUUAACCGGCCAUUAGUUGUGAUUAUCUAAAGGUGUUAAGUUUGCUAUGAAAAUUGAAAUUUAACACUAGUUCAAGGAAGUGAUAAACCUAAGUAGUACACUCGCAAGAGUAGAGGUACACCUUUGUGGCUUAAGUGACUUGUUCCAUGUAAUUUCAUAGAAAAAAUGAGCUUGUAGUUAAUUUCAUAACUACGAGAGUAGGUAUGGUUUAGCUACAAGUAUAGUUGAUUUACUACGAGAGUAGGUUUCACAUAUAUUAGGAAAUUACGCCAUAACUAGACAAGAUAAUAGCAUUCACUUAACCAAUAAUCUCAUUAGCGAGAGUAAUGAGGAAUUCCAUACCUCUAGGAGUUUUCUAGUGUUAAUUUUAUUACUUUUACUUCAUGCUUAUAUUCUAAAUAAUAAAGGAGUUUAAAAAUUACCGGUAAUUGAAAAUCUUUCCUGUGGGAUCGACCCUUAAUACCUUAUACUCGCUCACGAUUCGUAUGCUUGGGAAAAAUUGCGUAUGGAGCAUUUAGGAUUUAUAAAUGUAAAAUUUGAUUGUGGAUGAGCUAAUUGUGUAUGUAUACCACGCGCACGUCAUCUACCAACCUUAAUUCGUCUUGAGCGGUCCCUGAUCGAAUUAGGUUCCAUCCCUUAUACCAAAAUUCAUUAACCACAUGAUUAAUGGGUUAAGGUUCUUUUGUAUUUAUAACCUGGUCAAGACAGAUCCUUCAACCCCCCUUUGAAUACUUUAGAUGGGUUCUUGAAUGUUCAUUUAUGGCGUAUCAAUCAAAGAACACGUUUGAUUGUGGAGCCUUUCUACCAACCUUAAUUCGUCUUGAGCGGUCCUUGAUCAAAUUAGGUUCCAUCCUUUAUACCAAGAUUCGUUAACCACAUGAUUAACGGGUUGAGGUUUUUUUGUAUCCAUGACUUAAUCAAGACAGAUUCUUCCGCUACCUGAUCGAUUCGAUUUCUUCUCGAUGGUCCUUGGAAAAUCUUAUUCGUAUCAGUUGAUAUCAGAGUUUUGGCUCUUGAUCCAAGUUAAUAUCCCUUUUUUUUCUUGUUUUCCUAUUUGUUUUUUAUACCAAAACCCUAGUCGUCUUUUGAUUUGAAAGAAACAAAAAAAAAUUUCCAUUCUUAUUUUCUUGAUUUUAUCGUUUGAGUCUAACAUAUCCCCUUGAUUGAUUGAGAUUGGAAUUUCUUGAUGUGAUUAAGUUCUUAGAAACAAGUUUUCUAAGGGUUUAACUCCUAUUAAAUUUCUUUCAAGUUAAGUCGUAACCCUGUGUUGAGUCAUCAAAAAAAUUUUUUGGGUAUUGUUCAUGUUAAUGUAGUGAUUGCUAUUCAUCGUUCCUAUUGCAUACUGUUCAUCAUAUUGUAGCAUCACUCAUCAUCCGAGUUACUGUUCAUUUGAAUAAAAAAAAAUAUUCUGUUUGGGGAUUUGUUUCCUAUCGCAAGUUGUGUUCUUGGUUGUUGUCCAUUUCUAGUUUUCUUGUUGUUACCCGAAAUUCAGUUUGUGUCUUAUUUUUAUUAUUAAUCAUUGUCUUGUUGUCUAGAGUCUUGAGUUGUUUUAAAAAAAAAAGAAAUUAGUUGUACCAUGUGUUUGUUCUUGUGUCAAGCUGCUGGAAAUUAUUGAAUUCUUGAACUUUGUUUGAGAUUCUUGGUGAAAUCUUGAAAAAACUUUGGACUUUCUUGAUUCCAAUCUUGAAAUCUUGAAGUUCUUGAAUUAUAUUCUCGGAUUGUGGUAAAUCUUGGGCCGAAUUUUGAUUAAUCUUUGAGUUCUUGAAACAACUACAAGUUCUUAAAAAAAUCCGUGGCUGCUAGCUUUGUCUUGAAGCUGCAUCGAGAAAAAAAAAAAAAGAAACAGAAAUGAAAACGCAACUCAAUUCAUUCAGUUGAAAGCCGUGAGCCCUAAACUUUUCAAAUCAGAUUUGGAAACAAAACGUUGUCACAUUCCAUUUCCUAGCCGCACAAGGAUUUGAUUUUCAGCCUUGUUGACUUCAAAUUUCACUCCUAUUUGGGCUGGGAUUGAAAUCGUUUCGCACCUGAUUUCCAAAGGGGAAAGAGUAUUUUUCAACCAAAACAACUGCCCUUUAAACACCAUAACAGCCAAGUACAACAAACACCAAAAAUUCCAGCUUCACCAGCAAACCAUUGCUUCGGGUUUAACUAUUCAAAAUUCCUGUGAAUUGUCCAGCAAUUUUUACUUCAAUUUAUGAGUAUUUUUCAGUCAUUAUAGUGUCCUAAAGUCAUUUCCUUGAGUUAAAAUCAGUCCAGAUCAGUUGCAUUCUUAGCUCAAACCUGCUAUAAUCUUACUUCGUCUAAAGGUGAUAAGUUGGUCAACACUAGAAGGAGUUCGAAUUUCUUCAAGGUGUGGAUCAAGCGGCCUUGCGAACUUAAUUGGUGAGAUCAUUAGAGUGUUAGACAAUUUGAGUGAUACACGAGGGUUGAGUGUAAACACGUGAGGGAGCUAGUGAGGAUAAAAAUUUUCUCUACUAACUGUUUUGCAGGUUAGGUCAACAUGUCAAAGGAAGGUGAAACUUCUACUUUUGAUCCUAUGCUUCUUAUGGAUGCCAUGACAAGUCAAUUGCACAAAAUGAUGGAGGAGGAGCAAGUAUACUACUCAUUCUUUCUUUCACCAUUUUUGCCCAAGAUUUGAGUACAAAUCUUAUUUUCAAGAGGAGAGGAAUGAUGCAAAAUAUGGGCUACUUAAGGGGCCAUAUUUCAAGCUUCAAGUAGUUCGAGUUUUUAUUAGUAGCUUAAUAGUUUAUUUUUCAGAUUUCUAAUUAAUUUGGUAGGAAUAAAGUUGGUCCAAGAUCUCAUGUUGAAUUGGAUCCAAAUUAGUUGUCAAGUCCGUUGAUUAAUUGAGUCGUUUUGUUAGUUAUUUCCUUGUAUAAUAAUCAUCCAGCAAUAAGCUUCUUAAUUGGGUCGUGAGUUAGUUGAUUUAGCUAAGUUAAGUGAGUCCAUUAAUUUAGGUAUAGUAGGGAUAUAAAUAUUUGUAUCGUUCCAUUAAAAAAAAGGAAGAUAAACGUUUUUUAGAGGGUUUUCUCUUGGCUCGUGACCAACCCCCCUUUGAAUACUUUAGAUGGGUUCUUGAGUGUUAAUCUAUGGCUUAUCAAUCAAAAAAACACAUUUGAUUGUGGUGCCUUUCUACCAACCUUAAUUCGUCUUGAGUAGUCUUUGAUCGAAUUAGGUUCCAUCCCUUAUAUCAAGGUUUGUUAAUCACGUGAUUAACGGGUUGAGAUUUUUUUGCAUCCAUAACCUGAUCAAAACAGAUCUUUCUGCUGUCUAAUCGAUUCGAUUUCUUCUCGAGCGAUCUUUGGAGAAUCGUAUUCGUAUCAAUAUAUAAAACAAAUAGUUGACAUGCAAUUUAUAAGUCUGAAAAUGAUGCACAUAAAAAAUAUUUUUUUUUACACAAUGUACACCUGCCCCCUCCCUUCUGCCUCCCCUGCCCCUGCCGCAGUAAUCUUGACUCCGCCACUAACCACCGAUCUUGGGUAUCCAGAAACUACAAAUUUGCAGUAUAGAGAUCUUGAUAAAGAUGUAAAUAUGAUUCUUAGAACUCUAGAGAAUGAAGGGAGUGUUAGUUACAAUACAUGGUUGCUCAAAGGGCAAAGGAAAAAGGACUAAGGAAACUACGCAUGCGCUUUCAAUGCUAAAAAAUAUGUUACUUCAUUUCUUAUUUACACGUGCUCAUUUAUGUGCAUCUUUUGCAGGCUCGUGAACCCGAAAAUGCCACUGAAGAGUGAUUGUAAGGGCUCUAAUGUAGCUUCUAUAGAUGUUGCUGAAGAAGUUAAAGUCUAAAGGGAAUUUUGUUUUGGCUAGAAACUUCUAUUGUAACUACAAACCUUUGACGUAUGUUUGUGGCCUUGUAACUUUCUAUAGUUAUAUAUAUUUUUUAUGGUUUUUAACUGAAAUUGAAUGUAGACUUUAUUUUAGUCGCAUGCAGACUUGUAUUCUAAUAACUAGAAUUUAUAUGCAUUGCUAAAUUAUACACUACUUGAGUGAUGAAUAAAUCUUACCUAUAUAAAGGAGAAUAAAUAUAUUGUGAAUAGUAAUGAACACUAGAUGGGCCAAUUAUACAGUUGUUUGCGUGAGUGUCCACGGGGGUUAAUUUCAUUUUGUUCCCUCAAACUAUAUGCUAAAUUUCAUUUCAAUCACUAAACUUCAAAAUGGAACACUUAAACUAUAAAAUUCGUUCUAGUUAAGUAAAAUCGGUGACAGAAUCCUAAAAACUAACUAUCUAUUAAGAGUUUGGACAACACGCUCGGUCGAUGUUGUUGUGCAAGCGUUAUAAACCAAAAUGAUAGGGACAUAAAUGUAAUUUCAUUUUUUUCCUUUUUCAUCCUCCCUUUUUUCCCUAUUUGUUUCAUUUGUGAUUUCCCUGUUUGUUUCUUUUUUUUUUUGUCGAAACGAUAAGAUGAUUUCAUUGCUUUCAUGGUAAAAAAAAAUUACAAGUGCGAGCAACGGCUCGAUCGGAACUCUACAAACAAGUGUUCAAAGACACUGAGGAAGCUGUCGCUCCUCAUCCACAAUAAUGCUUAACGCAUCAACACUCAAUGUUUUACUGACUGUCAUAUUUUCUUCCCUAUCCAAAACAAAAGAGCACAUGCAAAACAAUCUCUGUAACUGAGAGAUGUCUUCAAGUACUGUUGCCAUUUUGCUGUUUGCUGGGCUCUGAUAUUUUAAUUGUCUCCACAGUUCUUUGUUACAAAAUCUCAGCUUAAGAUUGCUCCACUUGCGUUGUACAGCUUUACACAACACCAGCUUCAGUGCCAACGCUUCAUCUAGGAUUUUGUUUCCAGAACUAAUGUCUUUCAGUGCCCACCCUAUCAUCGUGUUCCUUGCAAAAAACUGAACUGUGACUCCAAUUCCCACAAACAACUGCCCUUGCUUCGUGGUUGUAUUCACCUCCAUUAGCACUUCUCCUUCAUUUACAUAAUUCUGAUGCUGAACAUCUUGCCUAGGGACUGUUUCAAACGUGCUCUCUUCUUUUUCUUUGUACUCUAUCUGCUGCUGCUCUAACCAUUCCAAAUGAGCUUUCCUUAUAGAUUUGAAGGGGGGAUCGAAGUUAGCAUUCUCGAAUUCUAUUUUGUUUCUUUCCUUCCACACCUGCCACAGGAUGUUUGCAGUUAAUCCAAUGUGUUCCAUCCCUUCUGACCUGUGCCUUGCUUCAGAGAUUCUUAACCACCACCUUUUGAAAUCUCCCUGCUGCUCCUUUGCUCCAUCCCACUGAAUGGGAGAUGCCUUCCAUAUGUUUUCCGAGUGGGGGCAAUUCAGCAAAAGAUGUUCGACUGUCUCCUGUGCUAAACCACACAUCUUACAUAUCGGAUCACCCUCCCCCGUUCGUCUAUUUACUGCUGCUUUCACAGGCAGAGCACCUUGAAUGCAUUUCCAGAUGAAGAAUUUGAUUUUAUGUUUGAUGUUUAAGCUCCACAGUGUAUUCCACAUCUGAGCUAACUCCGAAUCACUUGCCGAAUAGCUAGAGCUAGCUCCUUCCUGCCUGCACCUGCCUCCCAUCCUGUGUUGCUUCAUCAGAAACUUAUAACCAGAAUUGACAGUGUACAUCCCUCCCACCUUUGGUUGCCAAUAAAAGCUAUCUUCCCUAUCAGCUAAACUCAGAGGAAUAGCUAAAAUUUUUUGUGCAUCAUUGCUAUUGAAGGAUCUGAAUAUGAUGUUCCUGUUCCACCUAUGCUGACAAAUAAGCUCCUCCACUUUUUCCAGCUCACAAUGAAUCCCUCGACUAGUAGUUGGCAUCCCUGUAUCAGUGUCUGGAAUCCACUUGUGGCUCCAUAUAUUUGUACUCCUUCCAUUUCCUAUCCUUCUUAUAAUUCCAGCAUUGAUUAAAUUUCUUGCCCCCAUGAGUCCUUGCCAGAUCCAGGAUGCAUUUCUGGGGAGACUACACUGUAGUAUCGAUUCCUGAGGAGAAUAUCUGGCUUUCAACACCUUACUAACCAAUAGAUUUGGUUUAGUAAGUAUCCUCCAAACUUGCUUCCCUAACAGUGCUUGAUUGAAAGCUUCGAUAUCCUUAAAUCCUAAACCUCCUGCACUUUUUGCCAUUGCCAAUUUUUCCCAAGACAGCCAGUGCAUUUUGUUCUUACCAUGAGCUUCACCCCACCAGAAGUUGGCCAUCAAAGCACAUAUAUCUUUACACAAUCGUCUGGACAGCUUAAAACAAGACAUCACGUAUGUGGGCAUUGCCAUAACAACUGCUUUCAGCAACACUUCCUUACCUGCUGGACUCAAAAGUUUGUUCUUCCAAUUCUGACAUCUUCUCCUUAUAUUAUCUCUCACAAAACCAAAAAUCUGCUCUUUAGAUCUUGAUACUACCAUAGGGAGUCCCAGGUAUUUGCCUUGCUUAGCCUCUACCAUUCCUCCUAAUGCCAGGCAUAUCUCCUUCUUCUGCACAUCAUCCACAUUUUUGCUAAAAAACACUGCUGACUUGUCCAGAUUGACUAACUGUCCCGAGGCAUUUUCAUAUGUAUUUAGCACCUUCAUAAUUUCCACAGCCUCAUUCUUAUUAGCCUUACAAAAUAUUAUAGAAUCAUCCGCAAAGAACAGAUGUGUUAACACUGGACCAAGUCUGCUGAUUUUGAGUCCCUGAAUUCUUUUGCUUUCCUCAGCCCUUCUUAGCAAAUUGGAGAAGCCCUCAGAACAUAUUAGAAACAGGUAUGGAGACAGAGGGUCCCCCUGCCUUAUCCCUCUUUCUGGUGUCACAAAGCCUUUAACCUCACCAUUACAGUUGAAAGAGUAACUCACAGUCUUCAAACAGCUAUGAAUCCAGUUAAUCCAUUUAGAGCAAAAACCCAUCUUUUCCAUCAUUUUCAACAAGCAUUGCCACUCCACCCUAUCAUAAGCCUUUGCCAUGUCCAAUUUGAUAGCCAUGUAUCCCUCUUUCCCUUGUCUUUUAUUUUUAAGAAAAUGCAUGUACUCGUGAGCAAUGAUCACAUUAUCUAGAAUCUGUCUUUCUGGGAUGAAAGCAGAUUGAGUUUUGCUAAUACACAGAUCCAGGACAGAUUUCAGUCUAUUUGCCAGAAUUUUUGAUAUGAUUUUAUAAAGCACACUACACAGACUGAUAGGCCUGAAAUUUUUCAGAUUGGUUGGGUUCAAAGUUUUGGGAAUAAGGGAUAUAACAGUGUGGUUGACUGAUUUGAGCAUGUGGCCUGAGUGGAAAAAAGCUUUAAUCGCAAAAAUGAUGUCACUUUUAAUAGUAUUCCAGAAUUUCUGAAAAAACAAAGGAGUCAUUCCAUCUUGUCCAGGGGCUUUUUCUGGAUUCAUAGAGAACAAAGCAUCAUGAAUUUCUUCCUCCAUAACUUCCUUGGAUAACUUAUCAUUCAUCUCCUGAGUAAUAUAGUGUGGAAUUCCCUCUAAGAUUUCUGUCAUCUCAUCCUUCCCACCACUCGUAAACAGGUCCUUAAAAUACUCAGAAAGUUCAGUCACUACCUCCUCUUCAUUCACAGUCCAAGAACCAUCCUCUCUUUGUAACCUGUUCAAUCUAUUACUCACACGCCUCCCCUUGACAAAAGAGUGAAAAUAUUUAGUAUUUUUAUCCCCUUCUCUCAACCAGUUGAUUCUGGACUUCUGGCUCCAGAAAGCUUCUUCCUCCUUGUAAGCGUUAGCCAGCUGUCUUUUGAGAUCCUGACAUUUCUCCUUUUUGUUCGCUAAACCAGCAUUCCUAGUCUUCUCAAGAUCCUGCUUAAGACCGUCAAUCUUACUCCUAGAGUUAGUCUGGGCAUUAUUUCUCCACUUCAAGAGUUCAAUUCUGCAAUUCCUAAUUUUUCUAGUCACUUUGAACAAAUUUGAGCCCUGUUCCUCCCUACUCCAGGCUUGCUCCACUACUUGCUGGAUCCCCUCUUUUUGGAGCCACCUCUUGUCAAAGUAAAACCUCUUUUUUUUCCUUUCUAUCCCUGGAUUGGUGUCUAGCAAAAGCAACGAGUGAUCAGACGCUAGAGUCUCAAUGUGGUGACACUUAGCACUCUCAAAAUCUUGGAACCAAUCCAUACUACCCAAGGCUCUAUCAAGCCUUUGACGAAUCUCCCCUUCAUUGUCCCAGUGAUUGCUCCAAGUCCAAGGGUGGCCUUCAAAACCAAUAUCAACAAGACUGUUCAGCUCAAUGAAAUGUCUAAAGUCCAUAAAACUACUCUCCUCCCUAAACACCCCCCCCACUUUUCUUCAUUGGACAAAAUGUCAUUAAAAUCCCCCGAGAUCAGGAAUUUAGACCCCCACAACCUACUUCUAUCCGUAAGCACUCUCCAUUGUUCCUUCCUGAUCCCUCUAUCACAACUAGCAUACACUCCAAUGAACCACCAUGCCGCCUGAGAUUCAUUACCUUCAAUCUUAGCUUCGAUAGUAAAAGCAGUAGUGACCACCUCUACAAUUUGUGUAUCCUUAGUCCAAAGUAAGGCCAUCCCCCCUGUUCUAUUCAUAGCUUCCACGGUCACACUGUUAUCUAGCCGUAACCUUCUAGCUAUUCUAUCUAUGACUGCCUUCCUGUUCUUAGUUUCACUUAGGAAAAAAAUAUUUGGAGAGGAGAGGUGAUUAACCUCCCUCAGCUGGGGAACUGUCAAGGGACUCCCCACCCCUUGGCAGUUCCACACCACAACUCUCAUUUACACCUGGAGGUCCCAUUAAGGAAGGACCUCUCCUCCUUUUCCUUAUCCCCCUCAAAAUACAGCUCCUCCAUCUGUUUAGUUUUUUUCCACUGACACGUAUCCUGAUUUGUUUCCUCCAUCACUUCAUCUCUAAGCAGGAUCUUCCUCUUCCCCACUUUCACCUGAGAAUUUGCAUUACCCUGUAUCACCUGUAGAGGACUUCUGGUUCUAGCUGGAGUCUUUAACUUUCUAAAAGUUCUCCUGGUCUGUCUGUCCAGUAACCCCACCAUCUUAGUAUCACCUGGGGUUUCCUGAUGAAACACUACUAGCUCUGAUUCUUUCUCUAAGACUCUAGAUUCCUGGAAUUGGUUGUGCACUACUUCAACUAAAUCCUCCUCCAUCUCUUCCUCUAUAUGAGAAAGCUGGAGAUCUUCCCCUCCUUGAUUAAAACGAGGUAACUCUACGUCCUCCUUGUCGCCCAUCACCAGACCCUCAAUUCUACUGUGAGAGACUACCUUAAGAGCCUCCUGUUGAGUAGAAAGUCCCCCAACCCCCUCCAUACUAUGAUCCUCCCCUACUCUUUCACCAUCCUGAUUACUACCCCCACCACUGCCAGUGGCCUUAAGGACCUCCAGCAGACUCUGAUUGCUAUGCCUUUUACUUUUCUCCUGUUCGACCAACUCCCCAUUCCUAAAGGCCCAGUAACGUCUAUCACUAUGUUCAGAGACUCUAGCAUUUUUUUUCUGAGGGGAGACCCUGACAUUUCCGGCUCUCAUCCAGGGACCAUACUGAUUCUCAUCAGUAUUCCCUCCUAGCAAUCUCCUAUCUUUACAAGACCUUUCACUAUGUCCCACAAUUCCGCAAUUAUAACAGAAAUCAGGACACCUUUCGUAUUUGAAGGCUAUCCAUUUGCCAGUUCCUGCUAUCCUGACCACAGUACCUCUAAGAAGAGGUUUAGAUAGAUCAGCCAUAACUAAAACCUUCAAAUGCCUACCCUCUUUGCCUCCCACCUGAGGGAUCACAACAUCUCUAACUUCCUUAAAAACUCUCCCUAUCUUUCUACCAAUCUCCUUAGACAACCAAUGAACUGGCAAAUUCCAGAGCUGCACCCAAAGAGGUGCGGUCACGAAAGUUUUAUAGUCAUCUUCAAUGCCUUCCACCCAUCUUUUAAGCACAAGCAUCUGGUUAUCUAUAACCCAAGGCCCUCCCUCCACUAUUCUAUCUUUAUCUUCUGAGUUUUGUAAGUUAAACUGAAACACAUUUGGUCCCAGUUCCACCACAGACAGAUUCCUGGGAUACCCCCAGGCCACAGCCACAAAGUUUUUAAUACCAGUGAAAUUAAUGACUUUUUCUCCUAAAACUCUCCCGAUGAUACUGUUUUCACAAGCUCUCACGCCAGUUUGAAAAUCAUCCCCCUCUAGCGUGAGUCCAACCAGCUCAUUCCCUUCAAGGGAAAACUUCUGUAAAAUAUCCGACAGCUCUCCCUCCAUGGAAAGCUCAUAAAAAUCUAAGAUGGAAAAAAAACACUCUAUCCACAGGAGAUAAAGACCAGAACCAAAACGUAGAGAACGGAAAAGAGCACAGAAACAAAACAAACGGAAAGACUAAGAAAGAGGAUCGAGACAGAAAAAAGAGCCUGCUGAAAUACCGGACCACAACUGAUAAAAUAUCAUUGCUCCCUUAUACGCUUAAGAAAAACAGGGAAAAAACAGAGCACUGACUCACCUUGUCCAGACAAAAGCUUAUCAUAGCUGAAGAUUGCGACGCUUGAACUCCCUUUCUUCAUGCACUGACUAGCUUCCAAGAGAUGAAGCCCCCCUUAGCUUUGAAACAAACAAUCUCCCGUUCAAUUACUGGCGGAAGAUCAAGCUCCGGGAGUGCGGGAGAAAGCAAAUUUUGAAAGAAUUUGAAAAGAAACAACCUUCCCACCAAAAAGGUGGGUGAGCUCCUAUCCCAAGAGAGAGCACAGCUACCUUAGAGUGAGAAAGCCUCUACGUUAGAGAGAGGAUUUAAGGUGGAUAUUGCCUUUUUUCCUUUCUUCCAUUUCCCUGUUUGUUUCGUUUGUGAUACAUACUAGUAGGUAGCAGUACCUCUUUGAGGGUAAAUGCAAGAGUGCUGGAAGUGAAUUUUUCCAAGCUAUCAUGAGCUUUUCUUAGACAAUCCACCCCAUGAAUCUGUUAAAGGAUGCCUUGUCUACAGCUACAGCCCCUUUUAUCUUAAUCUGUGGAUUUUAUUGCUUCAUGAAGCAUACAGCAGCAGCAACACUGCAAUUAUUCACACUGCAAUUGCAGUGGUACAAGGAUAAACUCAAAUAAAAAAACAUAUAAUCCUAUAUCUAUAUAGCUACAAGCUUACAACCUUGACACCAGAGCAAGAAAAGAAAUCAGUCAACCGAGUUUGUGAGCAGCAAAAUGACUUCCUUCUGCCAUUAGCCGCAAGAAAAAUAGAUGGUCUUUUUAUUUCACACAACAUGGCUUGAUUAAUUUCCUCAAUUCAAGGCUCUUUCACAUCAACCCAGAUGCUUUCUUCAGAUCUCUCCUCCCAUCGAGGAAACUCCUCCAUCUAGGCUGCUGUUCCACUUCCUUCUGAUGACUUUUUGACUUUAAAAUUAGAUUUAUGCCAAUCUAAUAAAGCCUUUUGAGAUUCACCAUCAACUUGAACCUGUUGAGGGGGGCUUUUCUUGACAUUAAGCAGAGAGCAGUAUUUCAUCUUGUCCUUUUCUUUAACCUUGGUUUUCAUUGUAGUAGUUUUAUUCUUUUCCCAACUCCAACUCUGCUGGUGCGGCGCCACGAUGAAUUCUUCAAUGCUGGCUGUUUGUCUUGGUCAAAGUUAUGCAAGAGUUGUCUAAUAAAGCAGAGGAAUUAUAGCGAUUCUUUUCUUCUUGACAACGAGUAGUGCUUGGAUGUGAGACUUUUAAGGAGGCAAGAAUUUUGUGAUUCGCAUACAACUUGACAAAGUGGUUGAUACAUGAUAGUAGUGGUGGAGGUGGAGGAAGGGGGCAACAAGAACGGGAUCUGUAGGAGUGAUGGGGUGCGGCAUUGUUGUGGUGGUGGUGGUGAUGGAGAAGAUGGUGGAUUUUGUUGGGUGCUUUUUAAGGAGUCUGGAAUCCAUGGAUGAUGAUACAACUUUUGGCUUCGGUUCUAUUAGGGCUGCCGACGAGGAUAAGUUGUAUCUUUGGACAGAAAAAUUGAGAAAGCGCAUGAGGAAAGAAGAAGAAUAAUAGGGAAAAAAUUUUAAAAGGGAGAAAAAGGGAAGGAUGAAGAACAAAGGGUGAAAUUACUUUUACAUCCCCAUCUUUUUGGUUUAUAACAAUUACACAAAUAUACUAAUGGAGCGUACUACUCACGCUCUUGAUACACUAUUAGUUUUUUAGAUUUCAUUACCGAUUUUACUUAACUGGAACGGAUAUUGUAGUUUAAAGACUUAAAUGUCCCAUUUUAAAGUUUAGGAAUUGAAAUGAGAUUCCAUGUGUAGUUUGAGAGGACAAAAUGGAAUUAACUUUAUUGUGGUUUUUUGGUGUUGGGUGGGACAAACUUGUUUGGUAAUUCAUGAAACUCGUGUGGGUGGUUGUCGAUUUAGAGGAAUUCAAUGGGUUUUUAGUUAUUUUACUACUCUUUAAGUGCCAGCAAGCAUGUAAGAUACCUUUGCAAUGGGAGAAAGGACAAUGGGGCUUCUUCCAUAGUUAUUAAUUUUCAAAGGUGAUGAAUCAUUGUCUGGGCUACAGAAGACAUUGAGGAACACUUGCGGUGCUCAAAUAUGUAAAAUAGUGAAACGUUGUCAAGGCAAGAAGUCUGUGUAUCUAAGCCCAAGAUGUAACAAAUUUGAGGCCCAAUAUGUCUUCUCAUGUAUUUUAGAAUGAAAAAAUUAUUCAAAACAUUUCUAAUAUUUUGUUAAAUAAAUUUUUUCAUCCUUUACUUUUAAAAUGAUAAUUUUACCUUUCUUACAAAGUUAAAUCAGUAAAAUUUGGUCAAAAUAUGGAUUUUUUUUUAUCACUUUUUAUCUUGAAUUUAUUACAUAACUCACAUAUGAUCAUUUUUUAAGGUUAAAAAGGUUAGAUCCUAUUUGCUGUUAAAUAAAUAACCCAAUUUGUAUUCAAUUUUAAACCUAAAAGUAAGAUCUAAUCUGCAUCAUAUUUAUUUUUCGAUCUCCUAAAAUGGUAAGAUUUGACUCAAUUCAUAUUUAUUUUUCUCCUAAAAAGGUAAGAUUUGACUCAAUUCAUAUUUAUGUUUGCCACUGAAAAUGUAGUAUUUGACCUUUUGCAUAUACAAAAUGACUAUAUGGAUCACGUAAUGAUUUCAAGCUAAAAAGUGAUCGAAAAAUUGAGAUUAGGACAAAAUUAUACUAACUUGAAUUUGUAAGGAACGUAAAAUAAAUAUUUUAAAAAUAAAGGAUAAAAAUUUCAUUCGAUGAAAUGUGAGACGUUUUGAAUAAUUUUUUACUUUCAGAAUUACUAAUGCAAUUUUGUGGGGACUCUUCUUUUCCUCCUCGCAUUCAUCCAUGCUUACCAAAAAGGUAUAUAUUUCUAUUUCAUGUUCGGACCUACUCAGUGUGGGUAAUAAAUGGAGAAUAUAAUUGGCCUCCAACUUGCUGCCAUUAUCAUGCUAUGCUUGAAGGAAAACCAACUCUCAAACUAUAGGCUUGGUUUGCUUGCGUAGGUCUUCAUGCAAUGAAUAUGACUGCCAUCCUGUUCUCUUUGGUUUGGAAACUUGGAAUGAAUUUAACUGCUAUCCUUUUGUCCAAACUGUAUAACUUUGGUGUGUCUAUACUUUCCAAAAUUUCCUAAAGCUCUUCUUCCUGCAAGCAAAAAUCAAUGUCAGAAACUAAAAUAUUGAAAACAUUGAAAAAUUUUAGUUUUUACUUACAAUGGUAGUUUUUUGAUCUUACACGUUGUGGCCAAAAACAGGCCGCAGCUUGUGGUGCCAUCAUGUCCAUCUCUCACAACUUUCUGUAUCACUGACAAGUGUACUGAAUUUCGUUAAAGUACAAUUCUCAUAUGAAAUUCUGAUUAAGAGUUAUGACCAAAAUGAGCAAGUUAUAAUUAAGAUUCUUUCAUUAGCAUUAUCUCAUUGAGGGUUAAAGAUUAAAAGAAAGAAUUGAAUUCUUUUAUAAUUUAUGAGUUAUUUUUUACACAACGCUGCCCUAAAAGUUGAGCCAUGUUUUAUGCCAAAAGUUUCAGUGUGCCUACUUAUGGAUAAAAAUAAUCGUUGCCAAAUCCCAUGCGGUUUUGACAUGGACGUUGAUUAAGUUUCUUCAGAGUUUCAAGUCAAGCCUUUUAUUUGAUUGAGGUUUCUUGGUGCUAACAUUGACAUAGUCUAUAUGAUGCCUUCUUAAAACUUCAUGGAUACAAGUGCAAUUUAUCUGUUUUGCUCUUCCAUGAAUGACAUGAAAGAGCUUAUGUGCAUAAAAUUGUUUGUCUCGAUUAAAUAAUUCAUGAAUUAUAAUGAAUGGUAUCACCAAAGUGACCUUUAUUAUAUUUAUAGAAUUAUUUAACGUGGAUCGUGAGAUGUUCAUGUUUUGAAGUUCUAUGUUGAUUUUCAACUUGGUUUUUAUCAAAAGUUGAAAUUGUUACUUGAGAUAUGAACCUUUGGUAUAAUAUUUGGGGGUAGUUUUCUUGGUUCAUGUAUUUAUAAAAUAUGUCAUAUAUUUCUUUUGUCAAUGAUUUCAAAGACACAAAUAAAGUUUUUAAGCAAAUUGGACAAAGGGUUUGGGAUUUCUUUUGAGGAAACAAGUUUUAGUUUGCCAAUGUCAUAGUUAGAUUUAUUAUAUAUCUAUUGACGUGAAAUUUUGUUUCAAUUGAAUGACUUAACGGAUUAUUACAAUUAGUACCACCGAAGUGGCUAUUGUUUUAAUUCAUAAAAUUAUUCAAUAAGGAUUCUGGGAUGUUUGUCUUCUGAAAUUAUUAUCAUAAUUACCUGCCUGAAGGAGGUAUUUAUGCAUAUUAAUUUUGGAAGGGUUAAGUGAUCACCAUGGAUAUUUAUGGUCAUACAGUAUUUAUCUCAAUUAAAUGAUUUAUUGAAUUAUUAUAAUUGGUACACCAAAGUGGCCAUUAUCAUAAUUCAUAAAUUUAUUAAUAAGGAUCCUGAGGGGUUUGUCUUCUAUCAUUGUAUUAUAGUUAUCUACCGAAGGUGAUAAUCAUAUAUAUCAAUUUCAAAAGGGUUGAGUGUCCAGUGAGGGAAAAUUAUGAUCUCGAAAAGGGCCUAUCUAUUUGAAGUAUAUCAGUUCUUCUAAAGUUGUCUCACUGUUUUACUUAAGUGGGAGGUUUAAAUAUACUUUCGCUCCUACGUGAAUAUUGCCAUUAGUUGUUCACACGUCUUUAUUGCACAAGUUGUAUGAUUAUAUCUUCGUAUAUAAUUUUUUUUUUAAAUUUGCAAUAUUUGUGUGAACAAUUGUCAUUUAUUAUUAUUAUUUUUGGCAAUAUUGCUUUGAGAUGGAAAAGUAGACUCGAGUAUAGCACUUGACUUGGUUGAUCUUGUUAUUGUUAUACUUCAAGUAAAGUUACUAAAGUUCCAGAAUUACAGUUUAAUGAAAUAAGACUUGUUUUAAAGGAUAAAUUAAAAUAUUAAAUUUAUGUAGAAAUUUGCCCUUUGGCAUUUUUCAAAGUACCAUGGUAUUUCAAAUUGUUGAUCAAAAUUUUGUUUGAGUCUAUUGAGGAAUAGUUUCAAGAAUAUGGAAGAUCUAAAGUUAUAGUUUCAAUGAGCAUUAAUAGAUAGUGUUGUUUGCUAGAUCAUUAGAGAAGAACUUUUCUUCUUGACCAUUAUAAAGUACAAUUUUUAUGGUUCACCAAAUUUGAAGGGUCCACAGUUUUUCAGUGUUUGGGGUUUAAUUUUGUGUUUAUAUUCAAGUGUCAAUAAGUGGUUGACAUGUAUUCUCCAAUUGUGGUGAAUAAUAAAUGAGGGGAAGUUGAGAAAAAUUCCAUGGGUCCAACUCAUAAUUUUGAACGUCAGAAAAUUUUAACACUAAGUAAAGACUUAUACAAAAAUAAGACUUAUAGAAUAACAAAGAUGCAAGAGUUCCUAACUAUUAUGUUAGAGUACUGUUGACCCUAGCAUAUACGGCUAGUUUGAUUGUUUGAAAUUUGAUUUCUUUGGCCGGCGCCUAUGGUGGUGUAGCCAGCCCUUCAGCAGAAGGCUGAAGGGCUUGCCUCCCCUUCCAUGAAAUCCUUUGCAGAAAUUCUGAUGCAGCAUCCUAAACAAUCAGUGGCUAAGGAUGAAUUGUUGCAGGCUUUCUUGUUGUCUCAUCAAUCAUCCAUAGCUAAGGAUGUCUCGAGCUUUAAGAGGCAACUAGUAGUGUUUUUUUUUUUUUCUGAUGGUGAUAUUCAAGUUCUUUAUGCUCCUUUCAAGUUUGCUUUGGUGGGAAAGUUUUCACGAGGAUGACUGAACAUGGAUUCUCUAUGGAAACAAUUCAGGCUGUAGGGUUCAAGGGAACGUUUAGUCUUGGCCUUCUUAAUUCUCGUCAUGUGUUGAUUCAGUUUGCUCUGGAAGAGGACUACUUGCACUGUUGGCUUUUGGGGGUUUGUGGUCUUUUUAGGGUUUCAUCAUGAGGGUGUUCAAGUGGACCUCUUCUUUCUCGGUCGAUGCGGAAUCCUCCAUUGUUCCAGUUUGGGUGUCACUUCCAAAUCUACCCAUACAUUUUUUUUUGACAAGGGGCCUCUCUUUUCCAUCGCAAGACUAAUUGGCGAGCCAUGAAGGUGGACGCUUCGACUGUCACUUUGAGUAGACCGAGUGUGGCUCAAUUCUGUGUUGAAAUUGAUCUUCUCCAUGAUUUACCGGACAAGAUUUGGAUUGGAAACGGCUCACAAAGGGGUUUUUGAUAGAUGAUAGAAUAUGAGAAUUUGCCUCAAUUAUGUUCUGCUUGUAGUAGGUUAGGAAACAAUGUUUCUUCAUGUUGUAUGGGGCUUCCAACUAGUGCAGAAAAUGAGAAAGCACAAAUUCACCAAGGCAAAGAAUGGAUACCCAAGCAGAAGGAAACCGGAGAGCAGGAUAUCAUCCCGUCGGAUCAACCAGCAAUGGUAGGGUCUUUGAAAAUGGUGUUCUGGGUAAAUCCAACUGCGGCAACUACUAGCUCCUCUAGACUAUGGGAGGAGGAGAAAGAGUUGAUCCCUAAGGGCGUGGGUAAGGGCGGGCAUGUUUUAGCCCACACAAAGGAAGAGAUGCCCUUGGACUUGUGACAGGUCACUACGGUGCAGCGAACUUCGGAUGUUGCAAUAAAGGGGGAUGGGAAGGUACCACGUGUGCUCAAGUUCUUGGUGGAAAGACCAAGGGUUUUUCAAACACAAAUGCUUUCAUGAUUUUAGAGAAUCUAGAGGAGCAGCGUACAUCAACCAAGCCUGAUGGCAUCAAUUGGUAGCAGCCUCUAUGUUGGAAGUCUAGCUUGUUGUCGCCAGUUAAGAAAUUGAAGGUGGAUAACGGAAGACGGUGAUCAAUGGGGGAUGGCUCAAGUGAAGUGUCAUUGGAUGAACUCCAACAGUUCCAGAGAGAUUUGGAGGGUAGGCUUCGGUCCACUAGUAUUAUCUCCAAUCCUCACCAACUCUUUUCGGAUGCUGACCGCUACAGGCGAUUGGUGACAGACCAGCAACCGGUAACACAGUUUAAAAAACGUGGCCGGCUUUCUACAAAAGACAGGCGUGAUAAUUCGAGUCUACUCCAACAAGGGAAAAUCGGUUGCAUGAAGUGUAGAGAAAGAUUAGCUUCGGCACACAGCAAAAAAUCUGGUACGCCAGUGAUUCCAACUCCAGCUAACGAAUUGUUGAAUUUUUUAUGGUUGUACCGAUAACCAUGUUGAUUUGGAAUAUACGAGGGAUCUCAUAACAAAAUUCCUUGUGGUAUUUGAAAGAGUUAUGUUCAUGAAACCAAGUUCAGUUUUUAGUGAUUAUUGAACCUCUAACUAUCUCGACUUCAAUUCAAACGUUUAGAAUCAAGCUCCAGUUUGAUUUUGCUUCAUACUUUUUGGAGGGCAGAAUAUGGUUCUUUUGGCAACACUUAGUCUGCUCCUUUCUUCCUCUUGUAAACCAGCUAGUGCAUGUUGACAUUGUGCUUUCUUCUUCCUUAAAGUUCAUUUUAUAGCAGUGCAUGGCAAGUAUUCUAGGUCAACAAGGCAGCCCAUAUGGAUAGCUUUAGAAGCCAUUGCUAGGGAUAUGGAUGCGCCUUGGAUGGUAGGGGGUAUUUUAACACCAUUACUUCAGCCAACGAACGGAGGGGAGGGGCAAAUCCUAGGAGGGGUGAUAUGGAGAAUUUCCAGGACAUGAUUCAGAUGACGAAUCUUUUUGAUUUACACUUUGACGGUUCGCAAUUUAGUUGGACAAAUGGGCAGGCUUGGCAAUGUUUGGAUAGAAUUCUAGUUAACAGUGCACGGAAUUCAGCUUUUAGUCUAGUGCAUCUAUAUCACCUGGUUAGAGGGCAAUCAGAUUAUUCCACGUUGCAGGUUCGGUCAUCUAAUUUGUCCGGGGGUAAAAGUUCUUUCCAAUUUCUUAAUGUUUGGCCCCACCAUCCGGACUUUAAACAAGUGGUGCAACAUUCGUGGGGCCAACCAAUUAUUGUGGGAGGUAUGGUCGGUUUCUUUGCAAAGCUGAUGCGGUUGAGGAAAGCUUUGCGUAAGUGGAAUUGGCACACGUUUGGUCACAGCGGACGGAAUUCGAAGAGGGCGGAAGAAGUGUUGCUACGGCAACAAUAGUUAUAUGAUCAACAUGGGGGUGAUAUGUUGUGAUGUAAUCGAAAUGAAAUUAGAGCUGAACACACGCGUUUGGUAGCAGUUCAACAGGAGUUUUGGUGCCAAAGAGCGUCCAUUAAAUGGUUGCAACAGGGGGAUGCUAAUACAAAAUAUUUUCAUGCACGAGUGAGACAACGAUGCAAUGUGAACUACACUAGUCACAUAAGAAGGGAUGAUGCAAGCUGGAUAGAUUCGCUCACGGAUAUUUAAAAUUCAGCAAUAGAGUUUUUUAGAUCUCUGUUUGAUUAUAGAGAUUAUGUAACAGCCUUGGAGAACAUUCCGUUUCGUAUUCCUUCCAUUUCUCACCAACAUAGAAAGGAGCCAGAUUCUCUACCUUCGGAGGAGGAGGAGGAGGUGGUAAAAGAGGUAGUGUUUGGUAUUAACAAGGAUAAUGCAGCGGGCCCGGAUAGCUUUUCAGUAUUAUUUUAUCAUUCUUGCUGGGACCUAAUUAGAUAGGAUAUGCACACGUUUGGUCACAGCGGAAUUGGCACACGUUUGGUCACAGCGGACGGAAUUCGAAGAGGGCGGAAGAAGUGUUGCUACGGCAACAAUAGUUAUAUGAUCAACAUGGGGGUGAUAUGUUGUGAUGUAAUCGAAAUGAAAUUAGAGCUGAACACACGCGUUUGGUAGCAGUUCAACAGGAGUUUUGGUGCCAAAGAGCGUCCAUUAAAUGGUUGCAACAGGGGGAUGCUAAUACAAAAUAUUUUCAUGCACGAGUGAGACAACGAUGCAAUGUGAACUACACUAGUCACAUAAGAAGGGAUGAUGCAAGCUGGAUAGAUUCGCUCACGGAUAUUUAAAAUUCAGCAAUAGAGUUUUUUAGAUCUCUGUUUGAUUAUAGAGAUUAUGUAACAGCCUUGGAGAACAUUCCGUUUCGUAUUCCUUCCAUUUCUCACCAACAUAGAAAGGAGCCAGAUUCUCUACCUUCGGAGGAGGAGGAGGAGGUGGUAAAAGAGGUAGUGUUUGGUAUUAACAAGGAUAAUGCAGCGGGCCCGGAUAGCUUUUCAGUAUUAUUUUAUCAUUCUUGCUGGGACCUAAUUAGAUAGGAUAUGCUAUUGGCAGUGGAGGAUUUUUUCUUGGGAGGCAGGCAGUUAAAAGGUUUCACUAGCACAAUGGUGAUUCUUAUCCCAAAGAAGACAGAUGAUGUGAGAUGGUCAGAGUUCCAACCUAUCAGUUUGUGCAACAUGAGUUCCAAAAUCCUGUCGAAGAUACUGGUUAACAAGAUCAAUAGGGUACUGCCCGAUAUAAUUUCGCCGUUUCAGCCUGGUUUUGUACCAAGCCGACACAUAAAUUAAGGAUAAUAUCUUGUUGGCUCAAGAGUUGUUGACUGAUAUUAGCAGGAAGCUGAGAGAACUGAAUGUCGCUCUUAAAUUGGACAUGGAGAAGGCCUAUGAUAAACUGGACUGGUCUUUUGUUAUGUCCAUGCUCAGGGCAAUUGGCUUUGGCCACUGGUAUAUUGAUUUGGUUUAUCGCUCUCUGUCGAACAACUGGUUCUCAAUUCUGAUAAAUGGAGAACCGGUGUGCUUUUUCAAGUCAUAUCGGGGAGCACGUCAGGGUGACCCAUUGUCUCUGGCUCUGUUCACUAUAGCGGCCAAAUUUUUAAAUUGGGGAAUUCACCAUUUGCUGAAAAUUGGAAGGCAUAUGUUCUACAACGCUGCUGGAGGUCAGAUCCCUAUGCUAUCAUUUGCAGAUGACACAAUGAUCUUCACGUGUAUAUCCCGACAGGGUUUAAGAUGAGUGAAAGACUUUUGGAUUUGUAUCAGCGGGUUUCGGACCAAAGGAUAAACAUCUCAAAGUGCUCUUUCAUUUGGUCCCAUAAAUUGUGUCAGUCAAAAGUUUAGCUAGUUAGCUCUAUCUUUGGUUUCUGUAGAGAACAAUUGCCUCUUCGAUAUUUCGGGGCUCCCUUAUUUACAAGUUGCCUGCAAAGGAGGAUAUUUGAUGGAAUUCUAGACAGGGUAAGAGCCCGAAAUGUAGAGCUGGAGUUGUAGGUUUUUGUCGCAUGGAGGGAGAAUAAUCCACCAAAUGCAAAGGUACCAAAUGCAAAGGUACCCAUGCAUCUCAAAUAUGGUUAAGGCAUUUGGGAUGAAAUUAUGGGUGAGACUAUGUGAGGGUAUUUUGGUUUGGGCAAAAUUCAUAUGACAAAAAUAUUGUCGGCAAGUGCAUCCUAUGUUGGUAGAGGGGUCAAAAGGGUCCAUUAUUUGGCGGCAGCUGUGCUCUGUACGAGAAGAGGAAAAGUAGAUUUUUUGGCAAGAAAGGGACGCCUUGAUAGAGCCUCUGAGUGAGGCUUGCCAGCUGCAACACUAUCCUCAAAUGACCGUGGCGUCUUUCUUUCAAGGGAGGGAGUGGGAUGUUCGAUGGUUAUAGGAAUGGGUACCUUUGCAUUUGGUGGAGAUGAUUCUGAAAGUAGCCUUCUGGCCAUCUUGCAAGGAUGUUUUACUAUGGAACAGCUGUCCCUAUGACUUGGCACGAGAGAAAUGUGGUUCUUCACUUGUAUUGUGAGAGGUUUGGAAUUCGAUGCUACUGGUGAAGAUCUCCUUUUUGGCCAGAAGAGUAGUGAACAACUUUUUGCCGCUUGAUAGUAUUCUGUAGUGUCAUGGAGUUACCUUAGUGUCAAGAUGCCAGUGUUGUUCAUCGCUGGAAACAAUUCGACAUGUUUUUUUUGACAGUGCUAUGGCCCAAGAGGUGUGGAGGUACUUUUGCUCUCUUUUUGGGAUUCGUUUCAUUCAACCUUAUAAUCUAGGUGUCGUUAUUAUGCACUAGCUUUUGUCGAUCGAUAAAGGGCAUCCAUACCAUGUCAGAGGUCUAGUCCCGAUAAUUGUGGUGUGGUUUAUUUGGCGUCAGAGGAAUGCAGCUAGGUUUGAUGGGAUUCAGAUGGAUGUGGAGUGUAUCACUAGGGGGGUGCUCCUUUUCUUAAAGCUGUUAGGAACUGCAACCAGGAUUGACAAGAAGUAGCUAAUAGGGGAUUUAGAUUCGCCUAUAUCUCCUUUCUUCAAAUUUAAGUGUUGCAAAAGGAAAGUAUGUAUUCCAAUAAAAUGGACGGCGCCAAAAUCGACUUCCUUUAAACUUAACACAGAUGCUAGCGUAAAUAAUAGAGGGCAGUUGGAGGGGGGUCAGUUGGAGGGGGGUCCUUCGCGAUCAUCAAGGCAAAAUCAUCAUGACAUUUUAUAAGGAAUUUGGAGACAUGUUGGUGCUAAAGGCUAAGGCCCAAGCUUUGCUUUAUGGGUUAGAGUUAUGCUGCAGUGGGGGCUGGAAUCGGAUUGAAGCUGAAGUGGAUUCAAAGGCUCUCUACCUUUCAAUAAUAUCAAACCUGUCAUCUACUUGGCCACUUUGUAACAUCAUUCGGAAGAUAAAGGUCCUACUAGAGAACCAAAGUGGGAGCUUACAUCACAUCUAUGGGGAAGUGAAUGCGAUGGCAAAUGCCUUGGCGGGUCUAUCGGCUAGCAGCCAGGGGUUUUUUAGUUCCUUGUCAAGUAUACCACAACAUAUUCAGUCGCUAGUUAGGCUUGAUAACUCUUCUUAUGUAGUAGUUAGACGUAUCGAGGAGUAGUACUUCUUGUUUCACAGCUUUUCUCAUGUAUCAGUAGCUUCUCCUUUUCUGAUUAUUAAUAAAAACUAGGUGGCGCCCAUCCCCAUGUAUGGGGUUCGGCCAAAAAAGAACUCAUAAUUUUGACGUUAAAAAUACUAAAUGUCAAUUUCAGGGUGAUUCAAGUUUUAUGAGUUCAAGUUGUAUGAAAAAUUAACAUAAUUUAUUUUUCUUUUGUUUGUUUUAAAUCCUUCAUUUGUUAGUUGAUAUUUUUAUCUAACUUUUGGGGUUUGAUAAUAUGGUAUCUGUCAUUGGUUAAUGUCAUUGAUAGUACAUACACAAAGUCAAAUAAAGGGGAAGGAAAUGUUAAUUUUUAAAGGCAUGAAUUUUCUUGCAAUAAAGAUUUUCUAAUUAAUGCCCACUUAUUUUGGACCCUAUUACUUAUCUUAUGCUAUAAAAAGUUAUCACUUCUGUAAUGAUUGUAGGGUCAAUAAAAUUCUUGACACUCUAAGAUGAAUAGUGUGGUCAAAUGAUUUUAAAAAAUGCUCAUAAAGAUAUGGUCAAGUGUAUUACGAAUAGUUUUUGUCUAAAUCUCUUUAAAAUGGAACAUGAUAUAUAUAGCCAUAUGUAUCUUUAGCUUGCCAAACAAUUUUGUUCCAAAAUUUUCUAAUAAGAUUUAGAUUUGGAGAAGAACUAGUUUCAAAUACAUUGUGUUUGGAAUUAUCUAGUUGAGAAAGAUCAUAUGUUCAACAGAAACUUAGACGUUGUAUCAUAUAUGGUAUGUUUCUGUAAUUAAGUUUUUUAAAGGGCCUUUAUGGAGUUACAAUUUUUCACUAUGGCAUUUGAUAUCAUUCUUAAGGCCUGUGGGAACAAAUUUAGUUUUGCCCAUAUUCUAUCGUUUGGUUAAGAGAUAUUAUUCCAAGAACUUUGAUGUAAAAGAUCUUGGGGGAGCUAGCAUACUUUUGAUAUUGUGAAAAUAAAGAAUGGUUGGGACUUAUCCUUUACAUUGAUUAUAUACUUAAAGUCAAAUGUGAAACUACAUGUCAAUUUGUCUCAAAUGGCUAAAGAUAAAUUGCGGCUAAAAGCAAUACAGUAAAAAUAACCUUUAAGAAUUUCAUGAAAAAUUUGAUACAAUUUGUAACGAGUAAUCUUUAUAUUAGUUUCUUGUAUAAGACCCGAUAUUAUCUACAUAGUAAUUGUGUUGGUGGAUAAAUUUGGCAAAUAUUGGUCUAUGCAUUAUGUAUUUGCUAAUGAAAUAAUAAGGUUUAAGAACUAAAGAUCACUUGUUUUUCUUUGAGCAUUCGAAAAUCUUAAAUGUAGUUUAGACAGAUAUUGUACACACUAGUCUUAUAGGGCAAUUAAGUUAUUUAAAAUCCUCUAGAAUGGCGGUUAUAUCUGUCUUAAUUUAACGCUCAAAGGGCUCAUGUUGAGCAUGUUUUGUUUUAAGGGCUUAUGUUUUUUUUAUUCUAUUUCUGGAUCAAGUUUGAUGUUUCCGCUGCUGUGUUCGCAAUAAUGAGCACUAAACUUUGAAUUGCCUGAUAUGGAUGUUUAUAGUUUUUCCAAUUUUUUUUAUGUAAAGUAAGGGAAUGGGUUUAUAAGUGUAAUGUGGUUUAUGAAUUCAUUACAAUGAUUAAACAUUCAGUAAUUAUUAACCAAGUCACUUACACCAUAAUAGUCUGACAAAUAUUUCAAAUGUGUGGUAUGUUUUAUAUGGUUGUACUUGGUCAGUGGGAGUUAUAAAUAACUCAUAACUCUCAUGUAUGUAGUUUAUAGUUAUUUAAGUUGAUAAAGUUUUCAUUCCUUGAUCUAUGCAGUUAUCAAUAUGAUUUACUCAUAUAUGCGCACAUUUGAGGAUUAUACUGCACAGAACUGAUAUUAAAUAUUCAAUAAAAGCUAUACACUAAUUGCUUCAUAUGUGAAGUGCUUUCGGAUUUGAAACGGUAAAGUGGACGAAGUCCUACGCAUGUUUCCUUUGUGAAGUGGCUUCAGUUUAUAAGCACUAAAGGGGACGCCAAUCUUGUAUAGAAUCGGUUUAAGACUAUGAAGUGGACUGAAUGUUACCUUGACUUGAUUAUAUUUCUUUUGGAUCAUGUGAGUCAAAUCACAGCACUCUUUAUCACACUGGAAUUUGGGUCUAUGAAGUAUUAGUAUUUGUAAUUAUGGAGGUCCUAUAUUAAUAAAUGAUGUAAUAACAUCUAUAGAUCGAUACAAGUACUCUCACUGGAUAAUAAUUGUUUGUUUUGCAUAUUUUAAGCGUGUUUAUUUGAUUACUAUUGGUGUGAAUAAGGGUUUUUAAGGAUGAAACUUGCUCUUCAAUCUUCUAUAUUUACAAGUUUCAUUUUAUAAUCAAAACUUGCAUUUGAGUAGUUUAAUGUGCAAAUUUGGUUGCAUUUGUAGGAUUUGAAAAGCAAUGAUCAUUUUGGAUCAAGGAGGAUUCAUGCAAUUAAGUUGGACGCAAUUCAAGGAUGAUUUGGAGAAUAUUAGACCAACAAAUGUAGUUCUUUAGGCUUAAAACGCGAUCUCAAUACGUGGGCAUCUCUAUUUUUAUCUCCUUGAUGAUAUUGGAGUAGAAAAUGACAAAAAAAUACAGGGGAGGCAAUACACACCCUGAAUAUGCAACCUUGAACAUGCAUAUUCAGCAUGCGUAUUUUGAAGAUGGCCGUACAAUUUGCACUGCCAAUUGCUCAGCUUUCACAUAGCUUUUUCAACUCAUUAACAGAUCAAUUUUGGCUACAUCUUACAAAAGUAACAUUAGAAACUCAAAGAAGCAUCUUUUGGUGAGUUCAAGACACAAGUUGUACAACUUUAACAUGAUUGAUUGGAGCUUAAUUCAUCUACAAAUAGAGGUCUUGGAGAACAUUUUUCAUAACUUUGGAAGGCCAGAGACACUAUCAAAAUAUAGUUUUUACUAGUUUUUUUUAGUUCAUUAGUUUAGUAUAGAAUAAUAUAGUUUCCAUCCAUUCUUGUAUUGCUAAACUUGAAUGAGAUAGAAGAUGAAGAUGGAGAUGCUUGGAACUCAUGUGACAAGAGUGACUUCUCUCCUACCAUUUUAUUUCUUGUAUUAAUUCUUAUGUUUGGCUGCAAUACAAGUCUGAUAUUUGUUUUCAUAUUUAGCACAAUUUAUGUCUAGAGUUAUGGAAGAACUUUCUAUAUUUUAUUUGUGAUAUUGAUGAUAUUAUUUUGAACAAGUUAUUUGGCACUUUUUGCUUAUCUAAACAUGAUUAACUGACCAUUAAUUAUGAUAAUAUUAAGGUGUUAAUUUUAUAAUGAGAAAUAAAAUUUGACACUAGUUUAAGGAAGCGUUAAAUCUAGGGAAUACACUCACGAGAGUAGAAGUGCACCUUUUGUAACUAUAGUGCUUUGUUUCAUGUAAUUUCAUAAAAGAAAUAAACUUGUAGUUAAUUUUAUAACCACAAGAGUAGGCAUGGUUUAAGUACAAGUAUAGUUAAUUUACUACGAAAUUAAGUUUCACAUAUAUUAGAAAAUUACACCACAACUAGCCAAGAUAAUAACAUUCAAUUAACAAAUAAUUUAACUUGCAAGUGCAGUGAGGAAUUCCAUAGCCCUAAGAGAUUUCUAUUAUUAUUUUUAUUACUUUGUUUUCAUGUUUGUAGUGUAGAUUUAAUCUCUUGCAUUUGUGGUAGUCUAAAUAAUAAAGAAAUUCAAAAAUUAUCGGUAAUUGACAAUUUUCUCUUAUGGGAUCGAUACCUAAUAUCCUUGUACUCGAUAAACAAUCUGUAUAUUUGCAAAAAAUGGGUUAUUUAGAUUUCAUUAAAAUUUGGUGCAUAAUAGAAUCUCAUUAAAGAUAUUUUCUUACAGUGACCAACAAAGUUAUGUUUAACUCGAGAGUCACUUUCUAAAAUUAUUUUGAAAUUGACAUUUCAAUUGCUUUUAAACUCAAGUUUCAAUUAAUCAGUUGCCCAAGUGGGAGAAUUUUAGAAUUAUUUUUAAUUUGGGUUACUACUGAUUAAUUUUGUUUUGUUAAAAAUGGAUUAGAUGAAGACCAGUAAGCCCCACUAUAGUAUAAUCCACUACAGUUGGGGCCUAAGUCUGUCUCAGUCAUCUAUUUGGUGUGAUAUGCAAGAUUUAGGGUCUGUUAUUUUAGAUUAGGGUUACCUUAAUAUUGGGAGGCUCCACGAUAGUUAUAAAAAGACCAAGUCCCUCUCUCUCAUCUAAUACUAGCAUCGUAUUGCUAGUGUGGCUCGUCCCAUUGAUAGUCAUUAUACAAAACUUGGAGAUGGAGAGAGAGCCACCUAUACCAAGCACACAAACUAUAACGUGCUGAUCAAGGUUGUUAGGCAUCUCUCCUCGAUCUAUCUUCGAAGAACAAUAUGCGUUUAUAUUAUAAUUAUAUUCAAACAUCUGAUAUUGGAUCCUAAAAAUUCCUGCAAAGUGGUUUCUUUAUUGUGAGCUGCAAUGUGUGUAUGAAUUCUAAGAGUUAUUUGGUGCAAAUGUGCUGAGAAUUUGAUUUGCUUAUAUAGUUGAUGUUAGAAAAUUAGCUUAAUUUCUUUUAGACAUGUUUCUUGUUUCGUGUUGAAAAAACUAGUUUCCUAAUUUGUUUUAGUUACUUGAAAUAGAAACCACGGAAUUUCCUAUUUGUAUAAGUUUAGAAAUUAGAAAUUAUUUUCUAUUCUUUAUGAGAUUAGGAUUAGUGGUUAUUUCCUGUUAUUACAUGGGUAUUGAUCAGCUAAUGUAACUUAUAAAUAGGUGGGUUUGGCAUAAUACAGAGGAACAUACAAGAGCAACAUGUAACCUUAUACAUCGGGUGAGAGAUGAUUCUUGAAUAUGAGAGAUGGUAUAUAAGAUUUGGGUUUGGGUUUAAAUUGUAUUCUUGUAUAGGAUUUUUCUCUCAUAAUGAAGAACAUGCUUCUCUUCAUGGACGUAGGUUCAAUGAUAGGGGUGAACCAUGUUAAAUCUUGUGUGUCAUUUAUCUUUUAUACUUGUGGCUUAUUUGUCAUUAAAUUUUUGUAUUUUUGAUGUCCCAAUAGUUGUUUGUUCCGUACUUGGAUCCUAACAGACUGGUAUUUGAGCAAGAUUCAUGGUUCACGAAUAAUAAUCCUUGAAGUAUCACAAGCAGUUGCUACAAGAAAAAAGUGAUUUAAUGACUGAUAACUGUUCAUUUUGUAUGUUUUUAGUGUGUUUUAUUGCUUGAUUUUUAGUAUGUUUAUUCAUUUUAAGAACUAAAUAAUUAGAUUUUUAGAGAAUUUUUUAUUUUGUGAUUUAAGUAUGAAAAAUUGCAUUUCUAUGGAUUUAAGUAGUGAAAACUUCAUAUUUUACAGGUUUUAAGGAUUCAAUCAUCAAAUGGAGUAAUUGAGAAGAUACUUGGAUAGUUCUUGACAAUUUGAAGUUAAUUUCAAGUGACAUGAAGUCCAAAAUGAAAACGCAAUCAAGUGGCAAUAGAGAAAAGCAUUGGCAACACUGACAUGUUCUAGUAUUCUAGCUAUUGAGUUAUAAGUAUUAAAUUGAGAUGAUUUUUGAAUAUUUUAAAGGUAAGUGUGACAGCCCCACCUUCCCCUAAGGCGAACCAAAGGGGUUAGCGGACUGUCUGCCCAACUCUCGCCAGGACUAACGGUGCAGUUUAGAGCGAUCUAUUGCGUUCCGGAACUUAUAACGCACGUAAACAAGUCAAAAUGGCAAAAUAACCAAAAAUAAAAAAAAAAGAAAUCCGGAGUCGGCCAUAAAUAGUAACCGACCCGUCAGAACCCAAUCAAAUAUCAAAAUACAUACACCACAUAACAUUUAGCAUUUACAAGCCAAAAUGGCAUACAAAAGUGAUACAAAAGUUACUACAUGUAUGGUUUGCCAAAAUCAAAAGUGAAACGGCCCUAAAGGUACAUUUAGGGUUUCGAUUCAUAAGCUAUACAAAAGAGACAUUAAUUUAGCUCAUUCGGCAACCAACUAGCAAGAAUCAUUCCAAAAGUAGUCAUAUGCCUGUAAGGAAAACAAAAGGAAUGGUGUGAGCUAAUUGCCCAGUGAGAUCAUACUACCCAAGCAACCAAGUUCAUGUAAACAUAAAGCUUUUCGGUGAAUAAAAGGCACACAUCCCAUGUGGUGAUAAAAGGAUACGGAUGGCUCUCAAGAGCCAUUUUCCUCGUUUGCAUUUCUUGAUCGGACGUCAUUGACUCUCCAUCAAUGUUCAAAAGUAACCAACCGUAGACUCCACUUUACUUCCAUUCCUUCCACCUAACAUUCCCCAACCGGGCCCGAAAUCCAAACACUUGCAUUGUGGUAUUACUCGAGUAAACCGGAAUCGAGAGUCUCUCAUACUACAAGAUUCCAUAUAACAUGUCCCCAAGGCACAUUAAUUGGCACGACCAAGCCCUCACCGGGUCAAUUCAAUCAAUUACCAAUGGGGUUGAGAUCAAGGAUAACAAUUGUAGUCGUUGGAUACUCGUCCAAAUGACACCAAGUCAUGUGUUUCAUUUCAUAUAACAUUCCAAUAACUUUCCAAUAACAUGCUAAACAAUAAGUGAGAGUGAUAAAGUACACGCUCACUUUAAUCAAUUAACAUUCAACACCUCAAGUUCAAGUAUCAAAAUCAUAUAAUAACACACAAGUGAGUAGUACACUCACCAAGCUUGCAAAUGAGGUUUCAUGCACUUCCGUCACAAGAACGUCGUGAACCACCGUCAUGCCCUAAAGCAUGCAACAAGUAUAAUGAGACUCGAUAAUGAGUCAUAAACCAAUGCCAAAUAUGACCCCAAUAGGGUUCCAUAAGCAUACACAACCAUUAGAGGAAACCAGAAAAUUCAGAAAUGCAAUUCGCUUUGGCCCUGAAAAAUAUAGUUUUUGACCACCUUUUGCGGUAAUGGCACCAAUUGCACUACGAUUAUCAGAUGAAGGUGUAAGAUACACCGUUUCGAAGAUAAAAGAUAGGGCUACAACAUCACAGAAGGUCAGAUGAAGGUGUAAGAUACACCGUUUCGAAGAUAAAAGAUAGGGCUACAACAUCACAGAAGGUCACUCAACCCAGUUUUGAGUGCAACCAUGUCAAAAAUGCAAGAUACUACACCAAAACCGCAAUAACAGUUUCACAGAACGCAUUCUGGUGUAAACUUCAUAACUCAGCCUACCUAAGUCCAAAUCUAGAAUUCCAAUGCCACUCGAAAGCUUAGAAACAAGGCUACAUUUCAUCAGAAGACCUCAACAACCAAUUUCGAAGCAAUUCCAGCCAAAACAACCAAUUACAGGCGCAAUUCUUACAUUCGGACAAAACCAGGAUAGCAAGGGUAAUUUCAACUUUUCUCAUUCUACGCUACUCCGAUUGAGCUAAAAUUUUGUAGGCACCUCUAAAACAUCAUUCCCUACAACUUUUAUGUUUUAAGCCAAGGUCAAUUCGGCCUCUAACUAGUAGCUACAAAAUCGGGCAGAAUGUUCCCACUUAAAACCCUAACUUUCUACAAUUUCUUCCAAAUCAGAAAUUGGUUGCAAUUAAUCACUUUUUCCACCUCCUAGAGUCAUUAAACAUCAUUUUCAAUCAUCAUAGAUAGCAACACAAUCAUGUUCAUAUUAAAACAGAAAAAUCACUAAUAAAUAGAAAACUUCACUAAUCCAACCAAAAAUCAAGAUGUAAUCCAUAAAGUUUCAUCUCAUACCACUACUAAUCAUAAAUUAGGCAUCAUUAAAGGAAGGAAAGUGAUUCUUCACAACUCACCUUAGGAACAAGAGAGAGAGAGCAAUAGGUCCUCUUAACUUUCCAAAUAACUCCACAAAUCAACUCACUAACACUAAUUGAAGAGGUUUUAUGGAGAAAUUGCAAGUUUCAAUGGUUGGUUGGAUGGAUUUGAGUUAAAUGGAAGCAAAACUUGAAGAGUUUCUUUCUUUCUUUUUGAGAGAGAGAGCCGGCCACAAGAGAAGAGAAAAUGGAAAAAUUUUGGUUAAUUUUGUGCUUUAUUUGGUCAAAUAGAAAAGGUGAAUAGUAGUCUUAUUGUAAGAAGCAAUCCCAUGGUGACAUUUGUCACCUUUAUUAAAUGCUUACCUAACUUGUCUCUCUUAUACCAAUCCACUUAACAUCCUCUACUUGUCUCUUAACACCCGGUAAAUUAAUUCCAAUAUCCAAAACUUAAUCUAGUUGGCCGAAUUUUUUCAAACUUUUUGCACUUGUGGGUCCCACUUUCGGUAUACGCUCUUAAUUUCUCAAAACCUAUUCAAUACUAGAAAAAUCAUCUAAAAAUUAUAUCUGCUCCUUAAAAUUAUCUAGAAAUGUUCCUAAUCCCGAAAAUACAGAAAACAAGCCAUGAAAAAUAAUAAAACCUAGAAAAUGAGGAAAAGUACAGGUUCUCACACUCUCUCUCCCUUAAAAGAAUUUCGCCCUCGAAAUUUCUCACCUUAACUCACGAAAAGUUCAGGGUAUUUCUCUCGCAUUUCUUUUUCCACUUCCCAGGUAGCUUCCUCUACCCCAUGGUUUCUCCACAGUAUCUUUACUAACGGAAUCUGCUUGUUUCUUAGCUCCUUGACUUUCCGGUCAAGUAUUUGGACAGGUUUUUCUUCGUAAGCAAGCGAUUCGUCCACGUCGAUCUCCUCUGGUUGUAAGAUAUGGGAUGGGUCGGGAUAGUACUUCUUGAGGAUCGAGACGUGGAAAACGUCGAAAAUUCUCGAGAGACUUGACGACAGGUCUAAUGUAUACGCUACCGCACCUAUCCUCUGUAGGAUCUUGUAGGAUCCAACAAACCUCGGUUGGAGCUUCUUUCCUUUGCCUGCCAUGACACUCUGUAAAGGUGUGACUUUAAGAAAUACGUGGUCUCCAAUCUCGAACUCUAAAUCUUUUCUUCGAUUGUCUACGUAGCUCUUUUGUCGACUUUGAGCUGUUUGGAAUCGUUGCCGUAUCAACUUGACCUUUUCUCGAGUUUCCUCCAUCCAAGGAAUAGUUGUUGGAUCCAGUGCCUUCCUCUCGCCAAUUUCAUCCCAAUAGAUUGGUGAUCGGCAUUUUUGUCCAUAGAGUGCUUCAUAUGGAGCCAUUUGAAUCGACGAAUGGUAACUAUUGUUGUAUGCAAACUCUACUAAGGUCAUGUGUUGACCCCAGUUGCCUCCAAAAUCCAAAAUGCAAGUUCGUAACAUGUCCUCGAGAGUUUGGAUAGUUCGCUCCGAUUGUACAUCCGUCUGAGGGUGAUAGGUAGUGCUCAAGUUGAGUUUCGUUCCUAUCCGAUUGUACAAAAUGAUUAGCUAAGGCCCUUUCCCUAUCCGCCCUAUGCACAGAAGCAAAACUAUCCAAAACAAACCCUAGAAGUCAUGACCUAGAUCGACGACGAGCUAUUAGACCCACCCGACGGAGUGGAUCCAACCUCAGCCUCAGGCCCCGCAUAUGAGUCCUCGUCACUCACGCCCUCGACCACAUCCGCGCAAAGGUUCAAGAUCGCUGCGGCUCAACCCUUAACCUUUCGAGCUCUCUUGGUCUCGCGCUCUUAGAUCUCCCAAAGUUGAGUGCAGAGGUCAUCAACCCUAUCCUCUGCCUCAAGCACGUCGUACUUCAAACCCUUAAUGCGCUCGGCCUGUCUCUCAUUGGCCGCCCUAAGUUGGGUCAACUCGGCCUCAAGUCUCGUAUUCUCUCCGGCCAACUCCUUACGCUCCUCAGCCACUGCAAAUACUAGAGUGUUAGGGUAGGCAUUCUUAUGUCGACACUCGCACCGUCUAAGGCGGUUAGACGGGCUCCAACGCACGACGGCCCCUCCCGGCCGUAUCUGGUACGGUAUCACUGGGAGUGCUCGACGAGGUCUCUCGCCCGGAGGACUAUCACUAUGCUCACCCUGUCCAGCCAUCCUACACCAAAAGAGCAAUUAACCAUAAAUAAGCUUAAAGGCCAUAAACAAAGAACCCUCACAUCGAGCAUUUCUAUUACACCCAGACUAAUUCAAACCAAGGCUCUGAUACCAUCUGUGACAACCCCACCUUCCCCUAAGGCGAACCAAAGGGGUUAGCGGACUGCCUGCCCAGCUCUCGCCUAGACUAAUGGUGCAGUUUAGAGCGAUCUAUUACGUUCCGGAACUUAUAACGCGCGUAAACAAGUCAAAAUGACAAAAUAAUCCAAAAUAAAAAAAAAGAAAUCCGGAGUCAGCCAUGAAUAGUAACCGACCCGUUAGAACCCAAUCAAACAUCAAAAUACAUACACCACAUAACAUUUAGCAUUUACAAACCAAAAUGGCAUACAAAAGUGAUACAAAAAUUACUACAUGUAUGGUUUGCCAAAAUCAAAAGUGAAACGGCCCUAAAGGUACAUUUAGGGUUUCGAUUCAUAAGUUAUACAAAAGAGACAUUCAUUUAGCUCAUUCGGCAACCAACUAGCAAGAAUCAUUCCAAAAGUAGUCAUAUGCCUGUAAGGAAAAUAAAAGGAAUGGUGUGAGCUAAUUGCCCAGUGAGAUCAUACUACCCAAGCAACCAAGUUCAUGUAAACAUAAAGCUUUUCGGUGAAUAAAAGGUACACAUCCCAUGUGGUGAUAAAAGGAUACGGAUGGCUCUCAAGAGCCCUUUUCCUCGUUUGCAUUUCUUGAUCGGACGUCAUUGACUCUCCGUCAAUGUUCAAAAGUAACCAACCGUAGACUCCACUUUACUUCCAUUCCUUCCACCUAACAUUCCCCAACCGGGCCCGAAAUCCAAACACUUGCAUUGUGGUAUUACUCGAGUAAACCGGAAUCGAGAGUCUCUCAUACUACAAGAUUCCAUAUAACAUGUCCCCAAUGCACAUUAAUUGGCACGACCAAGCCCUCACAGACUCGAUUCAAUCAAUUACCAAUGGGGUUGAACUCAAGGAUAACAAUUGUAGUCGUUAGAUACUUGUCCAAAUGACACCAAGUCAUGUGUUUCAUUUCAUAUAACAUUCCAAUAACUUUCCAAUAACAUGCGAAACAAUAAGUGAGUGUGAUAAAGUACGCUCUCACUUCAAUCAAUUAACAUUCAACACCUCAAGUUCAAGUAUCAAAGUCAUAUAAUAACACACAAGUGAGUAGUACACUCACCAAGCUUGCAAAUGAGGUUUCAUGCACUUCCGUCACAAGAACGUCGUGAAUCACCGUCACGCCCUAAAACAUGCAACAAGUACAAUGAGACUCGAUAAUGAGUCAUAAACCAAUGCCAAAUAUGACCUCAAUAGGGUUCCAUAAGAAUACACAACCAUUAGAGGAAACCAGAAAAUUCGGAAAUGCAAUUCGCUUUGGCCCUGAAAAAAUAGUUUUUGACCACCUUUUACGGUAAUGGCACCAAUUGCACUACAAUUAUCGGAUGAAGGUGUAAGAUACACCGUUUCGAAGAUAAAAGACAGGGCUACAACAUCAUAGAAGGUUACUCAACCCAGUUUUGAGUACAACCAUGUCAAAAAUGCAAGAUACUACACCAAAACCGCAAUAACAGUUUCACAGAACGCAUUCUGGUGUAAACUUCAUAACUCAGCCUACCUAAGUCCAAAUCCAGAAAUUCCAAAGCCACUCGAAAGCUUAGAAACAAGGCUACAUUUCAUCAGAAGACCUCAACAAUCAAUUCCAAAGCAAUUCCAGCCAAAACAACCAAUUACAGGCGCAAUUCUUACAUUCGGACAAAACCAGGACAGCAAGGGUAAUUUCGACUUUUCUCAUUCUACGCUACUCCGAUUGAGCUAAAAUUUUGUAGGCCCUCUAAAAUAUCAUUCCCUACAACUUUCAUGUUUUAAGACAAGGCCAAUUCGGCCUCUAACUAGUAGCUACAAAAUCGGGCAGAAUGUUCCCACUUAAAACCCUAACUUUCUACAAUUUCUUCCAAACCAGAAAUUGGUUGCAAUUAAUCACUUUUUCCACCUCCUAGAGUCAUUAAUCAUCAUUUCCAAUCAUCAUAGAUAGCCACACAAUCAUGUUCAUAUUAAAACAGAAAAAUCACCAAUAAAUAGAAAAUUUCACUAAUCCAACCAAAAAUCAAGAUGUAAUCCAUAAAGUUUCAUCUCAUACCACUACUAAUCAUAAAUUAGGCAUCAUUAGAGGAAGGAAAGUGAUUCUUCACUACUCACCUUAGGAACAAGAGAGAGAGAGCAAUAGGUCCUCUUAACUUUCCAAAUAACUCCACAAAUCAACUCACUAACACUAAUUGAAGAGGUUUUAUGGAGAAAUUGCAAAUUUCAAUGGUUGGUUGGAUGGAUUUGAGCUAAAUGGAAGCAAAACUUGAAGAGUUUCUUUCUUUCUUUUUGAGAGAGAGAGCCGGCCACAAGAGAAGAGAAAAUGGAGAAAUUUUGGUUAAUUUUGUGCUUUAUUUGGUCAAAUAGAAAAGGUGAAUAGUAGUCUUAUUGUAAGAAGCAAUCCCAUGGUGACAUUUGUCACCUUUAUUAAAUGCUUACCUAACUUGUCUCUCUUAUACCAAUCCACUUAACAUCCUCUACUUAUCUCUUAACACCCGAUAAAUUAAUUCUAGUAUCCAAAACUUAACCUAGUUGGCCGAAUUUUUUCGAACUUUUCGCACUUGUGGGUCCCACUUUCGGUAUACGCUCUUAAUUUCUCAAAACCUAUUCAAUACUAGAAAAAUCAUGUAAAAAUUAUAUCUGCUCCUUAAAAUUAUCUAGAAAUGUUCCUAAUCCCGAAAAUACAGAAAACAAGCCAUGAAAAAUAAUAAAACCUAGAAAAUGAGGAAAAGUACAGGUUCUCACAGUAAGACCAAGAGCUACAUUUCUUAUUAGAUACGAUAUCUAAUUUACAUGUUUUUGAGGGUCAAAAAGUAAAAAUGCAGUCAUGCAUUCAUGUUGCUACACUCUGGAAAAGGCUGCUGACCAAUUAGGGAUAUUUUGGUUAUUUCUUAGCUUCUAGAGCUCCAAAUGACAUGGUUCUUGAUGUAUUGAAAAUUAAUCUCAAAGGGUUACAAAUUCCACAUUUAUGCAAGAGUUAGUUUGGCCUCUACCAUUGAGAAAUUUGCAGCUCAAAAUUGAUGCAAAAUAGAUCAAUUUUGACGAUUCUUCAAAAAGUGCAAAACUUGCCACACUGUGGAUCCACGGCAUGUUCCACGGAUCUUGCCCCAUGGAUCCAUAUUUCGGCUACGUACGUUGCUCAGCUUUUUUACAGCCUUUUGACCACUUUUUGUGAAAUAAUUUUAGUUGUCUCUGUAGAAGGAAGCAUGGAGAUUUCAAGACGCAAUUUUUUGGAAUGUCAAGGAGCAUUUUUUUUUAUCAACUUUAACAAGUUCUUGAUGCUUUCUUCAUCUAUAAAUAGUGACUUCAUGAUAUAUUUUUUCAACUUUGGAAGGCUAGAAAUCACACCAAAAUAUAGUCUUUUUUUAAAAUUAAUAUUUUUAUUGAUGAAUCAAAACCAAACCAGAAUUACAACGUAUCCCCAACACACCCUGCCGGCUCCUCUUCCCCUCUCAUCCUCCUAACAGAUAACAUGCCUAACUUAUCUAGUCGGACCUCCACCUUUGCUAUUUUUGGGAACAUGCUUAUGUUAUCAUAGAUAACACACCCCUAAUGCGGGUGAGAGACACCCACAUUAGCUAGAAUAUCCGCCACUCGAUUGGCUUCUUUGAAGCAGUGGGAAACUCUUGCCACGUCCUCUACCAGGUCCCAGAUUUGCUCUACCUCAUUUCGGAUCUGCCACGGGCACUGAAAGCAUCGUUGAAGAAUUCCCACCAACACCUGAGAUCCGAUUGAAUCUCCACAUUGACAAACCCUUUCUCCAUACACAUCCGAAGGCCAGUUAAAAGUGCAAGGGCUUCCUCGUGUAAACUCGAUCGUCUUCCAAAGAAUGUUGAGAAAGCCAACAUAAGCCGUCCUAAAGAGUCCCGUAAGAUUCCACCGCCGCCACUCCAUCCUAGAUUACCCUUGGAACAUCCGUUCGUAUUCAGCGUCAAAUAACCUGCCUCCUUUGCCUUCCACCGCACGAGCUGAAAUCUAAUCUUGCCGCCUUGACAUCCCAACCAUUCAUAAAGUUGACGGAAUGAGGUCAUACCAAGCCUCAUAUUAAGAUGAAUCUCCAACCUGAAAUUUAUGUCUGCAAUAAUGGCUUGACAAAUAGUAGUCGGGUGCAUUCGGGUCCCGUCAAACAUCGAUUCGUUCCUUGCCCUCCAAAUGUGCCAGCAAAUGAAACUAGGCAUCAUCGUGAAGAUGAGGCGCCUUUUUGCUGAUCUCGAAGGUGCCAUCCACCACGCCACUACCCUAGCCCUCAAAGAAGACCCCUAAUGCGUGAGACCGUACAAGCUAGUAAAAUUAUUCCAUACAUCUUUAGCAACCUGCCCCUCUAAAAAUGCAUGUUCCACUGUCUCACUUGCUCCAUCAAGACAGCACAAACACUUUGAAGGCAUCAUCUGAAACCCCAUCCUACACAAAACAUCAGGGAAUGGCAACUUACCCAACACCAAACGCAGCAUGAAGAGGGAUACUUUCAAUGGGAUGCGAGGGUGCCAAAAUUGAGAGUGAACGAACGAAGAGCUGCGAGCUUGUUGAAUCUCCUCGAAAGCCGAUGCUAAUGAGAACUCGCCAGAUGAAGUCAACCUCCAUAUUGGCUCAUCAGCCUGCCCACCUCACGGAAUCGGGAGCAGUAAGACAGAAGGAAUUAAGUCAAGAGAGAGGGCCAGUGAGAGUAAAUUUGUGCUCCACUUCCCAUUCUCAAUGAAGUCUUUGAAAGAGAGAGUUGGGCUCACCGUAGCCUUAAGGAACAACGCGCCACUCCCCAACCAAUUAUCAUACCAAAAAUGACAUAAACCCCCAGAAUCCGCCAGACUAUAGAGAGCUCCGCUUGCCUACUAAUGUUUAACAUUCUCCGCCAUGUUCCUGAGGCGUGUCAACUCAGUUCAAUCUGACAUGGGCGAAGGUCUUGAUAAUAUUUAGCCCACAUAAAACUCGUCCAGAGUGAUGCCCCAAUCCUAAACUGCCACCACAAUUUACACGAAAAGGCCACACAACUAUCACUCAACCGUCUAAGUUCCACUCCUCCCUCUUCAACUGGAUAGCAUAAUUGGGACCAUCCAAUUCAGUGAUACUUCGUGCCUUCCUCCAAGAUACCCCAUAGGAAGUUUGCACACACCUUUUCCACCAGUUUGAACAGCGAGGCAGGUAACAUCGCAACUGAUAACAAGUCCACUGGAAUAGACAGCAGCACAUGCCUAAUCAGCUUUCCCUCAAGGGAAAGAAGUUUUGAUUUUCAGGACAGGAUUCUGUUUAAAAUCGCCUAAACUACUUCCCCAAAAUACGAUGAGUUACACCGUCCGAUAUAUAAGGGAAAUCCAAGAUGUAGACACCAAAUUUUUGGUGUUUUAUUAUUUAUUUAUUUGCUAUUCACAAUUAGUUUUAUUUAUUUUUAGUUUUAGUUAUUUUAGCCAUUUUAGCGUAGAAUUUCUCAAAGGAAAAAAAGCAUUCAAAAAAAUAUGAUUUAGUCAUUUGUAAUUUAAAUUCAAUGCUUUCUUGAAAGUAAAAAAAAAGGGAAAAAAAGUGAAAAAUGAUGAAUAAUGAAAAAUGAUGAAAAAGAAAAGAAAAAACCGCAAUUUUGUUAUUUCUAGUUGGUUUAUUUUUGUCCGAUGUUAUUUAAAAUUGUUGUUUUACUUAAUUUUAUUUCUUACUUUUUUUUAAAAAAAAAAAAAGGGAAAAUUGAGUCACAAUUUAGGUCUCCCCGUACCCGUCUUGCUUGCAUUCCCUAGGCUCAUGCAUUCUAAAUUCACUCUAUCAUUCUACACCCUUACUACACUUUCAUUUUCUCCUCCUAUUUUCACACAUGCACCUUUAUAUCCCUUCACUUGCACACAAACACUUGGAUUUUUUCAUACAAUUUCAAACAUGCACCUUUUCAUACACUUGCACACAAACACUUGGAUUUUUUAUACAAUUUCACACGUGCACCUUUUUAUACACUUGCACACUUGCACUUUAGCCAUCAUUUGCAUUAAUCGACCUCUAUAAGAUUUUUUUUUAUUGGCCGCCACAACUCAUGUGGUUGGGACAAAAAACCUUACAAGAGACAUUUUAGAAUCUAGGUUUGCAUUUUUUCUUUCUUUUCGCAUUCAUCUAGUCAAAUCCAAAACAUGCAAUACAUAUUUUUGGUAGAAAAAUUGGAAAGGUGGGGCUAAAUCACGCAACUAGCCUUGGCUAGGUCGGAGGGGUGCCUUGAAUUUUUAUCCUUGCCUUCCCCUCCGUCAAAUGUGACUCCCGAACCUUUUUCGUUGGUUUACGUGGACUAGGAGUCGUUUUAAAAAGGGUUUUUUACUACUUAUCUUUAAAAAACACUUUUUGGGUGACUUGGUACACCCUAAAUCUAUACCAAGUGGCGACUCCGUUUUUAUAUUUAAAAACCCUUUUUAAAUUUCAUUUGGCCAAAUCGUCGCUUUCCAAAGUCCCAUGGCCUUUUAUUUUCCUUUUCACACGUUCACAUAUUCUACACUAUUCACACACCACCACACACACGCACACAUCAAAAAGUGGGGCGCGACACAAGAUAUCGAAAAGGGAAGACCUAUCGUCUAAAUUGCGUGACCCUCUCAAUCAUCUUUCUGCGGACAGGAAGUAGUGACGGAUGAACUAAAUAACCGCUCUUUUGAGCAUUCACCAGUUGCCCCGAGAACUGCUGAUAUACGCCCAAUACUCGCAUAACGCCUGUUAACGCCACAUUAGACCCAUUUGCAAAUAUUAUUACAUCGUCUGCAAAAGCGAGAUGCGUGACAGUGGGACAACUCCUUGGGAUCCGAAAUCCCACAAAAUUCACUUGUCAAGCUAAACUAUUUAAAUCCCGUGAUAACAUCUCUGCUCCAGUAACAAACAGGACAGGGGAUAAGGGGUCUCCUUGUUUGAGACCCCUGCUAGACUUGAAAAACCCAUGUGAUGCCCCAUUGAUGAUCACUGAGAACCAGACAUUCGCCAAUAGUCACCAUACCAUGUCAAUAAACCUUUCCCCAAAGCGAAAUUUUCUCAGGACCAUAAUAAUAUGUACCCAAGGCAUCCGAUCAUAUGCUUUCGUCAUGUCCAAUUUUAACACUACAUUGCCUUGUCUUCUUAUCCAUGCCCGUGAGCAGUUCCUGGGCUAGCAAAUAAUUUUCAGUAAUGCUCCACCCUUUUAUAAAACCCGUUUGUUAGGUAGAGAUGAUUUUCGGUAGAAUCUGUGAGACCCGAAUUUUUAUUUUACUUAUUUUUAUUUUAUAUUAUUGGUUUAUUUAAUUAUUUAUUUAUCCAUUUAUUUUGAAUAAUUUAUUUUAUCCAUUUUAAAUUCAUUUGCACGGAAAAAUGUUUCAUUUAUAUUUUUAAAACGUUUCGUUAACGAAUUUAAUUUUUCUGCGGCUCAUUUAGUGAGAAAUAGCGAGUGCACAUUUUUGAGGUAAAUUCGGUCCGAGAGUGAAAUAAUCUUGAAGAAUUAAGGAUGAUUAAUAGUAGACUAAGAAAAAUUAACGGAGGAAUUAGAGGUGAGUGAGUUAAAUUAAACUCAAUUAGGAGCAUCGAUUGUUGACUUUCGGGCACCAAGAACACCUUUAUGUCAUUCUUCUUGUCACACCAUCAAGUCACCCAACUACCACCCAAAACCCUUCUUUCUCCUUUCCCUCUUGGCCGACUCCCCCUUCCUCAUUUCCUACCAAAAAUUUCAGCUCUCUUGUCUUCCAUUUUUCUCCAAGAAAACUUUCCAAAUUUGCUUCUUUCCUUGGUUCUUCAUACAAGUUUGGAAGGUGACUUGAACAAGGUAGAAACUUUGGUGAUUCAAGAGCUUAUACUAGUGGUUGUUCUUCAUUCUUGGAAGCAAAGGUAAUCCUCCAAGUUUUCAUCUUUUCCCUCUCAACUAUUAGUAGUAGUUAGUUAUGGUUAGUUAGUUGUUGGGUUGUUGAUAGGUUCAUAAAAACCUUGACAUUAGGUAGAGAAUUUAAGGUGACUUUAUAAGUAGAGGCCUUGAGCAUUUUGUAUGUUUACUUGCUUGUUUGAUGUUUAUUUUGAGAAGAUAUGGCUUAGUUUUAGUUGAAAAGUUGGAAAAGAAAACUAAAAGAUGAAGGAUGCUUGCUGUCCGAAAUUUGGCUUGAUGAAACCCUCAUGUUAAUUUUGAAUUUUAUUGUUGUUUUGGUGCUAUAAUGUUUGUUAUAUGACGGUGUUUAUGUGUGUUAAAUAUAUCCCAAAAAGCUUUACAAUUGGUUGACUUAAAGUAGGGUUUAAGUGAGGAAGAAAUCUGAAAAAUUUUCUGACCAGGAGUACCGACUAGUGUUCCCGUAUUGGGUCAUAACUUUUUGUCUGGUAGUUGAAAUCGUGUGCCAUUUGUGGUAUCCGAAACUAGACUCCGAGAGCUUUCCGUCGGUAUAAAGUGCACCUCCUAAUUCGUUUCCUAUGAGCCGUAGUGAACCAGCAAAAUGACUUAAUUUUCUCACUGUUCUCAUCUGAGAAACCAGCCUACCUGCAGUUUGCAGCUCAAUUUUGCCUAUCUUGCAAAUCGAAUUUUAAGACAGUUCCUUCUAGUGAAUUGUAACCUUUUGAAUCUAGUUUUCAACACCAUAAAUCACGCUAAAUUUGAGUUGUGUGGCUUUAGUUAUGGCCAGAUUUUAAAACUCUGUCAAGCCUUCAAAACUGGAAAUUCGUGCAACAGGUUCCAAAAUUCAGUUUUCUUAAAACCAUUGUAUCUUGAUGUAAAAAGGUCCGAAUUGAGUUCCAUUUCUUGUAUUUGAAACUAGAUUUGGAAUUCUAUUAGUGGUAUAAAAUUCAAGGGUUGAUUUCAUUUCUACAAAUUUUACCGAAUUUCCAAUCUUUACUGAAAUUACAAGCUUGUUUUGCUCUGUCCUGUCUAGUAUAGUGACUUUGAACUAAAAUUUGAAUGAUUCCGGAUUGGAGUCUGAGACAAGUGUCUUCUAGAGAGUUUUAGUGUUUUGAGUCCAGUUUCCAAUGGUAUAAAGUUUCCAAUUUUUGGACUUUCGAAACUCGAGAUACGAUUUUUUCAAGUAGUAUCGCACCAAACUGAAAAUUUUCUCGUUUCAACCAAAGUACUCUUUUCAGCACUUUUAACCUUCCUUUGAGAAUGUUGGUCUGUUUUAGGACUAAUUUCAUGGUUGGGCACAAAGUUCCUUUAGAACUUUAAAUCUUCAUUUUGAAUCUUGGUUUCAAAGGAUUAAACCUCUCUUAAUGCGUUUUCUUAGUUGUUCAACUUCCUUAGUUAAUGGCACCUCUUUUCAUACUUGAAAAAUGAACUUCAACCCCUAGUUUUAUACUCUCAAUUUUCAUGAGUUUGAACUUUAAAAAGGGAGCAUUUUGACUAGAGUAAUUCUUGAAAAAUUUCACUAGUUUAUACUUGAAUCUUGGAACCUUUAGUUUUGACAUUUUCUAUGAAAUGAGUGGAGUUUUAGAUAAGUUUUGACUCCAUUAGUUUAGAAAAUAUGAACCCCUUUUACAUUCUAAAGUUUGGAUAUGAGAUGAGAAGUUUUGAAAGAUGAACACUAUUUACCUUUUUCUCAAUUUUCGUGCCGAAAAUGGAAAUGAUACUUUCUUUUGGAAUUGAGAUUACGUACCAUGACUUAAAUAAAAAAUGACCUUGAGCUCUCUUUGAGCAUUAUUUCAACGAUUUAGCAAGAAAAACUUCUUUUAAUUUGACUCGAACUUGUGACCUUGAGAGUGGGUAGUGAAAGAAUAUCUUUUUUAUUAACCUUGGUUGAGCACCUAGGCAAUCGUGAAUGUGUAUGUCUCAGAUGGUCACGAGGACGCUGCAGAGCUCGUUUGACUUUUCACUUUGCUCUUGUUUGCCUUGACUUUCGAUGAGUAUCAAGUGCAUGUUCAAUGCUAAUAUGAUUGAAUUGAUAUUUGUAUAAGUGCUAUAUGAUAUAUGAAUUUAUCGAUGCGAGAGUGUACUUUAUCGCCCUCGUCCUCUCUUUCUUGUAUUUGAAUGAUACUUGUUAAAUGAAUAUAUAUGAUUUGCACUUGUACUUGAAAUGUUUUAACUCGUGAGCACUGAGUGGCUAGAUGUAUCACGCCCUAUUUGGGUGACAGGUACCGCUCAUCCCGACUCAGUGCUAUGAACGAUUUUAAGUCGAUUGGAGCGUUGAAUUAUCGACCAAUCAUGUUUGUAGGGAUGCCCCAAUCCAUUGGCUAACCUUGUGACUCGAACCGGUAAGGGGUUGGUCGAGAAGCUUGGUGAACCUUGGGAAAUGAUAAAGGUUGAUCUUCUGAAAUCUCGCUAGGCAUACUCAAAUAGUAUCACCAUUACAUGAAUGUUUGGUUACAGAUUCGAGUGGGUGUUGUUGGAUGCAGGUAGUAAGUGGAGCACUACGGUCAUGGUACUACAUGAGUUGACGGAGAGUCAACCCUAAAUUGCUUGAAUUCGGUCGAGACGUGGCAAGAGCUUCGGUAUCCUUUCUUGUGUGUUAUUUUCUACUUGUGCACUUAAAUGAAAUGUCAUGUUUAAAAGUUGUUUAAAGCAUGUUAUUUGAUUGAUUUGUGUUACUUGCUUGCCUGUUUAUUUUUCUUGGCCUCACUGAGCAUUUGCUCAUCCCUUUAAGUUUGUUUUCCUUAACAGGCUUUGGAGGUGGAUUGGAGGUUCUAGACUAGUGACUUGGUGGAUACUAGUAUACCUUUUGUAUGAACUUUUUGUGACGCUAAAGUAUAAUUUUGUUAUUGUUGGUUGGUGGAUUGUCAUCAUAACUUUUAGCUUAGAACUUGUGGCUUGUAUAUUCGAAGUAUUUUUUAAUUAAGUCGAUGGUUGUUUUGUGGCUCUAUAUUAAGCUUGAACGAGUGCGUAAGUCCUGACGAGAGUUGGGUAGACGUCCCGCUGAUACCCUAGGGUUCGCCCUAGGAAGAGGUGGGGAUGUCACAGUUGGUAUCAGAGCGCUAGAUUUGAAAUACCUGGAAUAGGGUUAGGAGUUCUUAGUCGUGAACUUUUGGUCAUAGAAAACCGUGGUAGACCUUAGGUUAAAUUCUUAAAUGGUAUCAGUGAAUAUAAGGACCUAACCUUUAGUUGUGAAUUAUUUAUAGGAUAUGGACAGCAGCAAUGAUAAUAAUAGAGUUGAGGGACCUCUCUCCGUGAUCCCGUAUCGUCUGGUUGGAGGUGGACCCCUUCUGCGAUAUUCACAUGCUAGGAGGGGUAGAUCGUACCCAUACCGAGCGAGAUACUCUUACCCUAACCGUUUGGUGUUAAAAGCAGCUGAGUAGUGGAGGCAGUUGGUUCGUGACCUCCGGAUAGCACUAGCGAAGAGAGAGGAGAUGGAGGCCACUGUAGAGGCCUAAACUAUCCGAAUCUAGGAAUUAGAGGCUAGAGUACAAGAGGAGGGUCAGAGAACUGACACCUCCCAUGCUCAGUAUCAGGAGACCGCAGGGCACCUUUUCCGGAUCUUCUAGGAGGCGGGAAAUCGCGUGGAUGGUAUCAUUGCUAAGUGUGGAUGUGACACCCCGAAUAUUAGGAGGUUGUUUGUAAAGAAGAUACUAAAGUGUAUUUCUUUGGAUUUGAUUUAAAACCUUAUUUUGUUUUAAAAGACUAGAAACCCUAAUUUUAAUCACUGAAAUUGUAAAACCCUCACGUUUUUCUUAAAAAUUUCCUUUUAUUUGAAAAUUCAUAAUUUAUUAAAGCCCUACGACCCAAUCGUUCCACAAUAAGUGCAAAUAAACCUAGAAAGUAGGGUUUCACUUUUGGUUUCAAGAUUGGAGCAAAAUUAGGGUUUUCGCGAUUUUUCGCCGGAUGAAUUUUCGGUACUGAGCAAGGAUCAAAUUUGGUGAUUAAAAGUGACUUUUAAGUGAGAAAUAAUAUGUGAUUAGGGGCAAUGAUAUAAGAUUAGUGAAUAGGAAGUAAAAAUCCUAGUACGUGUGUUUUUAAGAAAAACGGUGUGAACCGACGGGUACCGUGCACUACCGAUUGAACGCACCACUUGACCACCACUUUCUUACCAUACAAGCUUAUUGAUAUUUGAGCAAAAUAUCUUCUUAAUUGUCAGCUGCCUUUGACCGAAAAUUGAGAAUAAAAUAACAAGGAAAAGGAAAGAGAAAAAUGAAAGGUGGUGGUGGCGACAAGUGUUGUCGCCACCCUAGAGUUUCUUGACCAAGAGUUGGUUUUUCUUUUUAUCUCCAAAUUUUGCACUUUUCUCUUCAUUUUUUCUGCUGAUGGUCGACCAAAAGAGAGAGAGAAAGGGAGAGCAAAAGAAAACUUCUUUCUUCUUGAAUCUUAGCCAAAUCAAGUGAGAACAUCGAUUUCCAAACCGAUUAAAGUGUUAAUUGUGAGUUGGGAAGCUAGAGGAACUAGAAAUUUUCAAAGGAGGUGGAUUAUCACUCAUCCAAGCUUGUCUUUGAGGUAUUAAAUCUGAUCAUGGUCCUUGAUCUUUUAAAUCUUGCGUUAAGAUGUUAUUUAGCUUAAGUUUUGGCUUGAUUUCAAGAUGUGCAAGUGAUUGUGAUGAUUAUUGGAUGAAAUAAACAAGAUAGGGUUUUGGGGACUUGCUGCCAAACUUGAUGUAUGAUACAUAUAGGUUGUAUUUAAGGUUAUAUAAGGGGUUUUGGUAGUGUUGGAAGUAAGUAAUCAAGGAAGGUUGCAUUGAAUUCAAAAAAUUCCAGAUUUCUGGAAUUUCAGGAUUACAUUCUGUCUGAUUUUAAUACUCAUAGUUAGAGACAAAAUUAGGUUUAGUCUAAAACAUGAAAGUUGUAGAGAAUGGUAUUUUAUAGGUACUUACAAAAUUUCAGCUCAAUCGGAGUAACGUAGCCCAUGAAAAGACCAACAUACCCUCACUGUUUUAAGGUUUUUCCCAGUAGUCCGUUUGGUUAGUUUAUCCAGUUUAUGACGUUUAUUCACCAGGAUCCGUACUGAUUUAACUUUUUGCCAAAACAUGAAAGUUUUAGCAUUCUAACUUAGCUUUUAAACACCUCCAAGAACACCUUAAUCGGACCUUGGUAACCUGAGAUAUGACCAUUCCAGUGCAGAGCGGUUAAAUAGCCGACUAGUUAGAUUGUGGUUCUGUAAAUUGAGGAUUUUACUAGGUUGCAUUGGAAAAUGGACUAAGUGAUCUUCAUGAACAUUGUAGCCCUGUGUCUUAACUUCGAAACGGGAUAAGUUGCGCCUCAAUCCGAUAAGCGUAGCCUCGGAUGUAUUAUUUCCGCAACCACACGUCAAAUCUGUCUUUUGCUAGGUUACAUUUCCGCACUUGUUAUCACUUUGAUUUUGUUCGUAUGAUUGUUAUGAACCUAUGGAACGGCUAUAUACUUGAAUCUAUGAUAUGUAUGACUUUGGGAUUGGCUGCUGGAAAAUUAGGUAAAGACAAAGGGCAUGCUGCCCAAAUUUACGCUCGAGAACUAUAAAAAUACACUUGCGACUUGGGUCGAGUUGAUAUGAAUAGUACUUGAAUCAUCUAGGGUACUUGAGUCUUCUUGUUUCGAGGUAUAUAAGUAAGGAUUUGGGCGAACUUGUACCCUUGAAAAAUGUAAUCAUGAUUGCUCGAAGUAUGUUUUCCUUGUACUUCCAACUCGCAUGACAAUUUCAAGUAUAAAUAUUACAAAGUUUUACUGUUUAAAAAGGCAAGCAAGUGUUUCACGACUACUCUCUAAGUGAAUUCCAAUUUCUUGAUUUUUAUUGAAUGAAACGUCUAAGUUUCGAAUCUUAGUCAUGUUUCAAAGUUCUCAAACUGAGUUUUAUCGCAGAUUUGGACUCCGAACCCGGAGUAUAACCUGAAAGUGACCAGUAAGGCACUAUAUCUUGUGGUGAGUGCUUUCAAAUACCGAAUUGCACUAGAUACGUGACCGAUAUGAGUACAUGUUAUAUACGUGAAUUGAUUGGGUAAGAGUGUACUUUAUCGCACUUGCCCUUACGUGAUAUACUUGUUUAUUGAUUGCAAUUGACUUGAUAUACUUGUUUAUGAUGUGCGCACUUCCUGGAAUUCCAGAAACCCUGUGGCGAGUUACUCUAGUCGAGCCGGCAAGCGCUUGGUCGAUUGGGUAACGAACCCUGGGUCUCUUGUUUUGUCGAGUGGAGUGAUAUCUCCUCGACUAAUCGGUAUACUCGAGUAUUACCACCCGUGUUUAUUGAGAAUUUUGGGCCCAGCAGGGGGUGUGAAUGGUGGACGGAGAGUAGUGUAAGUGGUGCACUACUGGAUUGGUUCAUUUACUUGAAAGUUGAUGGAGUGUCAACUAUUACGUGAUCAAGCUCCUGAUGAUGAAAUGGGAAGUUGGCUCCUGAGAGCCAUCCGUAUCCUUAUGCUUUGGAAUGAUUAUUGUUUAUUGGAUUAUUGUUUCUUCUGAAAACUUUUACACUCGCUCAUUUUGAGAUUGCUACUUGAAGUGUUAUUGCUCACUUUUAUGAACUCUUCAUGCUCGUUACUUUGCUAUAUCGAAAACUUGUACUUAUAAAUAAUGGUCAAUUUUCUAUUUGGAACCUCACUGGGCUUUUAGCUCAUACCACGCUAUUUAUUUUCCUUACAGGGGGUACGAGCGAGGCGUGAGAGGUGAAAAGACUAGCGUAGUCUAGUUGUUUUUGACUUUUGACUUUUGACUUGUACUCGCGCUAUUUCUCGAAUAAAAUGUUUUAUAUAUUGAGGCUUUGUACCUUGAUUUUCAUCAAUGUAAAUUCUAAACUUGAAUUGCGAUGUUAUUUAUGGUCCAUGAAUGAAUGAACGUGAUACGAGCGAGUGAGUCCUGGCGAGAGUUGGGCAGGCGACCCGCCGAACCCUCUGGUUCGCCUUAGGGUGAGGUGGGGCCGUCACAGAUGGUAUCAGAGCUCCUAUUGAGCUCGUGCCGGGAGAGGAUUCUCGGACUGUGGGGAUUGACUUGUUAAGUGUGGAACAAUUGUCUAUUGUUGUGGACCUUAGAUAUGUAUGUUUGGUAGGAAUCUCUAAUAUGGGUGAUUUGCUCUUGAGCCUGGCCAGCUUGAGUGGUGAAUUAUCAUAUUUUAGGAUUCUUGUCCCCGAAUACCAAAGAGUGACACCUUUACGAUAAGUUGAGAUCUCGCGUAAUAUUGGGAUAAGUUUGGAUUGUGAAAGCAAAGGCAAGGGGAAUGCGAAUUGCCUGGACUUGUAAUAUAUUGAAGAUAUUCAUGGGAUUCAGGAUCCUUCUUAUUCACGUGUUUCGAGCCUUGAUUAAGUGUAGUGCCUGAACGAUACCUAGGGUUAAUGCUUUAUAAGUUAUGUGACUUGUUUUGAUUGAAUGUGUUGUAUUGCCUUGUUUUAUGAUUUAGAGGGGUUUAUGAUUUGCAUUAUUCUGUUUUGUGCUGUUUAUAUUUAUAUAGUUAUUUAGUGGCUAUAUUCUAUCAUUGAUUAGUUGAUUAUAUUGUUAUAGUUGAUUCGCUACGAACCAUGGAGGGUAGAAGAAGUCAAGCUAGGGGAACUAACCGAGGACGCGGUCCUAAUCGUAGCCGUGGGGGUAGACAAGCCCAGGAACCGGUACGAGAACCGAGAGAGAGGAAAGAGAGGCAACGGUUGAACCACAACCUGAACCCCAAGCUGCAGGGGGAGAUCAAGUGGCAACUGCCAUUCAGCAGAUGACUAACAUUCUGGCUCGGUUAGUGGAACAACAGGGUCAAGCCCCUGUACAUCAACCUAGGGACCCUAAUAAUGGGCAAGAUAGGGCCUUAGAGAGAUUCCAUAAGUUCUCUCCACCCAAAUUCCUAGGAAGGCCAGACCCGGAUGGGGCCGAGAAAUUGCUGGAGGCCAUGAUAAAUAUUUUUGCUGCCUUAAACUAUACGGAGGAGCGGCAAGUUCAAUUCGCUGUUUUCCAGUUCGAAAGGCCAGCUAGGGAUUGGUGGAACGUAGUGAGGGCCAAUUGGGAGAGAGAGGCGACUGCAUGGACCUGGUUAAAUUUCGUACGGGAAUUUAACGAAAAAUACCUUCCACCCAUCGUCCAGGAGAAGCGAGAGGACGAUUUCAUUAAAUUCCGCCAGGGAAUGUUGAGUGUAACUGAGUAUGAGACUCAGUUUACAAAGUUGUCUAAAUUUGCCCCUGAACUGAUAGCUACGGAGCAAAGAAAAGUACGGAGGUUUGUGCAAGGGCAAAAUGUGGAUUUACAAGAAGCCUUAGCUGCAGCUCAAAUUAACACGUUUACGGAAGUUUUGGAGAAGGCCCAACGAAUAGAAAUUGCUAGGGCACAAGUGAGGGCUUUUCAUGCAAAAAGGAGAGGUGCGCCUGGUGGAAGUCAUAGGCAAGGACAAGGUGAAGUAGAUAUGCCACCCUUUAAAAUAGGACGAGGAGAUGGUGGUGAGAAAACUUCAGGGUUGUGUAAGGAAAGUACUCCAAGGGGAGUUUCGCGUGGUUGGGGCCAAGCAAGAGGUGUCUAACAAGGAGGUCAGACCUCAGCCCCUCAAGUAUCUUGUGGGUACUGUGGGAAGGCCAAUCAUGUGGAGAAUGAUUGUUGGCGAAAGGCAGGAAAAUGUUUAUGGUGUGGUAGUACCGAGCACCAACUUGCAACCUGUCCCCGUAGAUCACACCUAAACCCUGAACAAGCGAAUGUAAGAGGGAACCACUCAAGAGUGCCAGCUAGAGUGUACGCCUUGGAACAAUAGACAUUACCUGAACCAUCGGAGAUAGUAGAAGGUACGAUGCGUGAUUUCUAUUGUUUAACUAAGUUUUGGCUAUAGUGAGACCUGAGAGCUAGAAACGGAUAUACAAGGAAAUACCCUAUGUUAUUUCGAAGUGCAUGUAUGAAUUUCAAAAACGAAAUUCUUUUAAGGAGGGGAGAUUGUGACACCCCGAAUAUUAGGAGGUUGUUUGUAAAGAAGAUACUAAAGUGUAUUUCUUUGAAUUUGAUUUAAAACCUUAUUUUGUUUUAAAAGACUAGAAACCCUAAUUUUAAUCACUGAAAUUGUAAAACCCUCACGUUUUUCUUAAAAAUUUCCUUUUAUUUGGAAAUUCAUUAUUUAUUAAAGUCCUACUACCCAAUCGUUCUACAAUAAGUGCAAAUAAAUCUAGAAAGUAGGGUUUCACUUUUGGUUUCAAGAUUGGAGCAAAAUUAGGGUUUUCGCGAUUUUUCGCCGGAUGAAUUUUCGGUACUGAGCAAGGAUCAAAUUUGGUGAUUAAAAGUGAAUUUUAAGUGAGAAAUAAUAUGUGAUUAGGGGCAAUGAUAUAGGAUUAGUGAAUAGGAAGUAAAAAUCCUAGUACGUGUAUUUUUAAGAAAAACGGUGCGAACCGACGGGUACCGUGCACUACCGAUUGAACGCACCACUUGACCACCACUUUCUUACCAUACAAGCUUAUUGAUAUUUGAGCAAAAUAUCUUCUUAAUUGUCAGCUGCCUUUGACCGAAAAUGGAGGCUAAAAUAACAAGGAAAAGGAAAGAGAAAAAUGAAAGGUGGUGGUGGCGACAAGUGUCGCCACCCUAGAGUUUCUUGACCAAGAGUUGGUUUUUCUUUUUAUCUCCAAAUUUUGCACUUUUCUCUUCAUUUUUUCUGCUGCUGGUAGACCAAUAGAGAGAGAGAAAGGGAGAGCAAAAGAAAACUUCUUUCUUCUUGAAUCUUAGCCAAAUCAAGUGAGAAAAUCGAUUUCCAAACCGAUUAAAGUGUUAAUUGUGAGUUGGGAAUUAGAGGAACUAGAAAUUUUCAAAGGAGGUGGAUUAUCACUCAUCCAAGCUUGUCUUUGAGGUAUUAAAUCUGAUCAUGGUCCUUGAUCUUUUAAAUCUUGCGUUAAGAUGUUAUUUAGCUUAAGUUUUGGCUUGAUUUCAAGAUGUGCAAGUGAUUGUGAUGAUUAUUGGAUGAAAUAAACAAGUUAUGGUUUUGGGGACUUGCUGCCAAACUUGAUGUAUGAUACAUGUAGGUUGUAUUUAAGGUUAUAUAAGGGGUUUUGGUUGUGUUGGAAGUAAGAAAUCAAGGAAGGUUGCAUUGAAUUCAAAAAAUUCCAGAUUUCUGGAAUUUCAGGAUUACAUUCUGUCCGAUUUUAAUACUCAUAGUUUGAGGCAAAAUUAGGCUUGGCCUAAAACAUGAAAGUUGUAGAGAAUGGUAUUUUAUAGAUUUUUACAAAAUUUCAGCUCAAUCGGAGUAACGUAGCCCAUGAAAAGACCAAAAUACCCUCACUAUUUUAAGGUUUUUCCCAGUAGUCCGUUUGGUUAGUUUAUCCAGUUUAUGACGUUUAUUCACCAGAAUCCGUACUGAUUUAGCUUUUUUCCAAAACAUGAAAGUUUUAGUAUUCUGACUUAGCUUUUAAACGCCUCAAAGAACACCUUAAUCGGACCUUGGUAACCUGAGAUAUGACCAUUCCAGUGCAAAGCAGUUAAAUAGCCGACUAGUUAGAUUUUGGUUCUGUAAAUUGAGGAUUUUACUAGGUUGCAUUGGAAAAUGGACUAAGUGAUCUUCAUGAACAUUGUAUCCCUGUGUCUUAGCUUCGAAACGGUAUAAGUUGCGUCUCAAUCCGAUAAGCGUAGCCUCGGAUGUGUUAUUUCCGCAACCACACGUCAAAUCUGUCUUUUGCUAGGUUACAUUUCUGCACUUGUUAUCACUUUGAUUUUGUUCGUAUGAUUGUUAUGAGCCUAUGGAACGGCUAUAUACUUGAAUCUAUGAUAUGUAUGACUUUGGGAUUGGCUGCUGGAAAAUUAGGUAAACACAAAGGGCAUGCUGCCCAAAUUUACGCUCGAGGACUAUAAAAAUACACUUGCGACUUGGGUCGAGUUGAUAUGAAUAGUACUUGAAUCAUCUAGGGUACUUGAGUCUUCUUGUUUCGAGGUAUAUAAGUAAGGAUUUGGCUGAACUUGUACCCUUGAAAAAUGCAAUCAUGAUUGCUCGAAGUAUGUUUUCCUUGUACUUCCAACUCGCAUGACAAUUUCAAGUAUAAAUAUUACAAAGUUUUACUGUUUAAAAAGGCAAGCAAGUGUUUCACGACUACUCUCCAAGUGAAUUCCAAUUUCUUGAUUUUUAUUGAAUGAAACGUCUAAGUUUCGAAUCUUAGUCAUGUUUCAAAGUUCUCAAACUGAGUUUUAUCGCAGAUUUGGACUCCGAACCCGGAGUAUAACCUGAAAGUGACCAGUAAAGGCACUAUAUCUUGUGGUGAGUGCUUUCAAAUACCGAAUUGCACUAGAUACUUGAACUUGAUACGUGACCAAUAUUAGUACAUGUUAUAUACGUGAAUUGAUAGGGCAAGAGUUUACUUUAUCGCACUUGCCCUUACGUGAUAUACUUUUUUAUUGAUUGCAAUUGACUUGAUAUACUUGUUUAUGAUGUGCGCACUUCCUGGAAUUCCAGAAACCCUGUGGCGAGUUACUCUAGUCGAGCCGGCAAGGGCUUGGUCGAUUGGGUAACGAACCCUGGGUCUCUUGUUUUGUCGAGUGGAGUGAUAUCUCCUCGACUAAUCGGUAUACUCGAGUAUUACCACCCGUGUUUAUUGAGAAUUUUGGGCCCAGCAGGGGGUGUGAAUGGUGGACGGAGAGUAGUGUAAGUGGUGCUCUAUUGGAUUGGUUCCUUUACUUGAAAGUUGAUGGAGUGUCAACUAUUACGUGAUCAAGCUCCUGAUGAUGAAAUGGGAAGUUGGCUCCUGAGAGCCAUCCGUAUCCUUAUGCUUUGGAAUGAUUAUUGUUUAUUGGAUUAUUGUUUCUUCUGAAAACUUUUACACUCGCUCAUUUUGAGAUUGCUACUUGAAGUGUUAUUGUUCACUUUUAUGAACUCUUCAUGCUCGUUACUUUGCUAUAUCGAAAACUUGUACUUAUAAAUAAUGGUCAAUUUGCUAUUUGGAACCUCACUGGGCUUUUAGCUCAUACCACGCUAUUUAUUUUCCUUACAGGGGGUACGAGCGAGGCGUGAGAGGUGUAAAGACUAGCGUAGUCUAGUUGUUUUUGACUUUUGACUUGAACUCGCGCUAUUCCUCGAAUAAAAUGUUUUAUAUAUUGAGGCUUUGUACCUUGAUUUUCAUCAAUGUAAAUUCUAAGCUUGAAUUGCGAUGUUAUUUAUGGUCCAUGAAUGAAUGCACGUGAUACGAGUGAGUGAGUCCUGGCGAGAGUUGGGCAGGCGACCCGCCGAAACCUCUGGUUCGCCUUAGGGUGAGGUGGGGCCGUCACAGAUGGUAUCAGAGCUCCUAUUGAGCUUGUGCCGGGAGAGGAUUCUCGGACUGUGGGGAUUGACUUGUUAAGUGUGGAACAAUUGUCUAUUGUUGUGGACCUUAGAUAUGUAUGUUGGGUAGGAAUCUCUAAUAUGGGUGAUUUGCUCUUGAGCCUGGCCAGCUUGAGUGGUGAAUUAUCAUAUUUUCGGAUUCUUGUCCCCGAAUACCAAAGAGUGACACCUUUACGAUAAGUUGAGAUCUCGCGUAAUAUUGGGAUAAGUUUGGAUUGUGAAAGCAAAGGCAAGGGGAAUGCGAAUAGCCUGGACUUGUAAUAUAUUGAAGAUAUUCAUGGGAUUCAGGAUCCUUCUUAUUCACGUGUUUCGAGCCUUGAUUAAGUGUAGUGCCUGAACGAUACCUAGGGUUAAUGCUUUAUAAGUUAUGUGAUUUGUUUUGAUUGAAUGUGUUGUAUUGCCUUGUUUUAUGAUUUAGAGGGGUUUAUGAUUUGCAUUAUUCUGUUUUGUGCUGUUUAUAUUUAUAUAGUUAUUUAGUGGCUAUAUUCUAUCAUUGAUUAGUUGAUUAUAUUGUUAUAGUUGAUUCGCUACGAACCAUGGAGGGUAGAAGAAGUCAAGUUAGGGGAACUAACCGAGGACGCGGUCCUAAUCGUAGCCGUGGGGGUAGACAAGCCCAGGAACCGGUACGAGAACCGAGAGAGAGGAAAGAGAGGCAACGGUUGAACCACAACCUGAACCCCAAGCUGCAGGGGGAGAUCAAGUGGCAACUGCCAUUCAGCAGAUGACUAACAUUCUGGCUCGGUUAGUGGAACAACAGGGUCAAGCCCCUGUACAUCAACCUAGGGACCCUAAUAAUGGGCAAGAUAGGGCCUUAGAGAGAUUCCAUAAGUUCUCUCCACCCAAAUUCCUAGGAAGGCCAGACCCGGAUGGGGCCGAGAAAUUGCUGGAGGCCAUGAUAAAUAUUUUUGCUGCCUUAAACUAUACGGAGGAGCGGCAAGUUCAAUUCGCUGUUUUCCAGUUCGAAAGGCCAGCUAGGGCUUGGUGGAACGUAGUGAGGGCCAAUUGGGAGAGAGAGGCGACUGCAUGGACCUGGUUAAAUUUCGUACGGGAAUUUAACGAAAAAUACCUUCCACCCAUCGUCCAGGAGAAGCGAGAGGACGAUUUCAUUAAAUUCCGCCAGGGAAUGUUGAGUGUAACUGAGUAUGAGACUCAGUUUACAAAGUUGUCUAAAUUUGCCCCUGAACUGAUAGCUACGGAGCAAAGAAAAGUACGGAGGUUUGUGCAAGGGCAAAAUGUGGAUUUACAAGAAGCCUUAGCGGCAGCUCAAAUUAACACGUUUACGGAAGUUUUGGAGAAGGCCCAACGAAUAGAAAUUGCUAGGGCACAAGUGAGGGCUUUUCAUGCAAAAAGGAGAGGUGCGCCUGGUGGAAGUCAUAGGCAAGGACAAGGUGAAGUAGAUAUGCCACCCUUUAAAAUAGGACGAGGAGAUGGUGGUGAGAAAACUUCAGGGUUGUCUAAGGAAAGUACUCCAAGGGGAGUUUCGCGUGGUUGGGGCCAAGCAAGAGGUGUCUAACAAGGAGGUCAGACCUCAGCCCCUCAAGUAUCUUGUGGGUACUGUGGGAAGGCCAAUCAUGUGGAGAAUGAUUGUUGGCGAAAGGCAGGAAAAUGUUUAUGGUGUGGUAGUACCGAGCACCAACUUGCAACCUGUCCCCGUAGAUCACACCUAAACCCUGAACAAGCGAAUGUAAGAGGGAACCACUCAAGAGUGCCAGCUAGAGUGUACGCCUUGGAACAAUAGACAUUACCUGAACCAUCGGAGAUAGUAGAAGGUACGAUGCGUGAUUUCUAUUGUUUAACUAAGUUUUGGCUAUAGUGAGACCUGAGAGCUAGAAACGGAUAUACAAGGAAAUACCCUAUGUUAUUUCGAAGUGCAUGUAUGAAUUUCAAAAACGAAAUUCUUUUAAGGAGGGGAGAUUGUGACACCCCGAAUAUUAGGAGGUUGUUUGUAAAGAAGAUACUAAAGUGUAUUUCUUUGAAUUUGAUUUAAAACCUUAUUUUGUUUUAAAAGACUAGAAACCCUAAUUUUAAUCACUGAAAUUGUAAAACCCUCACGUUUUUCUUAAAAAUUUCCUUUUAUUUGGAAAUUCAUUAUUUAUUAAAGUCCUACUACCCAAUCGUUCUACAAUAAGUGCAAAUAAACCUAGAAAGUAGGGUUUCACUUUUGGUUUCAAGAUUGGAGCAAAAUUAGGGUUUUCGCGAUUUUUCGCCGGAUGAAUUUUCGGUACUGAGCAAGGAUCAAAUUUGGUGAUUAAAAGUGAAUUUUAAGUGAGAAAUAAUAUGUGAUUAGGGGCAAUGAUAUAGGAUUAGUGAAUAGGAAGUAAAAAUCCUAGUACGUGUAUUUUUAAGAAAAACGGUGCGAACCGACGGGUACCGUGCACUACCGAUUGAACGCACCACUUGACCACCACUUUCUUACCAUACAAGCUUAUUGAUAUUUGAGCAAAAUAUCUUCUUAAUUGUCAGCUGCCUUUGACCGAAAAUGGAGGCUAAAAUAACAAGGAAAAGGAAAGAGAAAAAUGAAAGGUGGUGGUGGCGACAAGUGUCGCCACCCUAGAGUUUCUUGACCAAUAGUUGGUUUUUCUUUUUAUCUCCAAAUUUUGCACUUUUCUCUUCAUUUUUUCUGCUGCUGGUAGACCAAUAGAGAGAGAGAAAGGGAGAGCAAAAGAAAACUUCUUUCUUCUUGAAUCUUAGCCAAAUCAAGUGAGAAAAUCGAUUUCCAAACCGAUUAAAGUUUUAAUUGUGAGUUGGGAAGCUAGAGGAACUAGAAAUUUUCAAAGGAGGUGGAUUAUCACUCAUCCAAGAUUGUCUUUGAGGUAUUAAAUCUGAUCAUGGUCCUUGAUCUUUUAAAUCUUGCGUUAAGAUGUUAUUUAGCUUAAGUUUUGGCUUGAUUUCAAGAUGUGCAAGUGAUUGUGAUGAUUAUUGGAUGAAAUAAACAAGUUAGGGUUUUGGGGACUUGCUGCCAAACUUGAUGUAUGAUACAUAUAGGUUGUAUUUAAGGUUAUAUAAGGGGUUUUGGUAGUGUUGGAAGUAAGAAAUCAAGGAAGGUUGCAUUGAAUUCAAAAAAUUCCAGAUUUCUGGAAUUUCAGGAUUACAUUCUGUCCGAUUUUAAUACUCAUAGUUUGAGGCAAAAUUAGGCUUGGCCUAAAACAUGAAAGUUGUAGAGAAUGGUAUUUUAUAGAUGCUUACAAAAUUUCAGCUCAAUCGGAGUAACGUAGCCCAUGAAAAGACCAAAAUACCCUCACUAUUUUAAGGUUUUUCCCAGUAGUCCGUUUGGUUAGUUUAUCCAGUUUAUGACGUUUAUUCACCAGAAUCCGUACUGAUUUAGCUUUUUGCCAAAACAUGAAAGUUUUAGUAUUCUGACUGAGCUUUUAAACGCCUCCAAGAACACCUUAAUCGGACCUUGGUAACCUGAGAUAUGACCAUUCCAGUGCAGAGCGGUUAAAUAGCCGACUAGUUAGAUUUUGGUUCUGUAAAUUGAGGAUUUUACUAGGUUGCAUUGGAAAAUGGACUAAGUGAUCUUCAUGAACAUUGUAGCCCUGUGUCUUAGCUUCAAAACGGUAUAAGUUGCGCCUCAAUCCGAUAAGCGUAGCCUCGGAUGUGUUAUUUCCGCAACCACACGUCAAAUCUGUCUUUUGCUAGGUUACAUUUCUGCACUUGUUAUCACUUUGAUUUUGUUCGUAUGAUUGUUAUGAGCCUAUGGAACGGCUAUAUACUUGAAUCUAUGAUAUGUAUGACUUUGGGAUUGGCUGCUGGAAAAUUAGGUAAACACAAAGGGCAUGCUGCCCAAAUUUACGCUCGAGGACUAUAAAAAUACACUUGCGACUUGGGUCGAGUUGAUAUGAAUAGUACUUGAAUCAUCUAUGGUACUUGAGUCUUCUUGUUUCGAGGUAUAUAAGUAAGGAUUUGGCCGAACUUGUACCCUUGAAAAAUGCAAUCAUGAUUGCUCGAAGUAUGUUUUCCUUGUACUUCCAACUCGCAUGACAAUUUCAAGUAUAAAUAUUACAAAGUUUUACUGUUUAAAAAGGCAAGCAAGUGUUUCACGACUACUCUCCAAGUGAAUUCCAAUUUCUUGAUUUUUAUUGAAUGAAACGUCUAAGUUUCGAAUCUUAGUCAUGUUUCAAAGUUCUCAAACUGAGUUUUAUCGCAGAUUUGGACUCCGAACCCGGAGUAUAACCUGAAAGUGACCAGUAAAGGCACUAUAUCUUGUGGUGAGUGCUUUCAAAUACCGAAUUGCACUAGAUAUUUGAACUUGAUACGUGACCAAUAUUAGUACAUGUUAUAUACGUGAAUUGAUAGGGCAAGAGUUUACUUUAUCGCACUUGCCCUUACGUGAUAUACUUUUUUAUUGAUUGCAAUUGACUUGAUAUACUUAUUUAUGAUGUGCGCACUUCCUGGAAUUCCAGAAACCCUGUGGCGAGUUACUCUAGUCGAGCCGGCAAGGGCUUGCUCGAUUGGGUAACGAACCCUGGGUCUCUUGUUUUGUCGAGUGGAGUGAUAUUUCCUCGACUAAUCGGUAUAUUCGAUUAUUACCACCCGUGUUUAUUGAGAAUUUUGGGCCCAACAGGGGGUGUGAAUGGUGGACGGAGAGUAGUGUAAGUGGUGCUCUAUUGGAUUGGUUCCUUUACUUGAAAGUUGAUGGAGUGUCAACUAUUACGUGAUCAAGCUCCUGAUGAUGAAAUGGGAAGUUGGCUCCUGAGAGCCAUCCGUAUCCUUAUGCUUUGGAAUGAUUAUUGUUUAUUGGAUUAUUGUUUCUUCUGAAAACUUUUACACUCGCUCAUUUUGAGAUUGCUACUUGAAGUGUUAUUGUUCACUUUUAUGAACUCUUUAUGCUCGUUACUUUGCUAUAUCGAAAACUUGUACUUAUAAAUAAUGGUCAAUUUGUUAUUUGGAACCUCACUGGGCUUUUAGCUCAUACCACGCUAUUUAUUUUCCUUACAGGGGGUACGAGCGAGGCGUGAGAGGUGUAAAGACUAGCUUAGUCUAGUUGUUUUUGACUUUUGACUUGAACUCGCGCUAUUCCUCGAAUAAAAUGUUUUAUAUAUUGAGGCUUUGUACCUUGAUUUUCAUCAAGGUAAAUUCUAAGCUUGAAUUGCGAUGUUAUUUAUGGUCCAUGAAUGAAUGCACGUGAUACGAGUGAGUGAGUCCUGGCGAGAGUUGGGCAGGCGACCCGCCGAAACCUCUGGUUCGCCUUAGGGUGAGGUGGGACCGUCACAGAUGGUAUCAGAGCUCCUAUUGAGCUUGUGCCGGGAGAGGAUUCUCGGACUGUGGGGAUUGACUUGUUAAGUGUGGAACAAUUGUCUAUUGUUGUGGACCUUAUAUAUGUAUGUUGGGUAGGAAUCUCUAAUAUGGGUGAUUUGCUCUUGAGCCUGGCCAGCUUGAGUGGUGAAUUAUCAUAUUUUCGGAUUCUUGUCCCCGAAUACCAAAGAGUGACACCUUUACGAUAAGUUGAGAUCUCGAGUAAUAUUGGGAUAAGUUUGGAUUGUGAAAGCAAAGGCAAGGGGAAUGCGAAUAGCCUGGACUUGUAAUAUAUUGAAGAUAUUCAUGGGAUUCAGGAUCCUUCUUAUUCACGUGUUUCGAGCCUUGAUUAAGUGUAGUGCCUGAACGAUACCUAGGGUUAAUGCUUUAUAAGUUAUGUGACUUGUUUUGAUUGAAUGUGUUGUAUUGCCUUGUUUUAUGAUUUAGAGGGGUUUAUGAUUUGCAUUAUUCUGUUUUGUCCUGUUUAUAUUUAUAUAGUUAUUUAGUGGCUAUAUUCUAUCAUUGAUUAGUUGAUUAUAUUGUUAUAGUUGAUUCGCUACGAACCAUGGAGGGUAGAAGAAGUCAAGCUAGGGGAACUAACCGAGGACGCGGUCCUAAUCGUAGCCGUGGGGGUAGACAAGCCCAGGAACCGGUACAAGAACCGAGAGAGGAAAGAGAGGCAACGGUUGAACCACAACCUGAACCCCAAGCUGCAGGGGGAGAUCAAGUGGCAACUGCCAUUCAGCAGAUGACUAACAUUCUGGCUCGGUUAGUGGAACAACAGGGUCAAGCCCCUGUACAUCAACCUAGGGACCCUAAUAAUGGGCAAGAUAGGGCCUUAGAGAGAUUCCAUAAGUUCUCUCCACCCAAAUUUCUAGGAAGGCCAGACCCGGAUGGGGCCGAGAAAUGGCUGGAGGCCAUGAUAAAUAUUUUUGCUGCCUUAAACUAUACGGAGGAGCGGCAAGUUCAAUUCGCUGUUUUCCAGUUCGAAAGGCCAGCUAGGGCUUGGUGGAACGUAGUGAGGGCCAAUUGGGAGAGAGAGGCGACUGCAUGGACCUGGUUAAAUUUCGUACGGAAAUUUAACGAAAAAUACCUUCCACCCAUCGUCCAGGAGAAGCGAGAGGACGAUUUCAUUAAAUUCCGCCAGGGAAUGUUGAGUGUAACUGAGUAUGAGACUCAGUUUACAAAGUUGUCUAAAUUUGCCCCUGAACUGAUAGCUACGGAGCCAAGAAAAGUACGGAGGUUUGUGCAAGGGCAAAAUGUGGAUUUACAAGAAGCCUUAGCGGCAGCUCAAAUUAACACGUUUACGGAAGUUUUGGAGAAGGCCCAACGAAUAGAAAUUGCUAGGGCACAAGUGAGGGCUUUUCAUGCAAAAAGGAGAGGUGCGCCUGGUGGAAGUCAUAGGCAAGGACAAGGUGAAGUAGAUAUGCCACCCUUUAAAAUAGGACGAGGAGAUGGUGGUGAGAAAACUUCAGGGUUGUCUAAGGAAAGUACUCCAAGGGGAGUUUCGCGUGGUUGGGGCCAAGCAAGAGGUUUCUAACAAGGAGGUCAGACCUCAGCCCCUCAAGUAUCUUGUGGGUACUGUGGGAAGGCCAAUCAUGUGGAGAAUGAUUGUUGGCGAAAGGCAGGAAAAUGUUUACGGUGUGGUAGUACCGAGCACCAACUUGCAACCUGUCCCCGUAGAUCACACCUAAACCCUGAACAAGCGAAUGUAAGAGGGAACCACUCAAGAGUGCCAGCUAGAGUGUACGCCUUGGAAAAAUAGACAUUACCUGAACCAUCGGAGAUAGUAGAAGGUACGAUGCGUGAUUUCUAUUGUUUAACUAAGUUUUGGCUAUAGUGAGACCUGAGAGCUAGAAACGGAUAUACAAGGAAAUACCCUAUGUUAUUUCGAAGUGCAUGUAUGAAUUUCAAAAAUGAAAUUCUUUUAAGGAGGGGAGAUUGUGACACCCCGAAUAUUAGGAGGUUGUUUGUAAAGAAGAUACUAAAGUGUAUUUCUUUGAAUUUGAUUUAAAACCUUAUUUUGUUUUAAAAGACUAGAAACCCUAAUUUUAAUCACUGAAAUUGUAAAACCCUCACGUUUUUCUUAAAAAUUUCCUUUUAUUUGGAAAUUCAUUAUUUAUUAAAGUCCUACUACCCAAUCGUUCUACAAUAAGUGCAAAUAAAUCUAGAAAGUAGGGUUUCACUUUUGGUUUCAAGAUUGGAGCAAAAUUAGGGUUUUCGCGAUUUUUCGCCGGAUGAAUUUUCGGUACUGAGCAAGGAUCAAAUUUGGUGAUUAAAAGUGAAUUUUAAGUGAGAAAUAAUAUGUGAUUAGGGGCAAUGAUAUAGGAUUAGUGAAUAGGAAGUAAAAAUCCUAGUACGUGUAUUUUUAAGAAAAACGGUGCGAACCGACGGGUACCGUGCACUACCGAUUGAACGCACCACUUGACCACCACUUUCUUACCAUACAAGCUUAUUGAUAUUUGAGCAAAAUAUCUUCUUAAUUGUCAGCUGCCUUUGACCGAAAAUGGAGGCUAAAAUAACAAGGAAAAGGAAAGAGAAAAAUGAAAGGUGGUGGUGGCGACAAGUGUCGCCACCCUAGAGUUUCUUGACCAAGAGUUGGUUUUUCUUUUUAUCUCCAAAUUUUGCACUUUUCUCUUCAUUUUUUCUGCUGCUGGUAGACCAAUAGAGAGAGAGAAAGGGAGAGCAAAAGAAAACUUCUUUCUUCUUGAAUCUUAGCCAAAUCAAGUGAGAAAAUCGAUUUCCAAGCCGAUUAAAGUGUUAAUUGUGAGUUGGGAAGCUAGAGGAACUAGAAAUUUUCAAAGGAGGUGGAUUAUCACUCAUCCAAGCUUGUCUUUGAGGUAUUAAAUCUGAUCAUGGUCCUUGAUCUUUUAAAUCUUGCGUUAAGAUGUUAUUUAGUUUAAGUUUUGGCUUGAUUUCAAGAUGUGCAAGUGAUUGUGAUGAUUAUUGGAUGAAAUAAACAAGUUAGGGUUUUGGGGACUUGCUGCCAAACUUGAUGUAUGAUACAUAUAGGUUGUAUUUAAGGUUAUAUAAUGGGUUUUGGUAGUGUUGGAAGUAAGAAAUCAAGGAAGGUUGCAUUGAAUUCAAAAAAUUCCAGAUUUCUGGAAUUUCAGGAUUACAUUCUGUCCGAUUUUAAUACUCACAGUUAGAGGCAAAAUUAGGCUUGGCAAAAAACAUGAAAGUUGUAGAUAAUGGUAUUUUAUAGAAGCUUACAAAAUUUUAGCUCAAUCGGAGUAACGUAGCCCAUGAAAAGACCAAAAUACCCUCACUAUUUUAAGGUUUUUCCCAGUAGUCCGUUUGGUUAGUUUAUCCAGUUUAUGACGUUUAUUCACCAGAAUCCGUACUGAUUUAGCUUUUUGCCAAAACAUGAAAGUUUUAGUAUUCUGACUUAGCUUUUAAACGCCUCUAAGAACACCUUAAUCGGACCUUGGUAACCUUAGAUAUGACCAUUCCAGUGCAGAGCGGUUAAAUAGCCGACUAGUUAGAUUUUGGUUCUGUAAAUUGAGGAUUUUACUAGGUUGCAUUGGUAAAUGGACUAAGUGAUCUUCAUGAACAUUGUAGCCCUGUGUCUUAGCUUCGAAACGGUAUAAGUUGCGCCUCAAUCCGAUAAGCGUAGCCUCAGAUGUGUUAUUUCCGCAACCACACGUCAAAUCUGUCUUUUGCUAGGUUACAUUUCUGCACUUGUUAUCACUUUGAUUUUGUUCGUAUGAUUGUUAUGAGCCUAUGGAACGGCUAUAUACUUGAAUCUAUGAUAUGUAUGACUUUGGGAUUGGCUGCUGGAAAAUUAGGUAAACACAAAGGGCAUGCUGCCCAAAUUUACGCUCGAGAACUAUAAAAAUACACUUGCGACUUGGGUCGAGUUGAUAUGAAUAGUACUUGAAUCAUCUAGGGUACUUGAGUCUUCUUGUUUCGAGGUAUAUAAGUAAGGAUUUGGCCGAACUUGUACCCUUGAAAAAUGCAAUCAUGAUUGCUCGAAGUAUGUUUUCCUUGUACUUCCAACUCGCAUGACAAUUUCAAGUAUAAAUAUUACAAAGUUUUACUGUUUAAAAAGGCAAGAAAGUGUUUCACGACCACUCUCCAAGUGAAUUCCAAUUUCUUGAUUUUUAUUGAAUGAAACGUCUAAGUUUCGAAUCUUAGUCAUGUUUCAAAGUUCUCAAACUGAGUUUUAUCGCAGAUUUGGACUCCGAACCCGGAGUAUAACCUGAAAGUGACCAGUAAAGGCACUAUAUCUUGUGGUGAGUGCUUUCAAAUACUGAAUUGCACUAGAUACUUGAACUUGAUACGUGACCAAUAUGAGUGCAUGUUAUAUACGUGAAUUGAUAGGGCAAGAGUGUACUUUAUCGCACUUGCCCUUACGUGAUAUACUUGUUUAUUGAUUGCAAUUGACUUGAUAUACUUGUUUAUGAUGUGCGCACUUCCUGGAAUACCAGAAACCCUGUGACGAGUUACUCUAGUCGAGCCGGCAAGGGCUUGGUCGAUUGGGUAACGAACACUGGGUCUCUUGUUUUGUCGAGUGGAGUGAUAUCUCCUCGACUAAUCGGUAUACUCGAGUAUUACCACCCGUUUUUAUUGAGAAUUUUGGGCCCAGCAGGGGGUGUGAAUGGUGGACGGAGAGUAGUGUAAGUGGUGCUCUACUGGAUUGGUUCCUUUACUUGAAAGUUGAUGGAGUGUCAACUAUUACGUGAUCAAGCUCCUGAUGAUGAAAUGGGAAGUUGGCUCCUGAGAGCCAUCCGUAUCCUUAUGCUUUGGAAUGAUUAUUGUUUAUUGGAUUAUUGUUUCUUCUGAAAACUUUUACACUCGCUCAUUUUGAGAUUGCUACUUGAAGUGUUAUUGUUCACUUUUAUGAACUCUUCAUGCUCGUUACUUUGCUAUAUCGAAAACUUGUACUUAUAAAUAAUGGUCAAUUUGCUAUUUGGAACUUCACUGGGCUUUUAGCUCAUACCACGCUAUUUAUUUUCCUUACAGGGGGUACGAGCGAGGCGUGAGAGGUGUAAAGACUAGCGUAGUCUAGUUAUUUUUUAUUUUUGACUUUUGACUUGUACUCGCGCUAUUCCUCGAAUAAAAUGUUUUAUAUAUUGAGGCUUUGUACCUUGAUUUUCAUCAAUGUAAAUUCUAAACUUGAAUUGCGAUGUUAUUUAUGGUCCAUGAAUGAAUACACGUGAUACGAGUGAGUGAGUCCUGGCGAGAGUUGGGCAGGCGACCCGCCGAAACCUCUGGUUCGCCUUAGGGUGAGGUGGGGCCGUCACAGAUGGUAUCAGAGCUCCUAUUGAGCUCGUGCCGGGAGAGGAUUCUCGGACUGUGGGGAUUGACUUGUUAAGUGUGGAACAAUUGUCUAUUGUUGUGGACCUUAGAUAUGUAUGUUGGGUAGGAAUUUCUAAUAUGGGUGAUUUGCUCUUGAGCCUGGCCAGCUUGAGUGGUGAAUUAUCAUAUUUUCGGAUUCUUGUCCCCGAAUACCAAAGAGUGACACCUUUACGAUAAGUUGAGAUCUCGCGUAAUAUUGGGAUAAUUUUGGAUUGUGAAAGCAAAGGCAAGGGGAAUGCGAAUAGCCUGGACUUGUAAUAUAUUGAAGAUAUUCAUGGGAUUCAGGAUCCUUCUUAUUCACGUGUUUCGAGCCUUGAUUAAGUGUAGUGCCUGAACGAUACCUAGGGUUAAUGCUUUAUAAGUUAUGUGACUUGUUUUGAUUGAAUGUGUUGUAUUGCCUUGUUUUACGAUUUAGAGGGGUUUAUGAUUUACAUUAUUCUGUUUUGUGCUGUUUAUAUUUAUAUAGUUAUUUAGUGGCUAUAUUCUAUCAUUGAUUAGUUGAUUAUAUUGUUAUAGUUGAUUCGCUACGAACCAUGGAGGGUAGAAGAAGUCAAGCUAGGGGAACUAACCGAGGACGCGGUCCUAGUCGUAGCCGUGGGGUAGACAAGCCCAGGAACCGGUAUGAGAACCGAGAGAGGAAAGAGAGGCAACGGUUGAACCACAACCUGAACCCCAAGCUGCAGGGGGAGAUCAAGUGGCAACUGCCAUUCAGCAGAUGACUAACAUUCUGGCUCGGUUAGUGGAACAACAGGGUCAAGCCCCUGUACAUCAACCUUGGGACCCUAAUAAUGGGCAAGAUAGGGCCUUAGAGAGAUUCCAUAAAUUCUCUCCACCCAAAUUCCUAGGAGGGCCAGACCCGGAUGGGGCCGAGAAAUGGCUGGAGGCCAUGAUAAAUAUUUUUGCUGCCCUAAACUAUACGGAGGAGCAGCAAGUUCAAUUCGCUGUUUUCCAGUUCGAAAGGCCAGCUAGGGCUUGGUGGAACGUAGUGAGGGCCAAGUGGGAGAGAGAGGCGACUGCAUGGACCUGGUUAAAUUUCGUACGGGAAUUUAACGAAAAAUACCUUCCACCCAUCGUCCAGGAGAAGUGAGGGGAUGAUUUCAUUAAAUUCCGCCAGGGAAUGUUGAGUGUAACUGAGUAUGAGACUCAGUUUACAAAGUUGUCCAAAUUUGCCCCUGAACUGAUAGCUACGGAGCAAAGAAAAGUACGGAGGUUUGUGCAAGGGCAAAAUGUGGAUUUACAAGAAGCCUUAGCGGCAGCUCAAAUUAACACGUUUACGGAAGUUUUGGAGAAGGCCCAUCAAAUAGAAAUUGGUAGGGCACAAGUGAGGGCUUUUCAUGCAAAAAGGAGAGGUGCGCCUGGUGGAAGUCAUAGGCAAGGACAAGGUGAAUUGGAUAUGCCACCCUUUAAAAUAGGACGAGGAGAUGGUGGUGAGAAAACUUCAGGGAUGUCUAAGGAAAGUACUCCAAGCGGAGCUUCGCGUGGUUGGGGCCAAGCUAGAGGUGUCUCACAAGGAGGUCAGACCUAAACCCCUCAAGUAUCUUGUGGGUACUGUGGGAAGGCCAAUCAUGUGGAGAAUGAUUGUUGGCGAAAGGCAGGAAAAUGUUUAUGGUGUGGUAGUACCGAGCACCAACUUGCAACCUGUCCCCGUAGAUCACACCUAAACCCUGAACAAGCGAAUGUAAGAGGGAACCACUCAAGAGUGCCAGCUAGAGUGUACGCCUUGGAACAACAGACAUUACCUGAACCAUCGGAGAUAGUAGAAGGUACGAUGCGUGAUUUCUAUUGUUUAACUAAGUUUUGGCUAUAGUGAGACCUGAGAGCUAGAAACGGAUAUACAAGGAAAUACCCUAUGUUAUUUCGAAGUGCAUGUAUGAAUUUCGAGAACGAAAUUCUUUUAAGGAGGGGAGAUUGUGACACCCCGAAUAUUAGGAGGUUGUUUGUAAAGAAGAUACUAAAGUGUAUUUCUUUGAAUUUGAUUUAAAACCUUAUUUUGUUUUAAAAGACUAGAAACCCUAAUUUUAAUCACUGAAAUUGUAAAACCCUCAGGUUUUUCUUAAAAAUUCCUUUUAUUUGGAAAUUCAUUAUUUAUUAAAGUCCUACUACCCAAUCGUUCUACAAUAAGUGCAAAUAAACCUAGAAAGUAGGGUUUCACUUUUGGUUUCAAGAUUGGAGCAAAAUUAGGGUUUUCGCGAUUUUUCGCCGGAUGAAUUUUCGGUACUGAGCAAGGAUCAAAUUUCGUGAUUAAAAGUGAAUUUUAAGUGAGAAAUAAUAUGUGAUUAGGGGCAAUGAUAUACGAUUAGUGAAUAUGAAGUAAAAAUCCUAGUACGUGUGUUUUUAAGAAAAACGGUGCGAACCGACGGGUACCGUGCACUACCGAUUGAACGCACCACUUGACCACCACUUUCUUACCAUACAAGCUUAUUGAUAUUUGAGCAAAAUAUCUUCUUAAUUGCCAGCUGCCUUUGACCGAAAAUUGAGGCUAAAAUAACAAGGAAAAGGAAAGAGAAAAAUGAAAGGUGGUGGUGGCUACAAGUGUCGCCACCCUAGAGUUUCUUGACCAAGAGUUGGUUUUUCUUUUUAUCUCCAAAUUUUGCACUUUUCUCUUCAUUUUUUCUGCUGCUGGUAGACCAAUAGAGAGAGAGAAAGGGAGAGCAAAAGAAAACUUCUUUCUUCUUGAAUCUUAGCCAAAUCAAGUGAGAAAAUCGAUUUCCAAACCGAUUAAAGUGUUAAUUGUGAGUUGGGAAGCUAGAGGAACUAGAAAUUUUCAAAGGAGGUGGAUUAUCACUCAUCCAAGCUUGUCUUUGAGGUAUUAAAUCUGAUCAUGGUCCUUGAUCUUUUAAAUCUUGCGUUAAGAUGUUAUUUAGCUUAAGUUUUGGCUUGAUUUCAAGAUGUGCAAGUGAUUGUGAUGAUUAUUGGAUGAAAUAAACAAGUUAGGGUUUUGGGGACUUGCUGCCAAACUUGAUGUAUGAUACAUAUAGGUUGUAUUUAAGGUUAUAUAAGGGGUUUUGGUAGUGUUGGAAGUAAGAAAUCAAGGAAGGUUGCAUUGAAUUCAAAAAAUUCCAGAUUUCUGGAAUUUCAGGAUUACAUUCUGUCCGAUUUUAAUACUCAUAGUUAGAGGCAAAAUUAGGCUUGGCCUAAAACAUGAAAGUUGUAGAGAAUGGUAUUUUAUAGAGCUUACAAAAUUUCAGCUCAAUCGGAGUAACGUAGCCCAUGAAAAGACCAAAAUACCCUCACUAUUUUAAGGUUUUUCCCAGUAGUCCGUUUGGUUAGUUUAUCCAGUUUAUGACGUUUAUUCACCAGAAUCCGUACUGAUUUAGCUUUUUUCCAAAACAUGAAAGUUUUAGUAUUCUGACUUAGCUUUUAAACGCCUCAAAGAACACCUUAAUCGGACCUUGGUAACCUGAGAUAUGACCAUUCCAGUGCAGAGCGGUUAAAUAGCCGACUAGUUAGAUUUUGGUUCUGUAAAUUGAGGAUUUUACUAGGUUGCAUUGGAAAAUGGACUAAGUGAUCUUCAUGAACAUUGUAGCCCUGUGUCUUAGCUUCGAAACGGUAUAAGUUGCGUCUCAAUCCGAUAAGCGUAGCCUCGGAUGUGUUAUUUCCGCAACCACACGUCAAAUCUGUCUUUUGCUAGGUUACAUUUCUGCACUUGUUAUCACUUUGAUUUUGUUCGUAUGAUUGUUAUGAGCCUAUGGAACGGCUAUAUACUUGAAUCUAUGAUAUGUAUGACUUUGGGAUUGGCUGCUGGAAAAUUAGGUAAACACAAAGGGCAUGCUGCCCAAAUUUACGCUCGAGGACUAUAAAAAUACACUUGCGACUUGGGUCGAGUUGAUAUGAAUAGUACUUGAAUCAUCUAGGGUACUUGAGUCUUCUUGUUUCGAGGUAUAUAAGUAAGGAUUUGGCUGAACUUGUACCCUUGAAAAAUGCAAUCAUGAUUGCUCGAAGUAUGUUUUCCUUGUACUUCCAACUCGCAUGACAAUUUCAAGUAUAAAUAUUACAAAGUUUUACUGUUUAAAAAGGCAAGCAAGUGUUUCACGACUACUCUCCAAGUGAAUUCCAAUUUCUUGAUUUUUAUUGAAUGAAACGUCUAAGUUUCGAAUCUUAGUCAUGUUUCAAAGUUCUCAAACUGAGUUUUAUCGCAGAUUUGGACUCCGAACCCGGAGUAUAACCUGAAAGUGACCAGUAAAGGCACUAUAUCUUGUGGUGAGUGCUUUCAAAUACCGAAUUGCACUAGAUACUUGAACUUGAUACGUGACCAAUAUGAGUACAUGUUAUAUACGUGAAUUGAUAGGGCAAGAGUGUACUUUAUCGCACUUGCCCUUACGUGAUAUACUUUUUAUUGAUUGCAAUUGACUUGAUAUACUUGUUUAUGAUGUGCGCACUUCCUGGAAUUCCAGAAACCCUGUGGCGAGUUACUCUAGUCGAGCCGGCAAGGGCUUGGUCGAUUGGGUAACGAACCCUGGGUCUCUUGUUUUGUCGAGUGGAGUGAUAUCUCCUCGACUAAUCGGUAUACUCGAGUAUUACCACCCGUGUUUAUUGAGAAUUUUGGGCCCAGCAGGGGGUGUGAAUGGUGGACGGAGAGUAGUGUAAGUGGUGCUCUAUUGGAUUGGUUCCUUUACUUGAAAGUUGAUGGAGUGUCAACUAUUACGUGAUCAAGCUCCUGAUGAUGAAAUGGGAAGUUGGCUCCUGAGAGCCAUCCGUAUCCUUAUGCUUUGGAAUGAUUAUUGUUUAUUGGAUUAUUGUUUCUUCUGAAAACUUUUACACUCGCUCAUUUUGAGAUUGCUACUUGAAGUGUUAUUGUUCACUUUUAUGAACUCUUCAUGCUCGUUACUUUGCUAUAUCGAAAACUUGUACUUAUAAAUAAUGGUCAAUUUGCUAUUUGGAACUUCACUGGGCUUUUAGCUCAUACCACGCUAUUUAUUUUCCUUACAGGGGGUACGAGCGAGGCGUGAGAGGUGUAAAGACUAGCGUAGUCUAGUUGUUUUUGACUUUUGACUUGUACUCGCGCUAUUCCUCGAAUAAAAUGUUUUAUAUAUUGAGGCUUUGUACCUUGAUUUUCAUCAAUGUAAAUUCUAAACUUGAAUUGCGAUGUUAUUUAUGGUCCAUGAAUGAAUGCACGUGAUACGAGUGAGUGAGUCCUGGCGAGAGUUGGGCAGGCGACCCGCCGAAACCUCUGGUUCGCCUUAGGGUGAGGUGGGGCCGUCACAGAUGGUAUCAGAGCUCCUAUUGAGCUCGUGCCGGGAGAGGAUUCUCGGACUGUGGGGAUUGACUUGUUAAGUGUGGAACAAUUGUCUAUUGUUGUGGACCUUAGAUAUGUAUGUUGGGUAGGAAUUUCUAAUAUGGGUGAUUUGCUCUUGAGCCUGGCCAGCUUGAGUGGUGAAUUAUCAUAUUUUCGGAUUCUUGUCCCCGAAUACCAAAGAGUGACACCUUUACGAUAAGUUGAGAUCUCGCGUAAUAUUGGGAUAAUUUUGGAUUGUGAAAGCAAAGGCAAGGGGAAUGCGAAUAGCCUGGACUUGUAAUAUAUUGAAGAUAUUCAUGGGAUUCAGGAUCCUUCUUAUUCACGUGUUUCGAGCCUUGAUUAAGUGUAGUGCCUGAACGAUACCUAGGGUUAAUGCUUUAUAAGUUAUGUGACUUGUUUUGAUUGAAUGUGUUGUAUUGCCUUGUUUUACGAUUUAGAGGGGUUUAUGAUUUGCAUUAUUCUGUUUUGUGCUGUUUAUAUUUAUAUAGUUAUUUAGUGGCUAUAUUCUAUCAUUGAUUAGUUGAUUAUAUUGUUAUAGUUGAUUCGCUACGAACCAUGGAGGGUAGAAGAAGUCAAGUUAGGGAAACUAACCGAGGACGCGGUCCUAGUCGUAGCCGUGGGGGUAGACAAGCCCAGGAACCGGUACGAGAACCGAGAGAGGAAAGAGAGGCAACGGUUGAACCACAACCUGAACCCCAAGCUGCAGGGGGAGAUCAAGUGGCAACUGCCAUUCAGCAGAUGACUAACAUUCUGGCUCGGUUAGUGGAACAACAGGGUCAAGCCCCUGUACAUCAACCUUGGGACCCUAAUAAUGGGCAAGAUAGGGCCUUAGAGAGAUUCCAUAAGUUCUCUCCACCCAAAUUCCUAGGAGGGCCAGACCCGGAUGGGACCGAGAAAUGGCUGGAGGCCAUGAUAAAUAUUUUUGCUGCCCUAAACUAUACGGAGGAGCGGCAAGUUCAAUUCGCUGUUUUCCAGUUCGAAAGGCCAGCUAGGGCUUGGUGGAACGUAGUGAGGGCCAAGUGGGAGAGAGAGGCGACUGCAUGGACCUGGUUAAAUUUCGUACGGGAAUUUAACGAAAAAUACCUUUCACCCAUCGUCCAGGAGAAGCGAGAGGACGAUUUCAUUAAAUUCCGCCAGGGAAUGUUGAGUGUAACUGAGUAUGAGAUUCAGUUUACAAAGUUGUCCAAAUUUGCCCCUGAACUGAUAGCUACGGAGCAAAGAAAAGUACGGAGGUUUGUGCAAGGGCUAAAUGUGGAGUUACAAGAAGCCUUAGCGGCAGCUCAAAUUAACACGUUUACGGAGGUUUUGGAGAAGGCCCAACGAAUAGAAAUUGCUAGGGCACAAGUGAGGGCUUUUCAUGCAAAAAGGAGAGGUGCGCCUGGUGGAAGUCAUAGGCAAGGACAAGGUGAAUUAGAUAUGCCACCCUUUAAAAUAGGACGAGGAGAUGGUGGUGAGAAAACUUCAGGGAUGUCUAAGGAAAGUACUCCAAGGGGAGCUUCGCGUGGUUGGGGCCAAGCAAGAGGUGUCUCACAAGGAGGUCAGUCCUCAGCCCCUUAAGUAUCUUGUGGGUACUGUGGGAAGGCCAAUCAUGUGGAGAAUGAUUGUUGGCGAAAGGCAGGAAAAUGUUUAUGGUGUGGUAGUACCGAGCACCAACUUGCAACCUGUCCCCGUAGAUCACACCUAAACCCUGAACAAGCGAAUGUAAGAGGGAACCACUCAAGAGUGCCAGCUAGAGUGUACGCCUUGGAACAACAGACAUUACCUGAACCAUCGGAGAUAGUAGAAGGUACGAUGCGUGAUUUCUAUUGUUUAACUAAGUUUUGGCAAUAGUGAGACCUGAGAGUUAGAAACGGAUAUACAAGGAAAUACCCUAUGUUAUUUCGAAGUGCAUGUAUGAAUUUCGAGAACGAAAUUCUUUUAAGGAGGGGAGAUUGUGACACCCCGAAUAUUAGGAGGUUGUUUGUAAAGAAGAUACUAAAGUGUAUUUCUUUGGAUUUGUUUUAAAAGACUAGAAACCCUAAUUUUAAUCACUGAAAUUGUAAAACCCUCACUUUUUUCGUAAAAAUUUCCUUUUAUUUGGAAAUUCAUUAUUUAUUAAAGCCCUACUACCUAAUCGUUCUACAAUAAGUGCAAAUAAACCUAAAAAGUAGGAUUUCACUUUUGGUUUCAAGAUUGGAGCAAAAUUAGGGUUUUCGCGAUUUUUCGCCGGAUGAAUUUUCGGUACUGAGCAAGGAUCAAAUUUGGUGAUUAAAAGUGACUUUUAAGUGAGAAAUAAUAUGUGAUUAGGGGAAAUGAUAUAAGAUUAGUGAAUAGGAAGUAAAAAUCCUAGUACGUGUGUUUUUAAGAAAAACGGUGCGAACCGACGGGUACCGUGCACUACCGAUUGAACGCACCACUUGACCACCACUUUCUUACCAUACAAGCUUAUUGAUAUUUGAGCAAAAUAUCUUCUUAAUUGUCAGCUGCCUUUGACCGAAAAUUAAGGAUAAAAUAACAAGGAAAAGGAAAGAGAAAAAUGAAAGGUGGUGGUGGCGACACUCGUCGCCACCCUAGAGUUUCUUAACCAAGAGUUGGUUUUUCUUUUAUCUCCAACUUUUGCACUUUCCUCUUCUUUUUUUCUGCUGCUGGUUGACCAAAAGUGAGAGAGAGAGGGAGAGCAAAAGAAAACUUCUUUCUUCUUGAAUCUUAGCCAAAUCAAGUGAGAAAAUCGAUUUCCAAACCGAUUAAAGUGUUAAUUGUGAGUUGGGAAGCUAGAGGAACUAGAAAUUUUCAAAGGAGGUGGAUUAUCACUCAUCCAAGCUUAUCUUUGAUGUAUUAAAUCUGAUCAUGGUCCUUGAUCUUUUAAAUCUUGCGUUAAGAUGUUAUUUAGCUUAAGUUUUGGCUUGAUUUCAAGAUGUGCAAGUGAUUGUGAUGAUUAUUGGAUGAAAUAAACAAGUUAGGGUUUUGGGGACUUGCUGCCAAACUUGAUGUAUGAUACAUAUAGGUUGUAUUUAAGGUUAUAUAAGGGGUUUUGGUAGUGUUGGAAGUAAGAAAUCAAGGAAGGUUGCAUUGAAUUCAAAAAAUUCCAGAUUUCUGGAAUUUCAGGAUUACAUUCUGUCCGAUUUUAAUACUCAUAGUUAGAGGCAAAAUUAGGUUUGACCUAAAACAUAAAAGUUGUAGAGAAUAGUAUUUUAUAGGUGUUUACAAAAUUUCAGCUCAACCGGAGUAACGUAGCCCAUGAAAAGACCAAAAUACCCUCACUAUUUUAAGGUUUUUCCUAGUAGUCCGUUUGGUUUUAUGACGUUUAUUCACCAGGAUCCGUACUGAUUUAGCUUUUUGGAAAAACAUGAAAGUUUUAGUAUUCUGACUUAGCUUUUAAACGCCUCUAAGAACACCUUAAUCGGACCUUGGUAACCUGAGAUAUGACCAUUCCAGUGCAGAGCGGUUAAAUAGCCGACUAGUUAGAUUUUGGUUCUGUAAAAUGAGGAUUUUACUAGGUUGCAUUGGAAAAUGGACUAAGUCAAAUCUGUCUUUUGCUAGGUUACAUUUCUACACUUGUUAUCACUUUGAUUUUGUUCGUAUGGUUGUUAUGAGCCUAUGGAACGGCUAUAUACUUGAAUCUAUGAUAUGUAUUACUUUGGGAUUGGCUGCUGGAAAAUUAGGUAAACACAAAGGGCAUGCUGCCCAAAUUUACGCUCGAGGACUAUAAAAAUACACUUGCGACUUGGGUCAAGUUGAUAUGAAUAGUACUUGAACCAUCUAGGGUACUUGGGUCUUCUUGUUUCGAGGUAUAUAAGUAAGGAUUUGGCCGAACUUGUACCCUUGAGAAAUGCAAUCAUGAUUGCUCGAAAUAUGUUUUCCUUGUACUUCCAACUCGCAUGACAAUUUCAAGUAUAAAUAUUACAAAGUUUUACUGUUUAAAAAGGCAAGCAAGUGUUUCACGACUACUCUCCAAGUGAAUUCCAAUUUCUUGAUUUUUAUUGAAUGAAAUGUCUAAGUUUCGAAUCUUAGUCAUGUUUCAAAGUUCUCAAACUGAGUUUUAUCGCAAAUUUGGACUCCGAACCCGGAGUAUAACCUGAAAGUGACCAGUAAAGGCACUAUAUCUUGUGGUGAGUGCUUUCAAAUACCGAAUUGCACUAGAUACUUGAACUUGAUACGUGACCAAUAUGAGUACAUGUUAUAUACGUGAAUUGAUAGGGCAAGAGUGUACUUUAUCGCACUUGCCCUUACGUGAUAUACUUGUUUAUUGAUUGCAAUUGACUUGAUAUACUUGUUUAUGAUGUGCUCACUUCCUAGAAUUCCAGAAAUCCUGUGGCGAGUUACUCUAGUCGAGCCGGCAAAGGCUUGGUCGAUUGGGUAACGAACCCUGGGUCUCUUGUUUUGUCGAGUGGAGUGAUAUCUCCUCGACUAAUCGGUAUAUUCGAGUAUUACUACCCGUGUUUAUUGAGGAUUUUGGGCCCAGUAGGGGGUGUGAAUGGUGGACGGAGGGUAGUGUAAGUGGUGCUCUACUGGAUUGGUUCCUUUACUUGAAAGUUGACGGAGUGUCAACUAUUACGUGAUCAAGCUCCUGAUGAUGAAAUGGGAAGUUGGCUCCUGAGAGCCAUCCGUAUCCUUAUGCUUUGGAAUGAUUAUUGUUUAUUGGAUUAUUGUUUCUUUUGAAAACUUUUACACUCGCUCAUUUUGAGAUUGCUAUUUGAAGUGUUAUUGCUCACUUUUAUGAACUCUUCAUGCUCGUUACUUUGCUAUAUCGAAAACUUGUACUUAUAAAUAAUGGUCAAUUUGCUAUUUGGAACCUCACUGGGCUUUUAGCUCAUACCACGCUAUUUGUUUUCCUUACAGGGGGUACGAGCGAGGCGUGAGAGGUGUAAAGACUAGCGUAGUCUAGUUAUUUUUUACUUUUGACUUUUGACUUGUACUCACGCUAUUCCUCGAAUAAAAUGUUUUAUAUAUUGAGGCUUUGUACCUUGAUUUUCAUCAAUGUAAAUUCUAAGCUUGAAUUGCGAUGUUAUUUAUGGUCCAUGAAUGAAUGCACGUGAUACGAGUGAGUGAGUCCUGGCGAGAGUUGGGCAGGCGACCCGCCGAACCCUCUGGUUCGCCUUAGGGUGAGGUGGGGCCGUCACAGUGGAGCCAUGGCCGAUCGUAUAGAGGAAGUUUUGCUCGGGAAUGUACUUGGAGAGGCUGCACCUGCUGUGGAGGUGGAGAUUACACCGAUGGAGGAGGAGCCCGAAGAGGAGCCCGAAGAGGACCCUUCUGAAGCUGUAAGAUCUUCUAGUUCGGUCCACCUGUAUUAUAGACCUCUUGAUCUUUUGACUUUUGUUCAGGUCUUUGAAAGGGUGAAUCUCACUGUGAUGCCUUUUGUAUUUUGUGCAUUUACCCCUAUAUUUAGAGGCACUUGAAUGUCUAUGUCCUGUAUUUGAUAUUAUUGACUCGUUGUAUACACUCUUAACAUGUGACAUGACUUCUAAUCUAUAUAAAGAUCUAUACUUUGAUUUUAAAGUGUUCUUGCAAUCUGUAUUUGUUUUAAAUUUUUGUGCUUAAUUUUCCCUCUUUUAAUUAUGCUCUUCGAAUCUUGCUAUAUGGAUUGACGAGAACAUGAAAGGGGGCGUGGGCGUGAGUUUCGAUAACUCCGCACUCCCGAGAGAGGUUAGAGAUCUACGAUUGGUCCAAACCAAAACCCUAAGAACGAAGAGGGUGACCAAGUGGCUACGGCCCUUAACCGUAUAACCGAUGUUCUCGAGCGUUUAGCUGAGCGCCAAGGUCCUGAGCCAGUUAACCAACCUAGGAACCAAGAGAAGGGUGAGAAUAGAGCUCUAGAGCGAUUCUUGAAGUUCACUCCACCUAUGUUUCAUGGAGGGUCUGAUCCCGACGUAGCGAAAAAUUGGUUUGAAAAGAUGGUCGAGAUCUUUGUUGUUUUAGCUUAUACCUAGAAAAGGCAAGUGAAUUUUGCCAUUUUUCAACUUGGGGGAGCAACCCACUCGUGGUGGAACAUUGUUAGGGUGAAGUGGGAAAGAGAACAAACCCCUUGGAUUUUGGCAAGUUUUGAGAGGGAGUUCAAUGCCAAAUUCCUUCCGCCAAUGAUACAAGAAAAGAGGGAGGAUGACUUUAUUAAAUUGAAACAAGGGUUACUAAGCAUGGCAGAGUAUGAGAAGCAGUUCACUAAAUUUUUUAAAUUUGUGCAUGAACUUGUGGUCACAGAGUGAAAAAGGAUAAGAAAAUUUAUUCAUGAACUAAAUGUAGAAAUCCAAAAAUUUCUAAUAGUUGCCUAGAUCACAACUUUCACGGAAGUCUUGGAGAAGGCAUAGAGAGUAGAAAAUACUAAGUACCAAUCUAGAGUUUUUCACGCUAGAAAGAGGGGUUACCCAAGUAACGUCCCUGGAUCGUCCGAAAAGUCUACCCAACCACUUAAGAUGGGAAGUGGGGCUGGAAGAGUGAGAACGUCCGAAAAAUCAGUAGGAACUCCAUCAAGGGGAGCCCCGUCAAAAGGAAAUCAGGAUGGGCGAGGUCAGUAAAAAGUAAGUUUUCAAGUUAGUCAGGUCGUUACCCCUCUUGUGAUUUGUGAAUAUUGUAACAAGCCUAACCAUACUGAGGCUGAAUGAUGGAGAAAGCAAGAAAAAUGUUUGAUUUGUGGUAGUGCCGAGCACCAGAUUUCGAGUUGUCCUAAUGCCUCCAAGGAAGAAGGAAAUACCCAACAACCUGCUAGGUCUACUUCAAAACAGUCAAGUGCCGGAAGGAGCCAAUCAAAAGUGCCAGUUAGGGUUUACACCUUAGACAAUUAGCAAAUUUUAACCCAAUUGAAGUGGUGGAAGGUACGAUUCCCAUUUUUCAUCGCUUAACUAGAGUUUUAAUUGAUCUCGGGGCAACCCAUUUUUUCGUAGAUCCUAACUUUAUGAAGGGUGUAGAUGUAAAGUGUGAAUUAUUGCCUUUUGAUUUAGAAGUUAAGAUUCCUACGGGGAACCAAUGCCUGACUGCUAAUAAAAUUUAUAGGAAUUAUGAGAUUUGGGUUGGUGAGAGAACAUUGUUGACGGAUUUAAUGACUUUAACAAUUAAGGGGUAUGAUGUGAUACUAGGGAUGGAUUGGUUAGUUCGAUACCAUGUUCAAUUGGAUUGUAAGAUGAAUCUAAUAGAGUUGCACAUUCCUGGGGAAGCAAAUUUGAAAUUAGAUGUGAGAGGUAAACUAGCAUCGUCUGCUUUAAUCUCGGUGAUUCGAGCUAGAAAAUUAUUGAGUAGUAGAACUAAAGGAUAUCUAGUCUUUCGUAUCAAUACAUCUGGGAAUACGGUGAACUUGGAAAACGUGCCGGUAGUGAACAAGUUUUUUGAUGUCUUUUCCGAGAAAUUAGAGACGUUACCUCCGGAGAGGAAAAUAGUGUUUAAAAUUAAUGUGGCUCCGGGGACAACCCCUAUCUCUAAGACAUCUUACAGGAUGGCUCCAACUAAAUUAAAGAAAUUGAAGUUGCAAUUAUAAGAUUUAUUAGGAAAAAGUUUUAUCAAACAAAGUGACUCAUCAUAGGGAGCUCAAGUGUUUUUCGUUAAGAAGAAAUAUGUGAGUUUGAAACUUUGCGUAGAUUAUUGAGACUUGAAUGAUGUAACCAUUAGGAACAAAUACCCUCUGUCUCACAUAGAUGAACUAUUUGAUCAGUUGCAAGGGACAGUGGUAUUUUUCAAAUUAGAUUUGAGGCAAGGAUAUUACCAAUUGAUGAUUCUAGAAGCUGAUGUGCCUAAGACGGCUUUCAAUUCAAGAUAUGGGCACUUUGAAUUUGCAAUGAUGCCCUUUGGGUUAACUAAUGCGCCAGCAGCAUUUAUAGACUUGAUGCAUCGGGUUUUUAAGCCGUACUUGGAUCAAUUUGUGUUAGUAUACAUCGAUGACAUACUAGUGUAUUUUAAGUCUCGAGAAGAUCAUGAACGGCACUUGAGAAUAGUUUUGCAAACCCUGAGAGGGCACAAACUUUUUGCUAAGUUUAAUAAAUGUGAGUUUUGGUUGGAAGAAGUAGCUUUUUUAAGUCACAUAAUUUCUAAGAAAGGAAUUACUGUGGAUCCAACUAAGGUAGAAGCUGUUUCUAAGUGGAAACGACCAGAAAAUCCUACCAAAGUUCGGAGUUUCUUAGGGUUAGCCGAAUAUUACUGUCGGUUUAUCAAGAACGUUUCUAAAAUUGCCAAACCCUUAACUGAGUUGACUAAGAAGUAUGGUAAGUUUAUUUGGAAUUCUAAAUACGAGGAAGGGUUUCAAGAGUUGAAAAGGUGUUUGACCGAGACACCUGUGUUAACAUUGUCGAGCGGAGGAGAUGGAUUCGUGGUUUAUACAGAUGGCUCAAAGGAUGGUUUAGAGUGUGUAUUGAUGCAAAACGGGAGAGUGAUUGCGUAUGCCUCUCGUAAGUUGAAAUCUCAUGAACGGAAUUAUCCGACCCAUGACUUAGAGUUAGCGGCAGUAGUGCUUGCCUUGAAAAAGUGGAAACAUUAUUUAUAUAGAAUGACUUUCGUGAUUUUCACAGAUGACAAGAGUCUUAAGUAUUUGUUCUUCCAGAAAGAGUUAAAUUUGAGACAAUGUAAAUGGAUAGAAUUUUUGGAGAAUCAUGACUGUCCGCUUAACUAUCACCCCGAAAAAGGUAAUGUAGUGGCAGAUACUCUAAAUCGUAAAGUGCAAGUAGCCGAUUUAAUGGUGAAAGAAUGGCACAUGCUAGAAAAAAUUAGUGCUUGGAAUCCGCGUCUUGAGCCACAGAAGGUAAUCUUUGGAAAUAUUACUGUGAAAUCUACCUUGUUAGAUCGAAUCAAAGAAGUUCAAAAAGGAGAUCUUGAAGUGCAAAAAUGGAUUGAGAAAGUUCAAAAAGGGGAAAAGUUUGAUUUCAAUUUGGGGACUGAUGGAGUGUUAAAAUUUAGAAAUCGCCUAGUGGUACCCAAGGAUGAAGGUCUAAAGAAGAAAAUUUUGGAUGAAACUCACCGUUCUAAGUAUACGGUGCACCCUGAAGGUAAUAAGAUGCAUCAAAACUUUGUCAAGAGCAGGGACGUAAUUGCAAUUGGAGCAAGAGUUUUAGGGGUGUUAGUGUAAUUAGCUUAUGGAGCCAAAAAACUGUUAAAAGUUAGUUAUAACUGAAUCUAUUAAAAUCAAUUCAUUGCAUGGGAAUUAUGUGCCAAUUGGAUUCAGAUCCAUCAUUGAAGUUGUAUAAAUCCAAGACAAUGUAAUGAAUUGGACAACAAGAAAUACAAUCACAAUUUUUCCUCCCAAAUUCUUAUUUUCUCUCUCUCUCACCUCUUUCCUCCCUUUCUGUUCUUUCCUUCUUCAUUCAAAUUUUCCCUGAAUCUGCUGGUCACAUUUCCUUCUCAAUUCUACUUUGGACGGGCCUGACAAAUUGGUAUCAGAGCUGAUGAUUCUUCGGCAGCUCAGAGAUCAACCAAUGGCAGAGAGCACACGCUUCAAGACCUUAGAAGAUCAUCUCCGGAAGCAGGAACUCAAGUUGCAAGAAGUCAUGGAGGAUAUGAAGAACGUACAGCUGCAAGUAAUGGAAGAAAUGGUAGGCAGGGAUAUGAUCGCACUCAGCAUGGAGCAGAAGUUUGAGGCACUCAGUUCAAUGAUGAGGACACUACUGAGCAAGGAGAAGAGUGCAGAAGAAGAAGGCAAAGCUGGUCGAGAUCGUACACCAUUACUGCCCACACCCCCCAUCUAUCAGAGGCUGAACUUGGGAGCAGAUGAGAAAGCUAAAAGUUGCGAGUUCUUGGGUAAGAUUUCUGACUAUAAUCCUCCAAAAAUUGAGUUACAUAUGUUUAGUGGGGAAAAUCCUAGGGAAUGGAUCAGAAAAUGCAACAAGUACUUCUUGCUGAAUAAGGUAUCUGAGGAACAUAAAUUGUUGGUAGUAGAGAUGUUUUUAGAAGGUAGAGCUGAUAAUCGGUUCCAAGGAAUCAAAUUAGAAAAACCAAGGCUAACAUGGGGGGAAUUUGGGGAGCUGCUCUGUCAGAGAUUCAAAGGAUCAUGCUGUAGAGAUAUUGUAGAGGAAUUCAAUAAAUUGCAGCAGAUGAGUACAGUAGAGGUUUACCAAAAAAAAAAGUUUGAGGAGUUAAAGACCUUGAUGCUAAUUCAGAAUCCAAGCCUCAGUGAAGAAUACUUCAUUUCCAGUUUCACCAGUGGUCUCAAGGAGGGGAUUAAACCUAUGGUGAGAAUGAUCAAGCCAAACACUCUUUCUGGAGUUAUGGAGGUGGCUCAUUUGCAAGAACAGGCUCUCAGGUUACAAGGAAGGACAGUCAAGGAUGGCAACAAGGUGAUGGUUGAACCAAAGUUUGGGAUGUACAGGCAUCCAACCUCUGCCAAUGAAGGAAUCAGUACUUACAAGCUAUCACAGAACAACAUACCUAGGGUAGUUCCUAAAAUUCCAGACAAAAGUCCAGAAUUUAAGAGACUAUCCUCUUAGGAACUGCAGUUCAGAAGGAGUAAUGGACUGUGUUUAAGUGUGGGGAGAAAUUUGGGGUAGGACAUCAGUGCAGGAUGGAACACUUGAACCUUAUGUUGUAUGAAGAAGAGGAGGACACUGAAUUCCAGGAUGCUCAAGGGGAACAGGAUGAGCUGACUGGGAAUCCAGGAGAACCAAUUGAAAUUUCACUCAAUGAUCUAUCAGACUCACUCAGACGAACACUAUCCUGUUACAAGGACAGGUGGCAGGGGAACCUGUCAAGAUUUUGGUGGAUACAGGUAGCAGUGAUAGCUACAUCCAUCACAAGCUGGUGUCUGCACAAGGCAUUCCUUUUGAAUAUGUCAAGCCCUUCACUGUCACAAUGGGGGAUGGAAGCUUAGUAACCAGUGGAGCUCAGUGUCCAAAGGUCCUGUGGAAUGUUCAGAAUAAUAAAUUUUGCUUUGACCUUAGGAUUAUGGAAUUAGGUGAUUGGGAUCUUAUUUUGGGGGUAGAUUGGAUGCACAAUUACAGCCCCAUUACUUUUGAUUUUCAUCAACUAAAAAUCUCUAUGUUCCAUCAAAGAGAGGUGGUCACAUUGCAUGGAGUAGUUAAUGAUGCAACCAAGGAACUUAUUAGGAGGAAGGAUCUCAGAGGCUUUUUGCAAGAGAAGAGGAGGUGUAGUGUUAUUUCAGCACAAAGUAAAGAGGACACAGGGAAACAAGGAGUUCCAGGAUCAAUUACUGCAGUUUUGGAGCAAUUUUCAGAAGUAUUUCAGGAGCCUACUCAGUUGCCUCCCAAUAGGCCAUUGGAUCAUCAGAUUCCUCUAAAGCCAGGAGCACAAGCUUUUAAAAUGAAACCAUAUAGAUACCCUCACUCACAGAAAGCGGAGAUUGAAAAGCAAAUAGCAGAUAUGUUGAAGUCUGGAAUCAUCAAGCCAAGCAAUAGUCAUUAUGCUUCACCUGUGCUGUUGGUCAAGAAAAAGGAUAACACCUGGCAUUUUUGUGUGGAUUACAGGCAUCUAAAUGACCUGACAGUCAAGAACAGAUAUCAUAUCCCCAACAUUGAAGAACUGCUGGAUGAGCUCUAUGGAGCCAAGUUCUUCUCCAAAAUUGACCUGAGAUCAGGUUACGACCAGAUCAGGGUUAAGAUGGCAGAUACACACAAAACAGCCUUUCAGACUCAUCAGGGACACUUUGAGUUCCUAGUGAUGUCAUUUGGGCUCACGAAUGCACCAGCAACAUUUCAAGCAUUGAUGAAUUAGGUUUUUGAGCUAUUCUUGAGAAAGUUUGUCCUAGAAUUUUUUUAUGACAUUUUAAUCUACAGUGCUACCCUAGAUCUUCAUAAAUAGCACCUAAAACAAGUACUAGAGGUGCUCCAACAUAACCAAUUGUAUGCCAAAUUAUCCAAGUGCUCUUUUGCCCAGCAAGAAGUGGAGUAUUUGGGGCAUGUAGUAUCCAGUACAGGAGUGAGUAUGAACAUGAGCAAGGUGGAGUGCAUACAGUCAUGGCCUAUUCCUAAGAAUAUUAAAGAAUUCAGGACAUUCUUAGGCCUCAUAGGCUACUACAGACGUUUCAUAAAAGGCUAUGGAACAAUCAGUAAGCCAUUAACAAAUCUGCUGAAGAAGGAUGCCUAUGACUAGAAUGCAGAAUCUUACAAGGCUUUUAGUUGUCUUAAGCAGGCCAUAAGUAGUGCUCUAGUGCUAAGACUGUCCAACUUUGGUAUUCCCUUUGUGGUGGAAACUGAUGCAAGUGGACAGAGCAUGGGAGCUAUACUCUUACAGGAGGGUCAGCCCAUAGCAUUCAUUAGCAGAGCAUUCUCCCUCAAGAACAUAGGGUUGUCUGUCUAUGAGAAAGAACUGCUGGCAUUGGUUUUUGCAGUGACUAAGUGGAAGCAUUAUUUAGUAGGGAACCAUUUCAUCAUCAGGACAGAUCACAAGUCGUUGAAAUUUUUGCUAGAACAAAGACUGACCACUACUGCUCAGUAUAAAUGGUUGACAAAGUUGCUAGGCUUAGAUUAUGAGAUUCAGUAUAAGAAAGGUUCAGAAAACACUGUUGCUGAUGUCUUAUCUAGAAGGACCAUGAUGGAACUACAACCUGAACCACAACAGUUGAUGGCCAUUACUGGUGUUCAACCUCUAUGGAUCCAAGAGCUGUAGGAUAGUUACUUUCAAGACGCACAGUGCAGAGAAUUAAUAAGUCAACUACUGCUGGAUCCUACACCACAGGACUCUGAUUUUCAGCUCAAUAAAGGGAUACUCAGGUAUAAGGGGAAGCUGUUUAUAGGGAAUAGCAGGGGAGUUAAGCAGAAAAUAAUCAAAGCUCUGCAUGAAUCCCCUAUUGGAGGGCAUUCUGGUCAGAGAACAUGUAUACAGAGGGUGCAAAGCAUAUUUCACUGGCCAGGGAUGAAGAAAGAGAUCAUACAGUUCAUACAGGAGUGUGAAGUCUGCCAAAGGAACAAAAGUGAACGUGUCCUAUAUCCAGGAUUACUGCAGCCACUACCAAUUCCCACCCAAGUUUGGUCACAUAUCACUAUAGACUUUAUUGAAAAGCAACCUUGCUCUAGGGGAUUUGACACUAUUUUGGUGGCCAUAGAUAGACUGACAAAGUUUGGCCACUUCAUGCCACUUUCUCACCCAUUUUUAGCUACUCAAGUGGCACAGGUCUUCCUAGAUCAUGUCUACAAACUCCAUGGAUUACCAGAAUCCAGCAUAACAGACAGAGAAAAUGUAUUCACUAAUAAAUUUUGGCAGGAGUUAUUUAGGAUGGCUGAAACUGAGCUACACUAUAGUUCUUCCUACCAUCCUGAGGCUAAUGGUCAGAGUGAGAGUUUGAAUCAGUGUUUGGAGACUUAUCUGCGACGUAUGACCAGUGAGAGUCUAACUCAGUGGAGUCAUUGGCUCAGUUUAGCAGAACUUUGGUAUAAUACUGCAUAUCACACCAGUUUAGGGGUGUCACCAUUUGAGGCUUUAUAUGGUUACAAGCCCCUGUCACUAUCAAUGGGCCCUACCAUGACACAAUAAUCCUAGCAACUCACAACAUGCUGCAAACAAGAGCUCAAAUGCUUCAAAGAAUCAAAGAGCAUCUGCAUCAAGCUCAGAAUAGGAUGAAGUUGUUUGUUGACAAACAUAGAACUGAAAGGGAGUUUGAGGUGGGGGAUUGGGUCUUCCUGAAGUUGUAGCCUUAUAGGCAGCAGACUGUAGCACUCAGGAAAAAUCUAAAAGUGACUGCAAAAUUUUUUGGACCUUUUCAAAUUAUGGAGAAGAUCAGUGCUGUGGCAUACAAGCUCAGGCUCCCACCUGGAUCUAAAAUACAGGUGGCCAUAAAUAGACUGACAAAGUUUGGCCACUUCAUGCCACUUUCUCACCCAUUUUCAGCUACUCAAGUUGCACAGGUCUUCCUAGAUCAUGUCUACAAACUCCAUGGAUUACCAGAAUCCAGCAUAACAGAUAGAGACAAGAUAUUCACCAGUAAAUUUUGGCAGGAAUUAUUUAGGAUGGCUGAAACUGAGCUACACUAUAGUUCUUCCUACCAUCCUGAGACUGAUGGUCAGAGUGAGAGGUUGAAUCAGUGUUUGGAGACUUAUCUGAGAUGUAUGACCAGUGAGAGUCUAACUCAGUGGAGUCAUUGGCUCAGUUUAGCAGAACUUUGGUAUAAUACUGCAUAUCACACCAGUUUAGGGGUGUCACCAUUUGAGGCUUUAUAUGGUUACAAGCCCCUGUCACUAUCUAUGGGCCCCUACCAUGACACAAUAAUCCCAGCAACUCACAACAUGCUGCAAACAAGAGCUCAAAUGCUUCAGAGAAUCAAAGAGCAUCUGCAUCAAGCUCAGAAUAGGAUGAAGUUGUUUGUUGACAAACAUAGAACUGAAAGGGAGUUUGAGGUGGGGGAUUGGAUCUUCCUAAAAUUACAGCCUUAUAGGCAGCAGACUGUAGCAUUCAGGAAAAAUCUAAAACUGACUGCAAAAUUUUUUGGACCUUUUCAAAUUAUGGAGAAGAUCAGUGCUAUGGCAUACAAGCUCAGGCGCCCACCUGAAUCUAAAAUACGUUCAGUUUUUCACGUUUCCCUUCUUAAGCCUAAGUUGGGACCCCAUCAGGCUACUACUUCUACACUACCAGAGUUUAAUUGCCAAGACCAGUGCCUCCUACAACCUGCUACAGUUUUGAAAAGAAGGGUAAUCAUGCAAAAUGCUACCCCUGUGGUCCAGUAUCUCAUCAAGUGGCAUCAGCUAGGAGAGGAAGAAGCGUUGUGGAAAGAUCAAUCUUUUAUCAGUAGUCAAUUUCCUGAGUUUCAGCCUUGAGGACAAGGCUGCUUUCAAGGGAGGAGUAAUGUCAGGAGCAGGGAUGUAAUUGCAAUUGGAGCAAGAGUUUUAGGGGUGUUAGUGUAAUUAGCUUAUGGAGCCAAAAAACUGUUAAAAGUUAGUUAUAACUGAAUCUGUUAAAAUCAGUUCAUUGCACGGGAAUUCUAUGCCAAUUGGAUUCGGAUCCAUCAUUGAAGUUGUAUAAAUCCAAGACAAUGUAAUGGAUUGGACAACAAGAAAUAUAAUCACAAUUUUUCCUCCCAAAUUCUUAUUUUCUCUCUCUCUCUCUCUCUCACCUCUUCCCUCCCUUUCUAUUCUUUUCUUCUUCAUUCAAAUUUUCCCUGAAUCUGCUGGUCACAUUUCCUUCUCAAUUCUACUUUGGACAGGCCUGACAGACUUGAAAAGCCUUUAUUGGUGGGAGAAUAUGAAGUGAGAAAUUGCUCAAUUUGUUCGAACUUGUCUCACUUGCCAGCAGGUUAAAUCCGAGCAUCAGAAGCCAUCUAGAUUAUUAUAACCGUUGGAGAUACCUGAGUGGAAGUGAAAAAAAUAUCACAAUAAAUUUCAUAUCAAGUCUACCAAGGACUCAGAGAGGGCAUGACGCUAUUUGGGUAACAGUGGAUCGAUUGAUCAAAUCCACUCACUUUUUGUCGAUUAGUAUGAAGUAUUCAUUUGAAAAGUUGGCUAAGUUGUACUUGGACAAAAUUAUAAGAUUGCAUGGAAUACCAGUGAAUAUAGUCUCAGAUCGGGACCCUAGGUUUGUGUCACGAUUUUAGCAAAAGAUGCAAGAGAGUUUAGGUACUAAAUUGAAUUUUAGUACCACUUACCACCCGCAAACCGAUGAACAAUCAGAAAGAAUAAUCCAAAUCCUAGAGGAUAUGUUGAUGUCGUGUAUUGUGGAUUUUGGAGAGAAUUGGAGUCAGUACCUUACGUUGGUGAAAUUUGCUUAUAACAACAGUUUUCAUUCUUCGAUACAAAUGGUUCCUUACGAAACUCUUUAUGGUCAAAAAUGUCGAUAUUCGAUUUAUUGGGACAAAAUUGGAGAGAAAAAGAUUUUGCACCCAACUAUUGUACCUUGGGUUGAGAAAACUUAUGAGAAGGUGAAAUUGAUACGUCAGAAGAUCCGAACGGCUCAAAACUGCCAAAAGAACUAUAUAGAUAAUCGGAGGAAUGAUUUAGAAUUUGAGAUUGGAGGUAAAGUAUUUCUUAAAAUUACACCCUUGAAAGCAAGUCUAACGGCAGGAAAAGGAAAGAACUUACAACCGAAAUUUGUGGGACUCUAUAAGGUUAUUCAACGCAUAAGAAGUGUGGGUUAUAAGUUGGAAUUACCUUUGAAUUUGUCCAGGAUUUAUAAUGUCUUCCAUGUUUCCAUGCUUAAGAAAUAUAUCAUCCCGAUCCUUCCCAUGUGUUACGACCGGAAAAAGUAGAGAUUGAUGAGAAUUUGUCCUAUGAACAAAGGCCGGCAAAAAUUUUAGAUAAAAAACUGAAGGAGUUAAGACGCAAGCAAAUCUCUCUAGUGAAGGUCUUAUGGAGAAAUCAUGGAAUGGAAGAAACGACUUGAGAAGUAGAAGAGGAGAUUCGAAAGAAGUACCCAAGAUUGUUCCUAAAUCAAGAUAUGAAUUUCGAGAACGAAAUUCUUUUAAUGGGGAAGAAUGUGAGGACCCGAAUUUUUAUUUUACUUAUUUUUACUUUAUAUUACUGGCUUAUUUAAUUAUUUAUUUAUCCGUUUACUCUGAAUAAUUUAUUUCAUCCAUUUUAAAUCCAUUUGUGUGAAAAAAUGUCUAAUUUAUAUUUUUAAAACGUUUCAUUAGCGAAUUUAAUUUUUCUGUGGCUCGUUUAGUGAGAAAUAACGAGUGCAUAUUUUUCGAGGCAAAUUCGAUCCGAGAGUACAAUAAUCUUGGAGAAUUAAAGAUGAUUAAUAGUAGACUAAGAAAAGUUAACUGAGAAAUUAGAGGUGAGUGAGUUAAAUUAAACUCAAUUAGGAGUACUGAUUGCUCACUAAUCGAUUGUUGACUUUUGGGUACCAAGAACAUCUUUAUGUCAUUCUUCUUGUCACACCAUCAAGUCACCCAACUACCACCCAAAACCCUUCUUCCUCCUCUCUCCCUUGGCCGACUCCCCCUUCCUCAUUUCCUACCAAAAAUUUCAGCUCUCUUAUCUUCCAUUUUUCUCCAAGAAAACUUUCCAAAUUUGCUUCUUUCCUUGGUUCUUCAUACAAGUUUGGAAGGUGACUUGAACAAGGUAGAAACUUUGGUGAUUCAAGAGCUUAUACUAGUGGUUGUUCUUCAUUCUUGGAAGCAAAGGUAAUCCUCCAAGUUUUCAUUUUUUUCCUCUCAACUAUUAGUAGUAGUUAGUUAUGGUUAGUUAGUUGUUGGGUUGUUGAUGGGUUCAUAAAAACCUUGACAUUAGAUAGAGGAUUUGAGGUGACUUUAUAGGUAGAGGCCUUGAGCAUUUUGUAUGUUUACUUGCUUGUUUGAUGUUUAUUUUGAGAAGAUAUGGCUUAGUUUUAGUUGAAAAGUUGGAAAAGAAAACUAAAAGAUGAAGGAUGCUUGCUGUCCGAAAUUUGGCUUGAUGAAACCCUCAUGUUAAUUUUGAAUUUUAUUGUUGUUUUGGUGCUAUAAUGUUUGUUAUAUGACGGUGUUUAUGUGUGUUAAAUAUCUCCCAAAAAACUUUACAAUUGGUUGACUUAAAGUAGGGUUUAAGUGAGGAAGAAAUCUGAAAAAUUUUCUGACCAGGAGUACCGACCAGUGUUCCCGUAUUGGGUCAUAACUUUUUGUCUGGUAGUUGAAAUCAUGUGCCAUUUGUGGUAUCCAAAACUAGACUCCGAGAGCUUUCUGUCGGUAUAAAGUGCACCUCCUAAUUCGUUUCCUAUGAGCCGUAGUGAACCGGCAAAAUGACUUAAUUUUCUCAUUGUUCUCAUCCGAGAAACCAGCCUACCUGCAGUUUGCAGCUCAAUUUUGCCUAUCUUGCAAAUUGAAUUUUAAGACAGUUUCUUCUAUUGAAUUGUAAUCUUUUGAAUCUAGUUUUCAAUGCCAUAAACCACGCUAAAUUUUGAGUUGUGUAGCUUUAGUUAUGACCAUAUUUUGAAACUCUAUCAAGACUUCAAAACUGGAAAUUUCGUGCAACAGGUUCCAAAAUUCAGUUUUCUUAAAACCAUUGUAUCUUGAUGUAGAAUAGUCUGAAUUAGGUUCUGUUUGUUGCAUUUGAAACUAAUUUGGAAUUUUAUUAGUCGUAUAAAUUUCAAGGGUUAAUUCCAUUUUUAUGAAUUUUUCUGAAUUUCCAAACUUUACUGAAAUUGCAAGCCUGUUUUGCUCUAUCCUAUCUAGAAUAGUGACUUUGAACUAAAAUUUGAAUGAUUUCGGAUUGGAGUCUGAGACAAGUGUCUUCUAGAAAGUUUUAGUUCUUUGAGUCUACUUUCAAACGGUAUAAAGUUUCCAAUUUUUGGACUUCCAGAACUCGAGAUACGAUUUUUCCAAGUAGUGUCGCACCAAACUGGAAAUUUUCUGGUUUCAACAAAAGUACUCUUUUGAGCACUUUUAACCUUCCUUUGAGAUUGUUGGUCGGUUUUAGGACUAAUUUCAUGGUUGGACACAAGGUUCCUUUAGAAAUUUAAAUCUUCGUUUUGAAUGUUGGUUUCAAAGGAUUAAACCUCUCUUAAUGCGUUUUCUUGGUUGUUUAACUUUCUUGGUUGAUGGCACCUCUUUUCAUACUUGAAAAAUGAACUUCAACCCCUAGUUUUAUACCCUCAAUUUCCAUGAGUUUGAACUUUAAAAAGGGAGUGUUUUGACUAGAGUAAUUUUUGGAGAAUUUCACUAGUUUAUACUUGAAUUUUGGAACCUUUAGUUUUGAUAUUUUCUAUGAAAUGAGUGGAGUUUUGGAUGAGUUUUGACUCCAUUAGUUUAGAAAAUAUGAACCCCUUUUACAUUCUAAAGUUUGGACAUGAGACGAGAAGUUUUGAAAGAUGAACACUAUCUACCUUUUUCUCAAUUUUCGUGCCGAAAGUGGAAAUGAUACUUUGUUUUGAAAUUGAGAUUACGUACCACGACUUGAAUAAAAAAUGACCUUGGGCUCUCUUUGAGCAUUAUUUCAACGAUUUAGCAAGAAAAGUUUCUUUUAACUUGACUCGAACUUGUGACCUUGAGAGUGGGUAGCUAGAAAAUGUCUUUCUUAUUAACCUUGGUCGAGCGCCUAGGUAAUCGUGAAUAUGCAUGUCUCAGGUGGUCACUAGAACGCUGAAGAGCUCGUCUGACUUCUCGUUUGCUCUUGUUUGCCUUGACUUUCGGUGAGUAUCAAGUGCAUGUUCAAUACUAAUGUGAUUGAAUUAAUAUUUGUACAAGUGCUAUAUGAUACGUGAACUUGUCGAGAUGAGGGUGUACUUUAUCGCUCUCGUCCUCUCUCUCUUGUACUUGAAUGAUACUUGUUAAAUGAAUGUAUAUGACUUGCACUUGUACUUGAAAUAUUUUAACUUGUAAGCACUGAGUGGCUAGAUGUAUAACACCCUAUUUAGGUGGGAGGUACCGCUCAUCCCGACUCAGUGCCAUGAAUGAUUUUAAGUUGAUUGGAGCGUUGUCUCGUCGACCAAUCAUGCUUGUGGGGAUGCCCCAAUCCAUUGGCUAACCUUGUGACUCGAGCCGACAAGGGCUUGGUCGAGAAAUUUGGUGAACCUUGGGAAAUGAUAUAGCUUGAUCUUCUAAGAUCUCGCUAGGCAUACUCCAAUAGUAUCACUAUUACAUGAAUGUUUGGUUACGGAUCCGAGCAGAUGUUGUUGGAUGGAGGUAGUAAAUGGAGCACUACGGUCAUGUUACUACAUGAGUUGACGGAGAAUCAACCCUAAAUGGCUUGAAUCGGUCGAGACGUGGUAAGAGCUUCUGUAUCCUUCCUUGUGUGUUAUUUUCUACUUGUACACUUAAAUGAAAUGUCAUGUUUAAAAGUUGUUUAAAGCAUGUUAUUUGAUUGAUUGGUGUUACUUGCUUUCCUGUUUAUUUUUCUUGGCCUCACUAAGCGUUCGCUCAUCCCUUUAAGUUUGUUUUCCGUAACAGGCUUUGGAAAUGGAUUGGAGGUUCUAGACUAAUGACUUGGUGGAUGCUAGUAUACCUUUUGUAUGAACUUUUGAUGGCUCUUAAAGUGUAAUUUUGUUAUUGUUGGUUGGUGGAUUGUAAUCAUAACUUUUAGUUUAGAAGUUGUGACUUGUAUAUUCGAAGUACUUCUUAAUUAAGUCGAUAGUUAUUUUGUGGCUCUAUAUUAAGCUUGAAUGAGUGCUUGAGUCCUGACGAGAGUUGGGCAAGUGUCCCGCUGAUACCCUAGGGUUCGCCCUAGGGAGAGGUGGGGGCGUCACAGAAUCGGAGCGAUCCAUUCUACCAGAAUCUUGGAAAUUGCAACUUAUUGAAGAAAGCAACUUAUUGAAGAAAUUGCACAGACUGAUAGGCCGAAACUUAGAGAAAUCUUGGGGAUAUGGAACUUUGGGAAUCAGUACUAUGGAUGUAGAGGUGAGAAACUGAGGCAACUCCACCCCAUAAAAGAAACUCACAACCGCCUUAUGGAUAUCUUGAGCAAUGAUGUCCCAAGCAAAGGUUAAAACUUCCCCAUGAAGUUAUCCGGGCCUGCAGCACUCUCCCCAUCCAUUGCGAACACCACUCGUCUAACUUCCUCUAUGGUCGGCACCUCUUCUAAAACCAAAUUGUCCUUCUCCGUAAUCAAUGUCGGGAUUAAGUUGAGUAACUCAUCCAAGUUUGACGUUGCAUCACUAGAAAACAGAUUUGAAAAGUAUGUAACCACCUCGGUUUCUAUUGCAUCAUCGUCAUCCACCCAAGCUCCAUCGGCCUUCUUUACCCUGUGUAUCAUUCCUUGAACCCUCCUCUGCUUAACCACAGUAUGAAAGUACUUGGAAUUCCGAUCCCCACUACGGAGACAUUUCACUCUAGCCUUCUGAUGCCACUAUUGUACUUCUACCGCUAGAGCCCGUCUAAGCUCUGCUUGGCCCUUUGUAGCUCAAUCUACGCCUCUUCAGAGGCAUCAUUCUCCACACCCUCCUUUGCUCUUAGUAGCCCCACCUCCGCCGCCUUGACUGCAUCAAAGAUAUUUCCAAAGACUUGUUUAUUCCACCCCUGAAUACUCCUCCGAACUGCCAUCAAUUUGGAACAUAAAAUCCGCAAGGGGGAGCCUUGCACUUCCCCAUUCCAAGCCUCUCGAAUAACCCCCAACAAGUCCGGCCUAAUUCAUUAGAACUUCCUAAUUCACUAGUUUAGUAUAGUAUAGUGUAUAAUUAUUCGAUCUUAUAUCAAGCCAAAUAUAGAUGAAAAUCAAAAUGAAGAUGGAGAGUUGAAACUCAUAUGACGAAGGAGACUUCUUUUCUAUCAUUUUAUUUAUUUUAUUUGAACCUAAUGUAUAGUCGUAAUAUAAGUUUGGUUGUUUUUCUUUAUUUUAUGUUUUGUUAGUUUGUAUACCUAGGGAUGGAUGAACUAUCUACACUUGCUAUAUGAAGUUUUCAUGGUUAUUUGAUGUUUAUUUCUUGUGCAAGUUAUUUAACGUUUGCUAUUACAAUCAUGAUUAAUUGACCAUUAUUAUCCAAAAGCGUUGUUUUGUCAAUGAAUAUUUGGAUUGAAUAUUAGUUUAUGGAAGUGUUUAACCUAGAGAAUUAACUCACUAAUGUAGGGUUGCACUUUUGUGGCUUUAACCAAAUAAUUUUAUAGUAUUUAAUGAAUAUAUAUUUAGUUUCAUUAUCACGUUAGUAAGUGUGGAGUAGUUAUAGGUAUGGUUGGUAUAUCUAUGAAAACAAAUAUCACAUAUAUUUGGAAAUUAUGUCAUUAUCAACCAAUGUAAUAACACGCAUUUAACCGAGUUUCACUUGCAAGAAUAGUUAAGAAACUAUAACACUAGGAAUGUCUUUGUUAUUAUUUUUACUACUUUUAUUGCAUACUUAUAGUGCAGAUUUACUUGCUUUGUUUGUGAUCAUCUAACUAAUAGAGAAGUUUGAAUAUCAUUAAUACUUGACAAUCUUCCCUGUGGGAUCGACAUUUAAAUAUUCUCUAUACUUAUGUAUGACCAAUGCACUUACAAUAUUGGAUGUUUGAGUAUAAUUUAAAACUUUGAAGCAAACAAGUUCAAACUUCACACACAUCAAUGGCACUAAAAAUUGUCAUUAAACUAAUUUUAAGUGGCACUUUUUUUCUAUUCUUUUUGGGUCUUUUUAUUAUGGUUUAGACAACAAAUUUUUGAGAUUUUCAUUGCAAAAUUAAUUGCUUUUAAUAGCCGAGGACUUCAUUGUCUAGUGGUUAAGUUUUUUUGUUUUUAAAGUUUCUAGUGGCUAAAGUUGAAACUUUAAGAAUUAGAGGCCUUGGGUUCAAAUCCCUUAUUUUCCUCCCUACUACUUAAAUCUCACAUUUCUCUUGUUAGAAAAUUUUUUAAAAACAAAAUAUUUCAUGUUCUUAAUAACUAGGGAUAAUUUCACAAAUUUACCUUGAGAUUUAUGACAAUUUCACUCAACUACCCUCAUUUUACAAAUUACACUAACCUUACUUGUCACAAUAGAAUAUAUAAUGAACUUUACUUAAUAAAUAAUUCAUCGUAUAAUGAAAUGAAAUAGAGAAAAAAGAAAUCCUACCUCUCCAGCUCUCCUACUUACAAGUCACAACCAACAACGAUAAUUCUCUAACGACAAAUACUUGGGUAGAUCCAAUCUAUAUAGAUCAUAUGGUCCAAAUUUUAUCACGCAAUUUCAUCAACUCAAGAAUUGAAGACGUGGCAAAAUUUGAGCCACAUGGUUUACAAGAUCAGGUCUAUCCAGGUUUUUGCCUUCUCUAACACUUACCAUCUCUCUUUCUCAUCCAUUAGUCCCUUCCUCCCAUAACUAGCUCUCAAAUCCCACAACCAUUGCCUACAACUCCUACCAAUCACACCACAAGUGAUAUCUUCAAAUUCUACUUUAUAUCCCACUUCUCCUAUCUUUCCUUUGGAAUUGCCAAAUUACAAGUUCAAUUGAGGGAUAAGAUUUCAUGGUUAAAAUAAAAUUCAAUUUCAUGGUCAAACUUGAAGAAGAUGAAGAGGCUUAGAAUAAUAGUGGAACAAACAAUGCAAUUUUUGGCCAAAAUAAAUUUGGGAGGCAAAAUUAUUUUAUUUUGAGAUGGUGUGGGCAUUGGGUUGAAGUUUGGUGUGAUAAGUUGUGAAUAGAAUUUCAAUUUUUGGCAAAAUGAAUUUCUUGAAGACCUCUAUAGUCAUAAUGAUGUCUUUCUCUUAAACUUGAUUAAUCCUCAUCCAUGUCUAAAACUCCCGUGAAGAUUUUCUUCGAGGCCAUGAUGAGACUUAGGAGUUGUGCAACUUGUAUGGAACCAGACCGUGGCAUCCUAUGUUGAAAAUUAUGCAAACAUAAGAGUAGUUGAUUAUGAGCUUAACCAUUCCAUGAACCAUAUGGUGAGAAUAUUUUUGAAGGAUGAAAUGAAUCUUCAAGAUCAGAUGUUUGGGAGAAGUAAUUUUAUGACUAUGAUGAUGGAAUUGCUUGGGUUUGGAAUUUGAAAGUAAAGCAUUUGUUAGGCUGGUUUGUUAGUAUCAGUGGCGGAGCCAGAAAAAAUUUUCAGUGGGGGCAAAAAUAACUCUAAAAUUUUCUACCUACUCUUUUUUUAGUCUUUUACGGAAAAAAAUAUUCACCACCAAGUACAAAUAAUGCAUAUAUUUCAUGAAAAAUAUCAAAAGAUAAAUUCAAAACUAUUAAUGUAAUAAUAAUUGCAAACUAACCCAUUUACAAUUGCUCGUGACAAGUUCUCAUAUUUUGAUAACGGUUUACAAUCUUUUUAUUUUGAACUUCACGAAAUAUAUUUUUCUCAAUAUAAGUAACUAAACAAUUAUUUAUCCAAGUGUCUUCCAUUCUAUUUUGUAACCGAUUCUUCACUAUAUUCAUCAUUGAAAAAACCGUUUCUACGGUAGCUAUAAUAACAGGUAAAAUCAAAAACAACUUUAAAAGCAUAUAAACCAAUAGAUACACAAAACUGUAGGGGGUACACUUGAAAUUACAUCAAAUUUUUAUAGGUAUUAUAGAAAUUUAAGAGGGGUAGUGGGGGCCUAUAAACCAAUAGAUACACAAAACUCCAGCGGUACAGUUGAAAUUACAUCAAAUUUUUAUAACUAUAAUAGAAAUUUAAGGGGGCAGUGGGGGCCGUGCCCCCAGUGUAAAUCCGCCACUGGUUAGUAUAAUAGGUUUGGCAGCAAUGUGGACCAAGGUGAUUGACAAAUUUUUUUUGUUUUGUUUUAGUACAAGAAGGGUAGUUUAGGAUUCUUGAGAAAAAAUAUAGCCUUUUGGAACUAUAAUGUUACCUGAAUAUGAAAAGUAAGAGAGGUAAGUGUAAUUUAAUAAACUUGAGGGGAGCUCUCUAUAAUUUGUUAGAAACCUCAAGGGAGGUUUGUAAAAUUAUCCCUAAUAACUAAUCAGGAUAAUAUGAAUUUAAUUAGUUUUAAAAGAAUGUAGUUUACUUAAUUACCUAUACAAUCCUUAUUAUCUUUUGUAUAAAAAGAUUAUUAAGUGAUGUAGUAUUGUAAUACAGGUAAAAUUAUUAAUUUUAAUGGCAGGACAUGGCCAUAUGACACUAAGUCAGCAUUGUAAACUUGUAAGUGCCGCUAAAAGUUACUUUAUUGUGGCACCUAUAUGGUAAAUGCCAUUAUCUUGUAGCACUUGUUAGUUAAAUGUCAUAAGAGUGUUGGUAAAUCAUUUUUUUGGGCACUUUAAACAAAGUGUCAUUAAGCAAUAAGAGCAUAUGCCACCAUAAACUCAUACUGUAGCAUACAUUGAAUAUGUCAUUAAUUUAAUGCCACUAAAUUACUUUUUUUUUCUUACGAAGGCACAAAAGCACAACCAUCCAUCCUAAUUGCAAUGGAUGUUAGAAUGACAAGUAACUCAGCUGCAAAAUAUUACUUUCACAUAUUUUUUUCACAUUGAAAGCCCAUCUCCAUGUCCGUAGAAGCUAUUCUCAACCAUAACAAAACAAUUGCAAGCACGCCACUACAUUCAACCCAUUUAGCAUGAUACUACUACGACCUAAUAACAAGAGAGCGUCCCAACACAUAACGUUUUGCAAUAAAUGUACAUGUUGUCCAUGGGCCUAUAUCGGGACCCGACACUAAAUAGGCAAAUCAACAACAAAUCAAUAGAUUUUUUUUUUUAGGGUAAUCAAUAGAUUUACUUAAGCUGAUUAAGAAUCCAAACUAUCUUUUUUUUGUGCCAAGUAUUGGGCAGCACAAUCCAAUGCAUAUGUGAAAUAAUGAACUACUAUAGUUUUCAAAAUUACCCAUCCAAAAUUACCCCUUCAAAAUAAGAUUGUACCCAAUUGUUAAGGAAGAAAUGGGUACUAAAUCAGGCAAAGGCUUAGAUAGUAUAAGGACAGCUGACUUUUUAACUAAGUGCAAGUGUUCCAUGACUAUCUUGUCACUUUCCUUGAGCUCAAAGUGAAGUUGCAAAUAAUGAAAAGAUGAUUUACUUUCUUUGCACAUUGGACGAGAAUUGAAAUACUAAAAAUAAGAAAAGAAUGCACCAAAAGAUACAUUAAAUUAAGUCUUGUUGAACCCAAAUUUUAGUUUCUAAUAAUAAUCAAUGCGUGCAAGAUUACAGAAUUAAAUGGAUAAAACAAACAUUCAAAAUAUACAUGGAAGAGAAGAAAAUAAUUAACUCACAAUAUUAUUUAAAUCCCAAACAAUAAAGAAAGUCAUCCCACUAUAAAAAAUCUGACAAAUUCUUCUAGACUCUCUCUGUCUCUGUCUCUGUCUCUCUCUCUCUCAAGAAAAUAGUCUAAACUAAUGUCCUAUCUAUAACUUACCAGACUUGUUAGAAAAGAAACCACUUGCAUAAGAAAUUAUCAAACAAAACUCAAAUUGCUAAAUCAAACAACUACUAAAAACCGGACUCCAAUAAAACUAAUAAACAAAUAAAUAAAUACUUCUACACUUAGUUUAGUUUAUUGCCUCGCUUAAACCAAAUUCUCCAUUGAAGCAGGUCCAACACCAUCUCAAGCAACAAUUUCUAUGCAAAUAUCGGUUGUUGUAUAGCUGACAUGCAAUUCCAUCUUGUUGCCGGUUAUUAACUUUAUCUUUACACGUGGGAGUGGACGCACUUUGUUUUUUGCAAGUAAUUUUUCAGUAAUUUCUUUUUGAUCAAAGUACUCAUUCAUACAAAUCCAUUCAUCAAUAAAAUCACCAUACUUACCACCAAUGUAAGUGUCCAAAAAUACAAAAUCAUAGACUGCUCUCUUACCAAAAUUAUCACCAAAAAUUUUAUACUGUCAAUAAGCUCUUUUAGAGCAAAAAUUUUUUGAAUUCCAAUGAAAUCCAUAUCUAUCAAAUCAAAUAUCUUUCCACCAUCUUGAGGAGAGUCCAAAUCAAUGAUUUUUUCAAUAAUAAUUUCUUUGUCUUCAAAUACCAAAUCAGACUUCUCUUCUUCCUUUACCAGAUAAAGGCAUUCUUUUUCUUCAACAAAUUCAUCACUCCUAAUCUCUCUAAACAAGUUAUGCAAAUCAAAACUAUCAACUGAUUCAAAAUUUUCAAUAUCCUCCAUAUCAUCAAUAAAUCUAUCAUUUUCAAAAUUCACAAACCAUGUCCAACAACCAGACUUUGGUUUGAAAGUAUAAUUCUUCUCAAUCGUGUGCAAAACAUAGUAAAUAUCCUUCCAAAAUCUCCAAGGUAUUUUAGUAUGAUGAACAAAAAUUUUUUAAAUACUUUCUUCCAUUGUUUUACGCAUCACUUGAUAAAAUAAUGGUGCUUUCUUCUUGAAAACAUGUUUUGACAACUCACUUACAUCAACCCAACAAAGAAUAUCAUCCAAAUUAUAUUGAUUAAGAUAUUUUUUCACUAUUAAAACUCAACCAAAAUAUGUAUGUCUAUUUGUACUUACGGGAAUCAAUAUGGAAAAUUUUUCUCCGUCAAUCAGAUCUCUAUAAUAUUCCAUUAUUUAACAAUUCAUAUACCUAAAUAAAUUUUUCUCUCCCUUCUGUCAGGUUUUCCUGGUCUCCCUGGUUGAUUGACCAAUCAAAUUCUUCAAUUUGACAAUUCGCAGCAAUCAACAAAUCUGAUAAGAUUUUUUUUUCGAUCUUUGUCUUCACACCUACAAUAAUCUAACAAUUUUCCAACCAAUCUUAUGGUCAAAUUUUUCACCAACUACACACUUCAGGACCAACUUUGCGGUUUAACUUGAUUAACUGAAUUUUUUUUGGUAACUUUUUGGCUAAUUCUCUGAUAGUGGAAACGCAUAGAACUAACCUCAUAGUCUGGCUCUGAUGCCAAUUGUAGAAUACAAAUUUUAGAGUUCUAAUAAUAAUCAAUGCGUGCAGGGUCGCAGAAUUGAAAAGAUAAAACAAACACUCAAAAUAUAUGUGGAAGAGAAGAAAAUAAUUAACUCACAAUAUUAUUGAAACCUCAAACAAUAAUGAAAGUCACCCCACUAUAGAAAAUCUGACAAACUCUUCUAGACUCUCUCUCUCUCUCUCAAGAAAAUUGUCUAAACUAAUGUCCUAUUUAUAACCUACCAGACUUGUUGGAAAAGAAACCACUUGCAUAAGAAAUUAUCAAAUAAAACAUAAAUUCCUAAAUCAAACAGCUACUAAAAACCAGACUCCAAUAAAACUAAUAAACAAAGAAAUAAAUACUUCUAACCUUGGUUUAGUUUGCCAACAAGUCUACUUAAUGUACCUAGUAGUUUUUGCUCCUGCAAUGAUAUCUUCUAAAAUGAAAUGAAAGACAAAAAUCAUUAGCUUCAUUUUUUCGCGAGUCCCUAGCGGCUAGCUAGUUUGAAAAUUGUCACCCUAUAUCUUGCUGGCAAGCAAAUAUGUCUGUUUUGGUCAUGCAAGUUAGCCAAAGUAGAACAGCAAGAACACUACUGUUUACCUUUUUUUUGAAGCUUAGCUAUGGACUGGUUUAUAACGUGUUUAUGAUAUGAUUGAAUACGGACUUGGAUUUUUGUAAGAUAAAAAUGACCAAGUGGAAGGAAAAUGACGAGAAGCAUCCUCUUUUACCUUCCCGGUUCCCAUUCACUUUAGAGCUGUGUCAAGCUAUUGCUCCUAAAUCUAGAGCUCCUCAGGCAAGGGAUCCAAAUCCUACCCAACAUAAUGCCUGUAGAAAAGGCUAGAAUUAUGAAGUUCCUAAUAUAAGAGACAUCAUUCAGUACUUAGUUGAAGGAAAUUAAACCAAACUAUUUUAGUAUUUAGUUUCUAAUUUUUUUGGUGUCUUGUUUGUUAUGAUGGGAUUAAGACACGUGUGCAAGUUUAAUUCCAAAUACACUUGUUUUACUACAAGUAUACAGGCCAACUUAAUAAUUUAAGGUAUAUUCUGGUCGAUCACAUGAGAAGCUAUUAUACAAGUACUAGAUCCUUAACUUACCUUAUUAUUUAGAUUAAUAUCAAAUAAAGAUCAAGAAAAAGCAACUAAACUAUUUAUUACUUUUUAACUAACAAACUUGUAGAAAGAAAUACUUGGAGAAAAGUAACUAAAUAUUAAGUUCUAGGGUAUAGAAUCCACUUAUGGUCCAAAAAUAGAAGUGAACGAAUUUUACCUCUUGUUACUACUCUUGUUUAACUGAAAAUUUAUUUUUAAUAUUGUCAAAACUCAUUCUCAUGAUGUAGUGGUUUAAACUAGUUUAGCCGUUCCUAUUCUCAUGGUAAAAAACUAAAUCUAGUCAUUUAACUUCAUGAAACAGUAAGAAAAUCCACUCAAGUGUACCUCUACUCUCGUGAGCCUACUCCUUAAGUUUCAUUUAUCUUAUUCCAUCAUUAUUAUCAAAUUUCAUUGAGCAACAAUAACUAGAAUCUUGUUAUUGGUGAUCAAGCAAUAAUAAUUAAUAACAUGUAUAAAUGGACAAGUUAAUACAAGAAAUAACAAGAAUAAAUCACACUCAACUCAUAUUAUGGUACCAAAAGUUUCAUCUACUCUGUAGAUCUAAAAGUUUAGCUCAUGAUAAAAAAAUAAGACAAUAGAGCUCAAGAUUCAUUGCAUGAACUCAUAUUGAAUCACAAUUAAAGAUAGAUAAGAAAAGUUUAGCCAAAUAGAUGAUCAAUCUCCCAAGAUCUUCAAUUUCUUCACCAAAAUGAGUUGUACAAUGAAGUAUUUUUUCAAGUUCCUCCUUACAAGACUUUCUCUCCUGAUGAGAGAAAAAGAUACACUAAGUUCUUGUUCUAAGACUACCUAACUCUUUUUUUAUGAUUCUUACAAUAUAAAGAUGUUAAGAGAGUCAAAAGUCUUGUUUGAAGUGACAUAAAGCUUCCUUUACAAUCUUCCAGAAUUUCUUGGGCAGAUACAACCAAAAUUCUAAGCUAACAAUAAGCUGAAAAAAAUAGUAUGAAUGUAGAACAAGUUGCAGAACCGAUUGCAGAAUAUGCACUGUAGAAUGACCUUCUUGAGAAUUCAUGAAAUGCUAAAAGCCAUUGAACCACAAAAGAUCAUAAGUGCAUUCAUGAAUAUGUCCAUUAAAGAUCAAGUUUCAAGUCACCAUAUUUUCUAGAGUUCCCUAAGAAUUCAAGAAAUCAUUCAACCAAGCACAUUUUCAUUCAUUAGGUAAUCUAGACUACUCACAUGAAUAUCAUAAACUCCCAUACGCUAAAUAAAAUGCUACAUUGGCCAUUUAAUAUACAACUUUGUCACCGAGUCAAAUUAAGCAUAAAAUUAGCAAAAUGUCACCAAAUUUAGCAAAUAUUCACAAGCUCAUGAUUUGUUCAUCAUCAAUAAUCAUCAACAACAUGAAUAAGUAUAUUAAAAAUCACCAAACUUCAUAAAGACAAGAAAUUUGAAAUUGCCAAAAAGAUAGGAAAUAUUCACAAAUGGCAAUAAUCAAAAGACAAAGUUUAGUGGAGAUUGUUACCUCUAACAUAUUGAGUAAUGAUUAGAGAUGCAAAUAAUGUGAAAUCUCCCUAAAAAUGCACUCCAAUUAGGCUCCAAUUGAAAGAUAUAAUAAGAUGAAACCCUAGCCUACUUGAAGCUUAAAUGCAAAUUUGGAGGUACUUUUGAAAGAUUUUAAACCAUGAAAAUCACUCUAGAGGAUGUGGGGUGUGAUUUGAUGAAAUUUGUUUGAAGAGUAAAUGGUGAAAAGUGGGAUUUUGGUGAGUAGUGUGUGUUUUGGAUGUGAGUGUGUGUGGAGUUGAGGAAGAAGAAAUGAGAAAAAUGAGAAAGAAGUAAUUAGACCCUUCAUUUUUGAACUAUUUCUGAACCGAUCCGAGGUCAGAUCAUGGUGAACAGACUUGGAUUGAAAAGCUCGGAUUGGUCUUUGAUUGCAGAAGUGGAUCCGAGGUCGGAUCUUUAUAGAUCCGAGCUCGGAUCCUUUGAAUCUACAUUUAUUGUAGAAUUUUCUGCAAUUGUCAGUUUAACCCCAAUUCAAAACACACUCUCCAAUUCGCGCUCUACAACGAAAUUUUCAACAAUUUAACACUUUACGCACAUGAAAUAUCACUUAAACAUGAAUCUCAACACCUCAAAACAAAUAAAAAACAUAUAGAAUACAAACUGAGGAUUGAGGUCCUUGGAUCAAAAAGUCCCCUCGGCAUUUUGAAUGCACAUGAUGGUGCUCAAAUGGUUAAAAGAGUGCAAAUAGGUCAUGAACACAUUUGAACACUUGAAUUCACUUCAACUUCAUACAAAUGACUAACUUAACCUUAUAUUAAGAAAUUAAACAUUGUAGCUUCAAAAAGAAAGGUUAAACUUCCUUUUUUCACAUUGAUCUCCGAUCCUUAUGAACAAUUGCUUUUCAAACUUGCAUCUUCUACAAAACCAAUGAAACAAACAUAAAUAGCAUCUUCCUAAAACAUAAAAUACACACUAAACUAACUAACUUCAUUAAAAUUAUUGGGUUGCCUCCCAACAAGCGCUUCUUUAUAGUCAUUAGUUUGACUAUAUAACCUCAUUUUUUAAAAAAGAUUUUGUCAAUGAAUAAUCCACCAUUAGAGGACGUGGUGGAUCAUCGAAAGGUGGCUUGAUAGCAAAAGCCACAUGUUCUAAUGAUGUAAGAGAUGGAAGAGGCUUGCCUAUCUCAAGUGACUCAUAAAUAGUACCUUGAAUAUGUGUCAUUUGAGUACUCACCAAAGGAACAUCCAUAUAACCUUCUUGGGCAAUUAUGAUUUAGGAACCUUCAGUUGUAACACACUCCUCAAGAGAGGUUAUAUAUGAAUUAUUCAUGCUUGCCUCUUGAGGUUCAAACUUUACUCCAAAGGCAUGAUCAUGUGACAUUGAUAUUUCUUCAUUGAAACACACAUUAGAUGCACCACUUUCAUCAAAAUGCAAUCCAUUUUCACAUACAACAUUCCCACCAUUCAUGUUAGGGUCAUUUUGCAUACAUUAGGAGAAAUAACUUCACACAAAACAUGUAAAAUGAUCUUGUAUUCUACCAAAGUGAGAAGCCAAUUCAUCUAACAUUUCCUCUACCCAAGCAAAAUGAUCGCAGGUUGCAUUAGCUAGUUUUUCCAUAGUUAAAUCAAAUUGAUUAGAAAAUUUUUCUAUGGCUAGCUUCCAAGAUGGUUUAGAAUUAUUAGCUAAUGGUUCACUUUCUAAUUCCCAAGAUAAAGAUGCAUUAGCUAACCUUUCUAUUGCUAAUUCUCAAAAUGGUUUAGAUUCAAAUUGGACAAAUUCGGGUUGGUAAUCAUAAAAAUAUGGUGAAUCAUUAAAUGCACAUUGAUUAUCCCAACAGUAAGCAUAAGAAUUACCCCAACUAGGGUUGCCUUGAUCAAAACAAGAAUCAUAAUGCCCAAAUUCAUCAAAAUAAUCCACAUUUUGUACUUGCCUACAUAUAUUAGUAGCAUGAUAACCUCCACACAAGUCACAAAUUAUAUGAUAAGAAUGGAAAGUAUUAACAUUCCUCUUCUGUUCAAGCAUAUUCAUGAUGGUGUCCAAUUGAACUUUUAACGUUAAAAAAUCAAGUUUAGCCUUUAAACUUCUUAAACCGUCUUCAAAAGACAUACCUUCGGUAAUUUCUUGGUUAUCUCUAUUCAAGGAGCUUUGCAUUUGAUAACAAUCCAUUGCUGAUCUUCCUUCUCUCAAGCAUUGUCUGUCCAUGUGUUCUGCUCUCCUUGACUCCCUAAACAUGUUUUCAAUGUUGCUCAAAAACAAGUUUGGUCAAGAAGAAUAGUUGACUCGACACAUACAAAAAACACACAAACAAAGACUCCAUAAACAUACAAGACAUAACAAACACAAAAUAAAGGGUUAAUCACAUUUUAUCCCCUUAAAGAAUACCACAUUUCUCAAUUUACCCCAUAACCUUUAAUUUUGCUCAUUUAACCCCCUUUAGGACAAAAUUGCCCUUGCAUUAUUUUGACUUUUCAUUUACCUUGUUUUCUUUUUUUUUUAGUUCUUUUUCUCUUUUUUUUUUUUAUUUAAUUCUUCCUCUUUCCCACAAAAAUUUUUACCUUAAUGAUUGAAAUUAAAAAAGAGGAAUUGCAGAGAUCUAUCUUCUCCUUAAAUGAUUAAAAAAAUAUUCAAAUCACUUUCUUAAAAUACAAUUUUUUUAGCCUUUCAAUUUUUUUAAUUUUGGGUUUUCCUCUUUUCUUUCUAGUUUCUCAUUUUAUUCUCAAGAAAAUAUCAUAAGAUGAAAUUGUUUUCCUUUCUUUUAUUUCUUUUCUCUUUCUUCUCUCUUUCAUCCUUUCCAAUAGAAAUUUCAUUUCAACGAAAAUUUUUGUUUUGAGUUUGUAAUUGCAUAUUUCCGAGUGAAGGUUUAAAAGGCAUCAAAAACUAAUUUUGAUUUUUUGUAUGAUGCCACGUGUCACAAAUUUCAAUUGAUGAUUAUUAAUCAGGUCACAAUUUCAUCUUAAGAAAUUUUCUUGGGAAUAAAAUAAGAAACUAAAAAAUAACAAGGAAAAUCCAAAAUUAAAAGAAUUGAAAGAUUAAAAAAAUUGUAUUUUGGGAAAGUGACUUGAAUAUUUUUUUUAAUCAUUAUAGGAGAAGAUAUAUCUCUGCAAUUCUUUUUUUUUAAUUUCAAUCAUUAAGGUGAAGAUUUUUGUGGGAAAGAGGAAGAAUAAAAUAAAGAAGAAAGAGAAAGAGAAAAAGAAAUAAAAGAAAGAAAAAUAAGAUAAAUGAAAAGUUAAAAUAAUGUAAGGGCAAUUUUGUCCUAAAGGGGGUUAAGUGAGUAAAAUUAAAUGUUAGGGGGUAAACUGAAAAAUGGGGUAUUCUUUAAGGGGAUAAAAUGUGAUUAACCUCAAAAUAAAUGACUCAAUAAGACACUAACACUACAAAAGAGACACAACAACACAAAAUAACAAGUAAAAUGUCUAAACUAAUAAAGUUGUUCUUCACACCGAUAUUACCAAAUCUUCCCUGGCAACGGCACCAAAAACUUGGCAAGUACGGGAUAUACAUAUAACAAUUAACUCAUCUACAGUCAAGUUUUGCAUUUACAAAAUUCUAAAUACCUCACACACGAUUUUUUUCAAGUAUACGAGUCGAGAGCGAGUAUAGGGUAUUAAGAAUCGAUCCUAUAAGGAAGAAUGGACAAUUACCAGCACUACUAAAGUUCCUCUAUUAUUUAGACUAUCACAAGUACAAGAAAUUAACUCCACACUAUAAACAUGAGAUAAAAGUAAUAAAAAUAAUAAUAGAAAGCUCCUAGAGGUAUGGAAUUCCUCACUACUCUUGCAAAUGAAAUUACCAGUUAAGUGAAUGGUAUUAUCUCAGCUAGUUAUGGUGUAAUUUCCUAAUAUACGUGAUACCUACUUUUGCCGAUAUAUCAACUAUAUCUAUAGUUAAUUCAUAUCUACUUUGUGGUUAUGAAACUAUUUACAAGCUCAUUUCUUGUAUGAAAUUAUAUGAAACAAGUCACCAAAGUUACAAAGAUGCAUCUCUACUUUCGUGAGUGUACUCCCUAAAUUUAUCACUUCUUUAAACUAGUGUUAAAUCCCAACUUUCAUUACAAGCUUAACACCUUAAGAUUAGCACAAUUAAUGGCCGGUUAAUCAUGAUUAGAGAAGCAAAAAUGAUAAAUAACUUGUUCAAAAUAAUAUCAUCAAAUAACCACGAAAAUAUCACUAACAAGAUAUAGUAUGUUCAUCCAUAACUCUAGGUAUAAGCUUUAUCAAAACAUGAAAACAAAUACCAAACUUGUAUUAUAGUUAAAUAUGAAAUAAAAUACACAAGAGAAAGUGAGAGGAGAGAAGUCACCCUUAUCACAUGAGAACCAUCUUUCCAUCUGUACUCCUCAAUGCUUCAUCCAAAUCUAAUUACAAAUAUAAGAAGGAUAACCUACUCUAACUAUCUUACACUAAUGAAUUAAGAAAAACUAGUGAAAACUACAUUUUUGUGAAGUUUCUCUAGCAUUCCAAAGUUGUAAAAAUGAUCUCUAAGGCUUCUAUUUAUAGAAGAAUCCAAGCUUAAAGUGAGAUGUUAAAGUUGAUGUGAAAUGCUCCUUGAGAUUCCCAAAAGAUGUUUCUACAAGUCUCCAAGCAUUUCCUUUACAGCUGCAGUCGAAAUUCUGAGUUUGGAUUAGCUGGAAAAGCUAUGUGAACGCAGAACAAAUUGAUGUACAAGUUGCAGAUGUGACGCCCCCACUUCUCCUUAGGGCGAACCCUAAGGUAUCCGCGGAACGCCUGCCCAACUCUCGCCGGGACUCACUACAAUCAAUAAUUCAAAAACUAGAAAUAUUUCAGAUAUUUUCAAUACACAUUUAAAGUACUCCAAAACGUUAAUAUUUAAAAUUCGCUAACCUUCAAACUUAAAUACAACCCAAGAGAAUAUGUACUACAGUCGUCUGCUAUAAUACAACUUAAAGUUUCCAAAAAAAAAUAAUUUAGUACUAUUUGCGAGUACUCUCGGUCUUGAACCCUGUUAAGAAAAACAAAAGCGUGGAAUGAGCUAAACAACCCAGUGAGGUUCCAAAAUACACUAGCAAUUCUAAUAAAUCAAGUAAAUUGAGCAUAACGCACAUACGGUUCAAGGUUGCACAUUGGCACAUUAGAAUGAAACAGUUAUCAUUGUACAAAAAUAAACACACAUUGAAAGGAUACGGUGUUCACUUGGAACGAUUUCAAUCCACUUCACCUUAUAACUCCAGUGAUCCCCUCGGUUUGUCUGGCCAUCACCUUAUCCCUCCAGUGGUAAUACUCGAGUAUACCGAAACGGUGGCCCAGGGUUCCAACCUACCCCCGACCGAGUCCAAUCCUGACUCGAGCAGGUUAGUAACCAAGGGUAGGAUCCAGUUCAGCUUAGAGCUUACAACAUGCGCAAGUAAUCAAGUAAAUCGAUAAACGGUAGUAGUUCACGGUUAACGGUAGAAAUUUACGGUUAAACGGUAGAAAUUCAUUAUUUUAGUAGGUCGAGUGUGAUAAAAUACGCACUCGCCUUAAAACGGUGGACAAUUUCAUAGUAGCAAUUAUAGAUAGCACUUAAUACUUAAACACACAAUAACUAUGAAGUAAACAUGUAGCAAAACUGUUCAAGUCAUGUACACCUAUAAGGAACACUUACCAGUUCAAAAUAGGGAGUAAGUGCUCAAACAAGCGUUUAGGCGUCCGCUUCGAGAUUCUCUUGGUCCCCUUGAGCGCCUGAGCAAAUAAUAAUUGACUACCACACACUAUCGCUUAUAAACCCCUUGUCAACCAAGAAGAUUGUACACUUGUACAAUACCAAGAAAAUGUCAUGAAAGAGAGCUUUAAUUACUCAAAAAUCGAGACUCAAGAGUGGGGUUUAAUAACACAAGAAAAACUGAUUUUCUCCAUGAAAUCAAGUUUAAAACGGUCAAUCAAUAUUAAAAGGAUAGGGAAGAGUUUCCAAAAACUCAUUUCCCAUUGAGUCGAGAAAUUUCAGUUUUGCACGUCAAAUUUAGAAAAAUCAGAACUUGCACUCAAUAGGUCCAAAAUUGGAAAAAUUUAUACCUUGGAAUCUUGGUUCGGAGUACUAAAAGUUUCUAAAAGACACUUUUUCAAGAUUCUAAAUGGAAGACAUUCAAAUUUGAGCUCAAAGUAGCUGAUCUGAACAAGCAAGACAGUUUUGGUCAUGUUUUUCGGUAAAUUUUGGAAAUUCGGCAAAAUUCACAGAAAGUGAACUAGCCUCUGAAAUUUGUAACACAAUAAGAAUUUCAAUCAAGGUUUCAAACACAACAAACGGAACUAAAUUCGAAAUUUCGAGUAUCGAGAUACAUCAGUUCAAAGUUGGUUGCGUUUUGCAAACUAUUCAGUCAUUUUCCAGAUUUGAAAAGCUAUCUUUGAAGUAUCAUUUAGCCAUCAAAAUGGCAUUGAAAAUACACCAAAUUUGGUACACUAAACUUUCCAUAUGUGAAAUACAUUUCUACCAAAUUUCAUGUGAAAAAUCACGUGGGAAGGCAGUUAACAAAAUAAUCAAAGUUCGGAAAAUUUCCAAAGCAAAUCUUCCAUCUCACCAUUUUCUUUCUUUCCAAAAGCUUAGUACUAUGAAAUCAGUCCCAAGUCAUCCCAUUUUGAAACCAUGAGUCCAAAACACUUAAUAAGUAGUUUAGAGGUAAUUAACAUCAAGAUUUUUGAAAUAUAACUUUCCAAAUCAGAUUUGACCAUUCGGCCAAGAAGAAAGGAAAAGUUUCUGGUUUUCCAGCCUUGUCACAGUUUGAAAAUUAAACCAUAUCUCACUCAAUUCAAUUUUAAAUUGAGAAUGGUUAGUGGCGUUGAAAACUAGGUUCAAAAUUCCACAUUUCAUCAGAAGAAAAUGUUUCCAAAAUCAGUUCCCAAGUAGUUUGAAUUCAAGCCACAAGUUGCAGCUUCUCAUCUCCAUUCGAACGGAACAAGCAGACAGAACAUAACAGAACAGCCAAUUUUAUCAAUUCACUGCAGUUCACUCAGAUCAAACUAGCAAGUAUUUUUUUACCGUUAGAAAGCUACAGAUGUCUAGUUUCAAAUGCCACAAAUGGCACUCGAUUUUGACUUUUGUACAAAGAGUUAUGUUCGAUCAAAGGGGUACUGUUCAGACUGCCUGAACACAUUUUCCAGUUUUCUUCAAAUUUCGAAACUUCAAAUUUUGCUCAACCAAUUCAAAUGAUUUUUGGUAGAAACUUUCUACACAUUAUAUACAACAUAUAUCAACCAAUUUCACAGCCAACAAACAUCAAAAAUUUCGAAUAUGAAAUAGAACAACAUGUCCAGAAAUUCGGCUAGCUCUCUCUUCUCUCACGGUGCCUCUCUUUCUUUUUCCUCUUCUAAUUUCUUCCAUCAAAACUCAUCACAAACACACUAACACACACAUAAACAUCAUGGCAGCCCUUAUUUAACCAAGGUGAGAGUUCAUAGAGCUCACUUCAACCAUCCAAAUCCAAGCAACAACAACAAGAAGGAAGCUACAAGCUUCAAAACCAAGAAAUGAAACAAGAAAGUAAAAGCUUUGUUGGAGGUGUUUAUACCUUCAAACUCAAGAUGAAACUCUAUAUUUUUGUUGUGAGAAACUCCUUAAAACAGCCCUAACCAGCUGCCCCUCUCUUCCCUUCAAGCUAGAGCAAGAACCCAAGGAGUCUGAUGGUUGGAUGAUGUUUUGCAAGCAAGGAGUUCUUUUCUUCCCUUUCUUGUCUUGAGGCUGGCCGAAAUUUGGAGUGAGAGAUAAGGGAGUUUGGUGGUUUGACUCUUGUAAAACUUGGGGAGAAAGAAUGGAAUAGUAGCUUUAGAUUGUGUGCAAAAAGUCAACUUUUACUAGUGUCGCGCGCGGGUUUUGUACUACCGUUUUCUCUCGGGUUUGAUACACUUCUGUACUAAUCCUCUAAGGUACUUCCUUUAAUAUGAUAAUUAUUCACUCUUAGUAGUCUAGUAUUAAUUCCUCAAAUCUCCAAUUUGUCAUACCGGAGUGACUUUUGGAAAAUUAUCGACGCACGCGCAGUAAAAGUUUACUUUAAACUCACUCAUAUCUAAUCCCUCAAUUAACUUUUCUUAGUCUAGUAUUGAUCAUUCUUAAUUCUCUAAGACAAAUGUACUCUCGAAUCGAAUAUAGUCUCGAAAAACGUGUACUCAUUAUUUCUUGCUAAACGAGCCGUAGGAAAAAUUAAAUUUGCUAACUAAACGUUUUAGAAUUAUAAAAGGGACAUUUUUGCAUACAAAUGGACUUAAAACGGAUGAAAUAAAUUAUCUGGAGUAAACGGGCGAAUAAAUAAUUAAAUAAACCAGUAAAAUAAAAUAAAAAUAAGAAAAAUUUUGGGUCUUCACAGCAGAGCCACAAUUUGGGAUCCGAGGGCAAGACUCGAGUCGGAUCGUUUCAAAAUACCCCUUAGAUCUCAUAUUUCUCUUUUGUUUAUUUUCACUACACAACAGGAAUCGAGGCCUAUAGCUGGAAGAUUCGAGCUCGAAUCCUACUCUUGGAUAAUGCCUCUGGGUACAAAAGUUUAUCCAAGGUUAGAUCUAAGGGUUUCAGUUUAGAUAUGAACUCAAAUCUGCUUCCUCUAGUUUUGCACCAACUUCAACUGAUAUUUACUCGAUAAUAUAGGCUGAACUAACUCUUGUACAAAACACCAAAAUUGUAGCCCUUUGAGUUAACUUUCCAAUGUCUCAAGAAUCAUCCAAUUUAGGGCUUUGUAGACUCAGAAAUUACCAAAAUACCCUCAACUAAUCAGAACUCUAUUUCAUCUUUCGACAAUGAAAAUGCACUUCUGUAUUUUGACCUUUUAACAAUGGAAAAGACUAAGAUGUUUUCACAAGAAAUGUAUAGCUAUGUGUUAGCUUCAAGAUGGUUCAAGAAUCAUCUCAAUCCGAUACCUUUAGCUCAAGUUAUACCCAAAAUACCAACAGGUGUAAAAGCUGUGAAAUUCCCUUGAUUGCAUUUCAUCUCUUGCACUUGAUAUUAUCUUAUAAACCACUUCAAAUCAUCAUCAAUCAUCCAAUUAUCUUCUCAACUCACUCCAUUUGAUGAUUGAAUCAUUAAACUUACAAAAACAUGAAGUUUUCAACAUUAAAAUCCAUAGAAAUGCAAUUUCUAUCACUUUAACCAUAAAAUGUAUAUUUUCACUCGAAACUUGGUUCAUUAGCUAGAAACAUGAAUAAAUACAGCAAAACUAAAUAAUAAAACAUGUUUAAAACACUUAAAAUAUGAACUUAUUAGUAAUAUAUUUUCUAACUUUAAAUCUCAAUUUAGCGAUAUGUAUUGAGCGCUAUUUCAAUUUUCUAUGAUAUGAAAAAUUAAGUUCAAUAUUUAAUAUGAAUUUUUAGAGUAAGUUAAAAAAGCUGGUGAGCUGCUGCCUUAAAUCAUCAAUGACAUUAAAUUUAUUAUUUUGUAAAAUGAUAACUAAAUGUUCACUUCUAAAUUUUCUUCUAAGGUUAUUGUGGAAUUUAGAGAAAUUAAUUAUGCGUCAAAAAAAAUUCUUUUGAACAAAAAAAAAUUUAUUUUCUUUCUCUAAGAAAAGAAAAUCUAAGUGGGAAAAAUUUACCCCAUGAGAUCUUUAGAUGUACAAUUAUGACCCUUAGGUUAAACAUUUAUUGAGUUGUGAAGCCUCACCUCACAACUCAAUAAAUGUUUAUGAGCAUGUGCUUGCUUUCAAAUGUAAUUUAAUUGUAAGGGGGCCAGUUGCAUUAUCACUCAAUAGUUCGUACCAACAACUUUUUUUUUUAUUUUUAUCUCUGUACUCUCCUUAGCUCCCUUAACAACUAGGGGUGGGCGCGGGUCGGGUACCCGCCCCAUUCACCAUUUGGUUGACCCGACCUGCACCUUGCGGGUCAGCCAUUUUUUGACCCUUACCCGCACUGCAUAUCAGUGGGUAUCCGAUUAUAGGGUACCCGCUGAGAUAGGAUCGGGUCAGCGGGUAUCCGUCCCGCCCCAUUUAUCAUUUAAUUUUUUUAAAAAAAUAAUUAAAAAAUAAUUUAUGCCAAUUUAAUUUUAUAUUUUACACAUUCAUCUAAGAUUUAAUAAUUUUUUUUUCUAAAAAAAGGUUUCGCACAAAGAAACAAGCAUGUGAAGAGAAUAUAAGAUAAAAGAAUUCAAAAUCAAUAAAAGUUUGAAAUAAGUAGCACAAUUUUUAAUAUAUGUUCCAUAUUAAUUAAACUUUUUUCUAUAAAAUAUAAGAUAAUGACACCUACAAAUGAAUCUUAUAAAUAAACUAUAGUAUCUCAUAUUUGUAAUACAAUUUGUUCAAUAAAAUUACUUAUUUAGUUCUAAAUUAUUAUUUUAUAGUGUGUGUAUAAAAAUAAAAAUAAAAAAUAUAUAUGCAGGGCGGAUGGGGUACUCGCGGGUUUUUAAUUAUGUGAUCCUAACCCGCCCCGCAUCUUAGUGAGUACCCAACCCUCUUUUGACCCGAUCAAAUAAUAAAAAUCGGAUAUCUUCAUUUUCGGAUCGGAUCGGAUCAGAAAUGACGGGUUUUCGGCUUAGCGGAUAAUUUUGCCCACCCCUAUUAUCAACUCCAAAUCCUGCCUCCUACCUAGGGGUGGCAAUCGGGUCGAGUUUGGGUUGACAGGUCGUGUUAAAACUCGGGUAUAACAGAAAAUCUGUUGAUCUGAAUCUGACUCAUCAACCCGAAACGGGUCAGGAUACCUGACAUGAACCCGAAAAGUUUGGGUUAGCGGGUUGACGGGUCGACCCGAAAUGACCCGAAACUUAAUUUUAAUUUUUUAAUUUAUCACUGUAAUUUUUAAUAAAAUCAAUUUCUCACAAAAUUAAUUACAUAACCAAGUAAUAAAAAUUUAAAUAAAUAAUUCCAAACCAAAUCUGAAAUAAAUUAAACACCGUAAAAGUGUUUUAUCCCAAACCAAAUAUAAAAUAAAUUAAAAUAGUAUAAAAGUAACUUCUGACUCGAAGUGCCUAGUCAAGGCGACUUCCAACUCAUCCCUGUCUUCAAUUUCAAAAACUUCUUGUACAGCAGGGUCAAUAACAUUUAUAGAGAAAACAGAGCCAACAUGUGAUUCUGAAAGAUAUUUCAUGGUUUCAAAGAUAUUAAAAUGCACAAUCUGCCCAUCAAAUUUCAUAGACAAAGUACCCUUAUUAACAUAAAUUUUGGUUCGAGUUGUGCUCAAAAAGGUUCUACCUAACAAUAAAGGUGAUGGGUCGUGGGAGUGUUCAUCAUCCAUGUCAAGCACAUAAAAAUCAGCGGGGAAUACUAAUUCAUUAAUUUUAACCAAAACGUCUUCAAUCAACCCGUCAGGGUAUGCAUUGGUUCGGUCAGUCAGUUGGAUUAUUAUUCCAAUUUCUUUCAAAGGACCUAAGUUCAAAGAAGCAUAUAUGGACUUUGCCAUGACAUUAAUUGAUACUCCUACAUCUAACAUAACCUUUUCAAUCAAGGUAUUACCGAUCCUACAAGGAAUAGUGAACAUAUGUGGGUCCCCACAUUUCGGUGGAAGUUUUCGUUGCAGCAUUGCUGACACAUUAUCCCCUACUACAACUCGCUCAUCUCCUUUCAACUACCUUCGAUUGACACACAAGUCCCUCAAAAACUUCGCAUAUCUAGGCACUUGUUUAAUCGCAUCCAGUAGGGGCAUAUUAAUCUCUACCGUGCGAAAGAUCUCCAAGACCUCUUUCUCCUUGUCCUGUUUCUUUGGUUUUUCUAGCAUGCUAGGAAAGGAAGGUGGAUUAGUUUUAACUCUAGUAAUCAGAUCCGGAAGUACCAUUUUAUCUUUGUUGUCUCUGCCCUCCUCUUCCAACUCUUUCUCGAUUCGUUCCUCGUCCUUGUCCUUAGGAAUCACCGGUUCGGGUUCUUGGACUUUCUUUCCAUUUCUCAAGGUCAUUGCACUCACAUUCUUCAGGUUCAACUCAAGUUGAGGUGGCAGCUUCCCUUGAACCUGGGGCUCCAAAUGGUUGAUUGCGAUGGCCAUUUGAUUUACCUGAGUUUGCAAUGAUUGUACUUGUCCUAGUUGAUUUCUCAUGCUUUGCAAGUCCGAAUCUGUCUUUUGUUGGUUGGCAAGUAAUUGCUUCAUCAUGUCUUCCAUGGACGGACUUGAGUUCGAAGGGGGUGGUGGCGGGCGAGGUUGAUACUGCUAUUAAUGCCCUUGCUGUCCAUUUGGCAUGAAAUUAGACGGCUUAUUCCCUCCGUAGCUCAGGUUGAGGUGGUCCCUCCAACCAGGAUUGUAUGUACUUGAGUACGGGUCGUACUGUCUUCUUGGCGUGAGUGUGUGGCCAGCCAUGUUCACCUGUUCUGCAGUCUCCUCCUGAACCAGUGGGCACAUUUCUAUAGAAUGUCCCGGGAUAGUGCAUACCCCACAUACUCUAACUUGUGAGGCACUUCAUACGGCUAGUUGUCAAACGAAAGACGUCAAUUCUGAGAGUUGUUGUUGGAUGGAGGAGGUCUCUACCUCAUUCACCUUACGCGUCGGAACAUCCUCUCUCGAACUGAACUGCUGUGAAUUCUCAGCCAUCCCCUCAAUCAGCUCCCAAGCUGUCCGAGGGGUUUUGUUCACCAACGCCCCUCCACUUGCAGCAUCAAUUAUACUCCUGUCCCUAAAGAGUAGCCCCUCAUAGAAAUAUUGGAUGAGCAGUUGUUCAUUUAUUUGAUGCUGAGGGCAUUUGGUGCACAAUUUCUUAAACCGUUCCCAGUACUCAUACAGAGAUUCGCCUGGGUGUAGUUUAAUGCCGUAUAUCUCCUUUCUUAGGCUUGCAACUCGAGAUGCAUGAAAGUACUUAUUCAGAAAUUUUUUCUUCAGUUGGUCCCACGUGAUGAUACUACCUGUCGCGCCCCACUUUUUGAAUGAGUUGAAUGUGAGUGAUGUGUGUGUGAAGUGUGGUGUGAACGUGUGCAAAAUGAAAAGUAAAAAGGCCAUGGGACUUUGGAAAGCGACGAUUUGGCCAAAGAAAUUUUUAAAAAAGGGUUUUUUAAAUAUGAAAACGGAGUCGCCACUUGGUAUAGAUUUGGGGUGUACCAAGUCACCCAAAAAGUGUUUUUUAAAGACAAAGUAGUAAAACCCUUUUUAAAACGACUCCUAAUCCACGUAAGCCAAAGAAAAAGGUUCGGGGGUCACGUUUGACAAAGGGGAAGGCAAGGAUAGAAUCCAAGGCACCCCUUUGACCUAGCCAAGGCUAGUUGCGCGACUCAAACCAAUUUUUCCUAAUUUUUCUACCCAAGGUAUGUAUCGCGUAUUGGAUAUGUCUAUAUGAAUGCAAAAACCUAGACCUAGGGGGAUUGGGGGAAAUUUCUCUUCAAAAGUUGAGUGGUGCCAAUCACAUUAAUUGUGAAGCCCAAUAAUGAUCCUUUUGGAGAGGUCACACCUAAACCUAAAUGACGUGAAAAAUGAGUGGAAUGCAUGCCAUGUGAAAGUGUGAGUUUGUGUGAAGUGAGAAAAAUGAUAAAAGUAAUAAGAUAAGAGUGAAGGUGUGCAAAUGUAGAUGAAAGUACUCGUGUGCGAGCGAAGAUAAAAUGCUCGUGUGCAAGUGAAGAUAAAAGGGUUCAUGUGCAAGUGGAGACAAAAAAGUGUUCGUGUGCAAGCGAAGGUGAUAAAAAGGUGCAUGUGUGCAAAUGAGACAAAAGUGAAAGUGUAAUGAUAGAGUGGAUUGAGAAUGCAUGAGCCUAGGGAAUUCAUGCAUAUUGGGUACGGGGAGACCUAAAUCGUGACUUGAUUUUCCCUUUGAUUAGAAGGCGAAACUAGCGUGCUAAGGCUAUCGAGUAGCCACACUCGCUCGUUUCCCUUAUCGGAAGGGGACACUCAAGCAAAAUGAACCCUAUAACUAUCAUGAUAUGCAAAAAUCCUAAAAUGAAGGGAAAGGGGGUUCGAGGAGCAUGCCAAGUGAUAAAACUAAGAGAAAUGCAUGAUAUGUGGUGAACAAGCAAAUGAUAUGCUAAUGAGGGGAAAUCCCUAAGGGUCUAGCGUUGGACUAGCCCAUUCUAUGAAUUCCGACUAGCGUUGGACUAACGGAAACGUACAUUCAUCCAUUCCAUUCAUUCAUGGCUAUGAAAGCAAGUAGACAUGCCAAAAUACUCGUAAACACAUAGCACAUAGCAUUUAGCAUGCUCGACUAGAUGCAAGAGCCUAAUAAAGCAAUUAAACAUGUAGCAACAAAAACAAGCAAGGGGAAGGGGAAGUGGACCAGAUGCUCUCCGAGCCCUAUCUAUUACAAGCCAAGAGGUGUACACAUACCCCAUAAAAGCAUAAAGGGGAAGGGGAAAUGGACCAGAUGCUCUCCGAGCCCUAUCUAUUACAAGCCAAGAGGUGUACACAUACCCCAUAAAACUUAAAUAAAAGUAAAAGCAAGUAAAUGCAUGCAAGGAGGUAAGGAAAGCGGAGUAGGCAUGUAUAUUCACGUAACACGUAGGAGCACGUAGGGUCAAAUGAAGUGCAAAUGAAGGAUAGAGUGUACCUCCCUUGAAGCGACGCCCUAACGUAGUGAAAUUACUAAUUUACCCUCCAAAAUAAUGAAAAGGGUCAAAGUACCACUUUAUUUAAGAAAAAUCAUAUGUAACAGAAAUUAAACACAAAAAUGGAAAUUAAGCAUGAAAUGAGCAUUAAACAUGGAAUAAAUCAUGCAAGUGUAGGCAAACUCGGUCCCAGAUAAAAGGUUCCAAAAUCCUAAGAUGAAGUUUUAAAUUGAAUGGAUUAAGGUGGACAAAACUUGGCUUGGGCUAAAUCCAUCAAAACACAAGAUUAAUGCACUCAUUUAAAAGCAAAAUAUGAACAAGACAAUUUGAAUUCACUAACUCCUUCAAAAAUCAAGACACCACAAGUAGCUAUGGAAUUUAACCAUUAAAGCCCUUCAAAUAACCAAAACAAGUCCAUAUUCAUCAAAUGAGAUUCCAAUUUGAAAAGGAAAGAAAAUUCGAAGGAUCAAAUUGAUUGAUCUUUUCAGAUGCUUGGGCCAUGGUAGAAUAAAGGGAAACUUGGGGGGGGUUAAAAUGCAAUUUUUGAAAGUCAUUUACAUGCAAUGUUCAUGCAAUCCACGUAGAAGGCUUCUACGGUUCCAAUUCCCAUACAACACAAUUUCUGCAGCUUUAACUUUCAACCAUGCAAUUCAUUUGCACAAACAAAAGAAGAAUAUGGCAUUUUAACCAGAAAAAUCAUCUCGGCAAACCGUCAUAAUGAAGCAAGAAUUGAAAAAGUUCAAGUUACGCCAGAAAAUUCAGCAACUAAAGAAAGGAAGAGCUGCUACAACAAGCCAUGAGUUCAGGCUUAUUGCAGCAGAUUUUUAUGCCCAAAUCCCAACCGCGUGCAAUCUAAAACCAAACAAAAGGAUCAUCGAACACGUUGCUCUUUGAGCUUGCAUCGGCCAAAACAGAUUCCAUAAAACAACUUUGAGAUUGCUCCCAUUAAAACAUGGUUAAACAUCACUUAACAAAUCAAAUAGCUGGAAGAAAUCCAUGCAAAGUUGACAUGCGAAUACUACAAAGAAACAAACGGCAACCUGAAGCUAUUGUUCUACAGCAAGAACAUUUAUUAGUGAAGCUUUCUGCAAUCCAAACAAUACCGCAGCAGCUAUCAAUCUCAACAAAUUUCUGAUAAAACUUUUCAAACCAAACACUCAAAAUUUAAUCUAAGCAACCUGACACAGCAUGUCAACAUCCAAACAAACCAAAAACAUAGAAAGAAAAUCACACAAGUGCUUAGAGAAAAGUCCAGCAAGCAUUCGGCAAUUGGAGUUGCUCAUUUUCCAGCAAAGCUGUGAUCAUGGCUCAAGUGCUUAAGACCCAAAUAUGCAAACCCAAACACCACUCAUUCUAUUUUCUUUCAAGGCAUCAGGUCAAGAAACAAACCAGGUAAUGAACUCAAAUGAUAGACAUGACAUUCAGAUCAGAUUUUCACAAUCAUCAACUUAACUCAAAUGCGUGAACUUGGGGACAGGGAGAUCAACCACGGUGCAACCAUGACAUCAAGAUCUAACUGCUAACCAUGUCUAAUGCUCUUUUAAUAAAUCUUUUGGCCAUUAAAGCACAGAUCUUUGAAUCGAAAGGGAUCAGGAAAGAGAAACUAACGGAUAAAAUAUGCAUUAACCAAGAAAACUCAUGCGAUGGUUCACCGAACCUUCAUAAAAAAAUUGAGUUGGCUGGAUCAAGAUGUACUCGUUACCUGCACAUUGUUAGAGAUCGAACCGGCUUGAGGAGAAACGAGAGCUUACAUCUGAAGCAAAUGGACACGGAGUAGGAGAUUGUCCGCAACUUCAUAAGCUUGAUGAAGUGAACAGGUGAGGUCUCGUCCAAAGCUUCUUCCCAGAUUUCAGCAUUUAGUUUUGCUCUCCCGAAGUUUCCUUCUCCCAAUCUCCCUCUUGAUCUCGGUUUUGCUAGGUUUUCUUGUUUUUUUCCUUUUAGUUUUUCCGUUUUCCAACCCCCUCUUCUCUGCUCGCAACCCAGAAAUUUUCCCUUACCGCCCUCUUGUUUCCUUGCUUAACUCCGUCAAACCCCUCUCCCUCAGUCCUCUCUGGUUUUCUCUCUCCUUCUCUGUUUUCUUAGCCGAGCUUCCUCUCACUCCCUCUUGCUCUCCUUUCUCUCCCCAAAGCCCGCAGCCUUUCUUUCUUUUUCCUUUGCUGUUUUUCUUUUCCCUAACCGAGCUCUCCCUCGUAUCUUCUUUCCGAUCCUAUCCUCCCUCUCUUCUCCAAAAAUCUCCCCCCUGCGGCUGGCUUUCUCCUUUGCUUUUUAUACCAGAAACCUCACAACCCUAAACACUCCCAGCCAUCUUCUGUAUUUGCAGCCCAAGGAGCCGUCCCAAACUUUCCUUGCAAGCUGCUACAAAUGCAGCUUGCCGCGGCUAUCCUUUUUUUUUUUUUCAACUUAAUAAAUACAUAAUAUAAAUAAUAAUAAUAAUAAUAACAAAAUGACCAAAACCAUGUAAUAAUAAUAAGAAUGAAAACAAAUAAAUAAAAAAACAAACUAAAUAAAUAAAAACAACAAAAAUGUCCAUUUUUUCAAAUUUUCUUCAUUUUUCCUUUUUUCUCUUUUUUUUUUUCCAAAAUAACUUAAUAAAAAUAACUAAAGUGCAAAAAGGUUGAAUUUAAAGAAAUAAACAUAUUUUUGUGAACAAAUUUCCCUUUUUCUCUUUUUUUUUUUUUUUUAUGAUUUUUCCAAGAAAACUAAAAACCUAUUUUUUGAAUGCUUUUUUUUCCUUUUUCUUGUUUAACAAAUUCUAUGAUAAAACUUAAAAAUAAAAAUAAAACUGGAAACUAAAAACUAAAAAUGAACACAACAAAUAAAAAACUAAAAAUGGAAUUUCACCAAAAAUUUGGUGUCUAUAGUUUGCCCCUCUUUGUCUGAGUUUUGGAAAAACUUGAGACAAAGAAGUAGACACCAAAACUUACCUAUGUUAUUCAGCUGCGAAUGACUCAAACGAUGGGGACUGACCCCUGACGGGAAAUUUUAAAAGCGGGACUGACCCGAGAUAGAAAUUUAAAUUUGGGAUAGACCCACGGGAUAGACCCGGACAGAAAUUUAAAAUUGGGAUAGACCCACGGGAUAGACCCGGACAGAAAUUUAAAAUUGGGAUAGACCCGGACAGAAAUUUAAAAUUGGGAUAGACCCACGGGAUAGACCCGAACAGAAAUUUAAAUUGGACGGGAUAGACCCGAACAGAAAUUUAAAUUGGGAUAGACCCAGACAGAAAUUUAAAUUUGGGAUAGACCCAGACAGAAAUUUAAACUUGGGAUAGACCAACGGGAUAGACCCGGACAGAAAUUUAAAAUUGGGAUAGACCCACGGGAUAGACCCGGACAGAAAUUUAAAUUGGGUUGGGAUAGACCCACGGGAUAGACCCGAACAGAAAUUUAAAUUGGGAUAGACCCAGACAGAAAUUUAAAUUUGGGAUAGACCCAGACAGAAAUUUAAACUUGGGAUAGACCCACGGGAUAGACCCGGACAAAAAUUUAAAAUUGGGAUAGACCCACGGGAUAGACCCGGACAGAAAUUUAAAAUUGGGAUAGACCCAUGUUUAACGGCAAUAAGAAUGAAACGCGCGCUAGUGGGACUGACCCACGGCUAGCGACAAUGAAAGUAAAAUGCUGGUGUGUAUGAAGAGGCUGUGUAAGACUUGCUCGGUGGUAGGAUAGGGACGCACACGUUAGUGAGAUAAACUCGAUGCUAACGGUGGUUGAACAAAAUGCACACGUUAGUGAGAUAAACUCGAUGCUAACGGUGGUAGAAAUGAAACACGCACGUUAGUGAGAUAGACUCGAUGCUAACGGCGGUAGAGAUGAAAACACGCACGUUAGUGAGAUAGACUCGAUGCUAACGGCGGUAGAACGAAAACACGCACAUUAGUGAGAUAGACUCGAUGCUAACGGCGGUAGAAAUGAAACACGCACGUUAGUGAGAUAGACUCGAUGCUAACGGCAGUAGAAAUGAAACACGCACGUUAGUGAGAUAGACUCGAUGCUAACGGCGGUAGAACGAAAACGCGCACAUUAGUGAGGUAGACUCAAUGCUAACGGCGGUGAAAACAAAAUGCACACUAGUGGGACUAACCCAUGUUUAGUGGCAAAAUACAAGAAAUGCACGUUAGUGGGACUGACCCAUGUUUAACGGCAAUGAGAAUGAAACGCGCGCUAGUGGGACUGACCCAUGUUUAGCGGCGAAGAAAACAGAAUGCACACUAGUGGGACUAACCCAUGUUUAGUGGCAAUGGAAAAUAAAAUGCACGUUAGUGGGACUGACCCAAACAGGAAUGUAAAAUUGGGAUUGACUAGAGAAGGAAAUUCAAAUCAUGGGACUGGCCCGACCAAGCUUUAAUCACAGGACCGACCCGAAUAAGCUUUGAAUAGCGGGACUGAGCCGAACAGGCUUUGAAUUGUGGGACUGACCCGAAUAAGUUUUGAAUCGUGGGACUGACCCGAAAAUGCUUGUGAUCGUGGGACUGACCCGAAAAUGCUGUUGAUCGUGGGACUGACCCGAAUAAGAUUUUAAUCGCGGGACUGACCCGAACAGGCUUUGAAUCGCGGGACUGACCCGAAUAAGUUUUGAUCAUGGGACUGACCCGAAAAUGCUUUUGAUCGUGGGACUGACCCGAAAAUGCUUUUGAUCGUGGGACUGACCCGAAUCUUUUGAUCGUGGGACUGACCCGAAAAUGCUUUUGAUCAUGGGACUGACCCGAAAAUGCUUUUGAUCGUGGGACUGACCCGAAAAUGCUUUUGAUCGUGGGACUGACCCGAAAAUGCUUUUGAUCGUGGGACUGACCCGAAAAUGCUUUUGAUCGUGGGACUGACCCGAAAAUGCUUUUGAUCAUGGGACUGACCCGGAAAUGCUUUUGAUCAUGGGACUGACCCGGAAAUGCUUUAAAAUUGGGAUAGACCCACGGGAUCUUUGGAAUGUUGGCGGCACAAAAUCCAGGCCCAACGUGAUAUUUGGAAUGUUGGCGGCACGAAAUCCAGGCCCAACGUGAUUUUGUGAAGUUGGCGGCACAAAGUCCAGGCCCAACGUGAUUUUUGAAAUGUUGGCGGCACGAAAUCCAAGCCCAACGCGAUCUUUAGAAUGGUCAGUGGGAUAAGACCCAAUCCUGCCAUCCAAUUGGUGAAGAAAUUGAAUUUGAUUUGUCAAAAUACAAGAAAUUAAAUUUGAUUUUCCAAGAAACAAAAUUUUGAACUUGAUUUUUGAUUUUUUUGAAUUUUUCUGAUUUUUCGAGAGAAUCUUUUUCAAAAAUAAUUUGCCCCAGUGUAGGGCCCUUUUCUCUUCUUUCUUCUCUUUCUUCGGCAUCGGCCUUCUACAUCGCCAGAUGCUUUUCGUCGACUUCAACUGUGAAUACCUGCACAGGGCUUACGUGCACUCAAAUGAGCGUGACUGAUUUGAAAAAUGCAUUAUUCUGAUUCUUGGAUGAAAUCCUCAAUUGGACUACAAAAAUAUUUGCCCCUGUGUGGGCUUAUCUAAUUGCAAAAAUGUGUUUGGAUGAAGCUUCAUUUAUUUGAACAAAGUAAGGAACUGUGUUUCCUAUACAAUGCGAAGAAAUCUAAAAUGUCUUGCUUAAACUCAUACAGAAAAUUUCAUGAUGAAUUUUCUCAAGAUAACACCAAAUUCAAGAAGAUUUCUUCCUCACUUUUAGCAUCGGUGUUUUGGGGUAACGGGUCACCACUUUCGAUUGGCUCAUCUUUCAAGACCAAUCAAGUGGGCGUUAUUUCUGACUUGGAAGUGGCUGAAGGAAAUGGGAGGUCAUGAUUUGUCUCAUUUUGUGCUCAUUCGAUAUCACGUCUUCAUGAAAGCAAAAUAGUUUGUCACCCUUAUUUCUUAAGAAAACUUAGUCAACGUAUAAGCUUCAUGGGCUUGCAAAAAUUUUGGGUAGAAAUGAUAGCUAAACAUGUGAAAUCUGGUUAUACCCUUAUGAUCAUGAGUGAUCGAUGGAUUUUUAUGAGCAUAAUCCUCACUUUGGAUUGUCAUGAAUGAAUAAGUCAACGAUGGACUUUAUUAGCUUGUAAUUUGGCUUGAGAACGACAGCUAAAGAAAUAAUUUCCAAAGGACAUUACACCACAGAUCGCAUUUUUCAACAUUGCCUUCAUCUGGACUCCAGAUUCUUGGACUUUGUUUGACUUUUUAUCAUCACCCAACAGGGUCUUUCAACAUCAAAUCUUUUUGCAUCUUUCUUUUGCAUUCAUUUCGCUCGUUUUUCUUUUCUUUUUCCCUCUUUUCAGAAAUACCUUCUCGGGGUUUCAUAUGAAGAGCAGUGUCAACCUCACGCCAAAUCAAUUCAGAAAUACAGCUAAAAUUUUCGACAUCAGAAAUUUUCUUAACAGGGCCAUUGCUAAGAACAGAAGUCAGGGCUUUCGGCUUUUGUAAUGGGGUCAGGUGGGGUGCUUAGAAAAGUUAAGGCUUGAAAACGGAUUUCAAAGUGGUUUGAAAAAUCCGUGAUCGCAUUGUUGCGCCAACCCUAUUUCAGGGUUAAAUCAAAAUCUGCCUCAGUUUUUGCUCAAUUGAGGCUUUUCACUUUCAUUUUUCUUUUUCCUUUUGACUUUUCGGCCUUUUUGCCAUUCUUUGAAAUUUCACAAAAUUUGCCCCAGUUUACUUUUGAACUGAGGUUCUCUUUUCUUCUUUUGCCUUUUGAUUUUGUGGGUUUUCACUUUUUCGCUUCUUGAAAUUUUCUUUUUCAACCCAACUUGCCCCAGUGUGGGGUUUGCGAUUCUCAGGGGGUGCCAAAUGAAGUAUUUUAUUCUGAAGGCUCAAAAGGGAUAACUAGGGAUAGAACGUUUGAUUGGAAAAGAAGAUGGCCUGACUUGUAUUCCGUUCCUUACAAUAACUCUGAAAGGAAACUUUCAUUAAUAGGAAAUUUCUGGCAUGUAUCUGAAUUAACUGAUUGGGGAAGACCCUUGUUCAUCCAUAUUUGUGAAACAUAGGUGAUCCACGCGGACAAAUCUCUUCCUUUUCUCUUUUUUCCAAAAUUCGGAACCCAAGUGGAGUCAAAUUUCCCCAAUUUGCGGUUCCCUCCUUAUUCGAGCAUUUUUGCUUUUCCCCAUUUCUUUUCCUUUUUAAAAUUUCCCAAUCUCCUUCCCCAAUGCGAGGUACGAUCAUAAGUGCAUUCGAAAAGAACCACCAAUUUUAGCUCAAAUGAGGACGCAAGGGAUAAAUGGUGUUUAGAUUGAAGAAAUGAUGGCCAAAGUAUCAUUCUUACACUUCAUGACAACCAGAGAAACGAAAUGCUCAUUGACAAUCCAUUCCCUUUUGAAAGUUUUCCAAUGUAGGGUAGAGAUCAUUAAGGCGUUUAUUUGGAAGGAAUUUAUUCUUCUAUAGGCUCAAAUGGGAGAGCAAAUGAUAAAAAUCUGUAUAGGUAGUGAAACGAAUGCUUGAAGUAUCAUUCCAAAUUUUCAAACAAAUAAGAAUAAUGCACAUUUUUGCUUUCACUUAGAUGUGAUUGAAUCGGAUUAGUUACCGCGGACAUUUUCAAGCAAAAGUUGCCCCAAUUUACAAUUUAUCAAUCAAUGUGACUGAUUUUAUUUUGGGGUCAAAUGAAGGAGAAAAGGAAUCUCAUAGGGCCUUUUGAGUGACCUCUUUUAAUUCUGAACACUCUUAUUAUGAAUUUUCAGGCCGGAGGUUGAAAAAAUCCCAAUUUAGUCUUAUUUCUUAAAAUUCAUCAUGAAAUCUCCAAUGAAUAAGAAUAAAGAAUGAAAUGUACAUAAAUAUACACAAAACAAUGAUUGUCCAAAAAUUUUAUUGCUGAAAAAGUUUGAAACAAAAUUUCUCAUUCGAUUACGAUACAAAUGAGAAGAGAGAGACUUGUAAAGAGCUCCACAUAUACACUUUUUGUCUCCUUUUCAAAUAUACAAAAUUUUCCUUUGGAAAACAAUUACAACAUCUCUCAGAGGCUUUGGCGUAGAGCUUCCAGAUAAAUCAUUUAUGUUUUCGUUGUAGGAUCUGCCCAAGAAUCAAAUAACACUUGCAGUUUUGACACUUUAUUAGAUCGAAAGUGCCGUCAGAUAUAGAAAAAUAUUUUCCCUUUAUUGAAGUAUUUUUAUGAAUGCAGGGAAGGGGGGAAAACAAAAGAAAAAUACCCAAAGUUAGUAAUCAAAACCAUAAAAUCGGUAUGCAUGCCCUAUGGUGGAAUCCUUUUAUGCCAAGGGUAGGCCUAGCAUGAAAAUGCAAUCCUCUAGGGUAGGCACCAUACAACACCUGAUGAAUCCGAUCAACCGCUAGAGUGAAAAAUGAUUUGGAAAAAUUUGGCCAAUUGAAGUGAAAAGAGACAUUUGUCCUAAAAUGAGGGAAAAGUCCGAAUGGAUUGCUACUUUGAUCGAUGCAUGGAAUAAUGUGUAAAAGGGAUUGCAAUGUCUCAAUUAAUUUAUUCGGUGACCCUUAGACUUAAACCCUAAAAAGGGAAAAAACGGGUCAAAUAGAUUGGAUAAAAUUGAUGAUUUAUUUAAAAAUGACCAAAUUGCCCUAAAAAUAGGUAAACUGGCCAAAUGAAUUAAAUGAAAUUGAUGAUUUAUGCAAAAAUCGACCAAAUCACCCUAAAAGGGUAAAUUGGUCAAAUGAAUUGAAUGAUUUUCAAAAAUCGACCGGAUGACCCUAAAAAGGGUAAAUUGGUCAAAUGAAUGGAUGACUUCUCAAAAAUCGACCGGAUGACCCUAAAAAGGGUAAAUUGGUCAAAUGAAUGGUUUAUUCAAAAUUGAUUAUGAAUUGAUAAAAUGGAUCGAUUGAAUCGUCCGACCAUUGGUGGUUUCAGAAAAUUAGUCUAUGAGCCUUCUAAAAUCACGAUUUGGCCUCAAUUUAUUUAUCGUCUCAAUAAGAGGAAUCAUUUGUGAAUUUCUUCAAAUUAAUGUCCUUCACGCAGGGGAUUUUUACCAAUUUUUGAUAAAAUGGCCAAAAAGUGAUUAUUAGAUGCUCAUAUUCCAAAGAUCACUCUAUGAAAAUGAUCGGAUCCUACCUUACCUUGUGCACUACCCCUUUGGAUGGUACAAAAAUGUAAACGUGCAAGUCUCACUGGAUUAAGUAUCCGAGACACAAGGUGGCUUAUUCCUAAACACGGGAUUCCCUAUGUGGCAUUCCCUUUCUAUGGUUUAUGCAUGAUGUCAUUUAUUAAAGUGAUAUGAACAUGUGACAAACAUGGCCUAAAGGAUAUAAAUAAUGCAACGGGGGGAAAAGGUCUAAACAUGAAAUGUACUUAUUGAAAAGUAAGUGCAAAGACUGAAAUCUAGACAUGUGAGCUAUCUAGUGGGUGAGUCACUAAAAGAGUGCCAAAAAGGGCCUCUUAUCGCUAAGGCAUAUGAAUGCAAGCCAAGAAACAAUGAAAUGGUUAGUGCAGUUGAUAGUACACAUAGCACAUUGGGAGCAAUUAAGAAAAGAAAUACAAUAAAAACAAGUAAAAGGGGUGGAACCCCUUCCCUCGUGCCUAAUGUGCUUAAAAUAGGGUGAGGCUGACUCUAACCUAGGAAAAUUCUAACAUGGAUGCAUGAGGCUGGGGUUCACUAAUGCCUAGACUCGAUAAAGCUUCGGCUCCCAAGCCUUCAGACCUAAAGGCGAAGGGUCAUCACUCCCAGGGCCUUCGAUCGGUGGCUCGAGUGAUCCCUUAGGUAGCGCUAUGGGCGCAGAGCACACCAGCCGCCUACCCAAGGCAAUCGAUCCUAAUCCUACAAGGCGGUGUGGGAAACGCCCACGAAAAACAAAAUAAAAUGGGAUAAAAGCAAGUAAACGUGCACGUAUGAAGUGCUCCCCUAUUUUGAGGGAAGGGGUUGAGAACCACGCGAGGCUCUAAAGGUGACACACCCCCUCCCAAAUGCAAUGCAAGCGCGAGAUAACUAAAUAAACAUACAUCCAAUCAACCAAUCACACGUACGUGAGUGAGGGAAUAGUUGGAUAUGCGCGCGAGGCAAAAAGGCCCUAAAAAUGGAAAAUGCAACCCUAAUAUCCAAAUGCAAUGCAUAAAAAGGGUAGAAAAAGGAAACGAAUGGCUAAGUCAAAUGCUUGGACCCACUUAGGAAGUCCCCAGUGGAGUCGCCAACUGUCGCGCCCCACUUUUUGAAUGAGUUGAAUGUGAGUGAUGUGUGUGUGAAGUGUGGUGUGAACGUGUGCAAAAUGAAAAGUAAAAAGGCCAUGGGACUUUGGAAAGCGACGAUUUGGCCAAAGAAAUUUUUAAAAAAUGGUUUUUUAAAUAUGAAAACGGAGUCGCCACUUGGUAUAGAUUUGGGGUGUACCAAGUCACCCAAAAAGUGUUUUUUAAAGACAAAGUAGUAAAACCCUUUUUAAAACGACUCCUAGUCCACGUAAACCAAAGAAAAAGGUUCGGGGGUCACGUUUGACAAAGGGGAAGGCAAGGAUAGAAUCCAAGGCACCCCUUUGACCUAGCCAAGGCUAGUUGCGCGACUCAAACCAAUUUUUCCUAAUUUUUCUACCCAAGGUAUGUAUCGCGUAUUGGAUAUGUCUAUAUGAAUGCAAAAACCUAGACCUAGGGGGAUUGGGGGAAAUUUCUCUUCAAAAGUUGAGUGGUGCCAAUCACAUUAAUUGUGAAGCCCAAUAAUGAUCCUUUUGGAGAGGUCACACCUAAACCUAAAUGACGUGAAAAAUGAGUGGAAUGCAUGCCAUGUGAAAGUGUGAGUUUGUGUGAAGUGAGAAAAAUGAUAAAAGUAAUAAGAUAAGAGUGAAGGUGUGCAAAUGUAGAUGAAAGUACUCGUGUGCGAGCGAAGAUAAAAUGCUCGUGUGCAAGUGAAGAUAAAAGGGUUCAUGUGCAAGUGGAGACAAAAAAGUGUUCGUGUGCAAGCGAAGGUGAUAAAAAGGUGCAUGUGUGCAAAUGAGACAAAAGUGAAAGUGUAAUGAUAGAGUGGAUUGAGAAUGCAUGAGCCUAGGGAAUUCAUGCAUAUUGGGUACGGGGAGACCUAAAUCGUGACUUGAUUUUCCCUUUGAUUAGAAGGCGAAACUAGCGUGCUAAGGCUAUCGAGUAGCCACACUCGCUCGUUUCCCUUAUCGGAAGGGGACACUCAAGCAAAAUGAACCCUAUAACUAUCAUGAUAUGCAAAAAUCCUAAAAUGAAGGGAAAGGGGGUUCGAGGAGCAUGCCAAGUGAUAAAACUAAGAGAAAUGCAUGAUAUGUGGUGAACAAGCAAAUGAUAUGCUAAUGAGGGGAAAUCCCUAAGGGUCUAGCGUUGGACUAGCCCAUUCUAUGAAUUCCGACUAGCGUUGGACUAACGGAAACGUACAUUCAUCCAUUCCAUUCAUUCAUGGCUAUGAAAGCAAGUAGACAUGCCAAAAUACUCGUAAACACAUAGCACAUAGCAUUUAGCAUGCUCGACUAGAUGCAAGAGCCUAAUAAAGCAAUUAAACAUGUAGCAACAAAAACAAGCAAGGGGAAGGGGAAGUGGACCAGAUGCUCUCCGAGCCCUAUCUAUUACAAGCCAAGAGGUGUACACAUACCCCAUAAAAGCAUAAAGGGGAAGGGGAAAUGGACCAGAUGCUCUCCGAGCCCUAUCUAUUACAAGCCAAGAGGUGUACACAUACCCCAUAAAACUUAAAUAAAAGUAAAAGCAAGUAAAUGCAUGCAAGGAGGUAAGGAAAGCGGAGUAGGCAUGUAUAUUCACGUAACACGUAGGAGCACGUAGGGUCAAAUGAAGUGCAAAUGAAGGAUAGAGUGUACCUCCCUUGAAGCGACGCCCUAACGUAGUGAAAUUACUAAUUUACCCUCCAAAAUAAUGAAAAGGGUCAAAGUACCACUUUAUUUAAGAAAAAUCAUAUGUAACAGAAAUUAAACACAAAAAUGGAAAUUAAGCAUGAAAUGAGCAUUAAACAUGGAAUAAAUCAUGCAAGUGUAGGCAAACUCGGUCCCAGAUAAAAGGUUCCAAAAUCCUAAGAUGAAGUUUUAAAUUGAAUGGAUUAAGGUGGACAAAACUUGGCUUGGGCUAAAUCCAUCAAAACACAAGAUUAAUGCACUCAUUUAAAAGCAAAAUAUGAACAAGACAAUUUGAAUUCACUAACUCCUUCAAAAAUCAAGACACCACAAGUAGCUAUGGAAUUUAACCAUUAAAGCCCUUCAAAUAACCAAAACAAGUCCAUAUUCAUCAAAUGAGAUUCCAAUUUGAAAAGGAAAGAAAAUUCGAAGGAUCAAAUUGAUUGAUCUUUUCAGAUGCUUGGGCCAUGGUAGAAUAAAGGGAAACUUGGGGGGGGUUAAAAUGCAAUUUUUGAAAGUCAUUUACAUGCAAUGUUCAUGCAAUCCACGUAGAAGGCUUCUACGGUUCCAAUUCCCAUACAACACAAUUUCUGCAGCUUUAACUUUCAACCAUGCAAUUCAUUUGCACAAACAAAAGAAGAAUAUGGCAUUUUAACCAGAAAAAUCAUCUCGGCAAACCGUCAUAAUGAAGCAAGAAUUGAAAAAGUUCAAGUUACGCCAGAAAAUUCAGCAACUAAAGAAAGGAAGAGCUGCUACAACAAGCCAUGAGUUCAGGCUUAUUGCAGCAGAUUUUUAUGCCCAAAUCCCAACCGCGUGCAAUCUAAAACCAAACAAAAGGAUCAUCGAACACGUUGCUCUUUGAGCUUGCAUCGGCCAAAACAGAUUCCAUAAAACAACUUUGAGAUUGCUCCCAUUAAAACAUGGUUAAACAUCACUUAACAAAUCAAAUAGCUGGAAGAAAUCCAUGCAAAGUUGACAUGCGAAUACUACAAAGAAACAAACGGCAACCUGAAGCUAUUGUUCUACAGCAAGAACAUUUAUUAGUGAAGCUUUCUGCAAUCCAAACAAUACCGCAGCAGCUAUCAAUCUCAACAAAUUUCUGAUAAAACUUUUCAAACCAAACACUCAAAAUUUAAUCUAAGCAACCUGACACAGCAUGUCAACAUCCAAACAAACCAAAAACAUAGAAAGAAAAUCACACAAGUGCUUAGAGAAAAGUCCAGCAAGCAUUCGGCAAUUGGAGUUGCUCAUUUUCCAGCAAAGCUGUGAUCAUGGCUCAAGUGCUUAAGACCCAAAUAUGCAAACCCAAACACCACUCAUUCUAUUUUCUUUCAAGGCAUCAGGUCAAGAAACAAACCAGGUAAUGAACUCAAAUGAUAGACAUGACAUUCAGAUCAGAUUUUCACAAUCAUCAACUUAACUCAAAUGCGUGAACUUGGGGACAGGGAGAUCAACCACGGUGCAACCAUGACAUCAAGAUCUAACUGCUAACCAUGUCUAAUGCUCUUUUAAUAAAUCUUUUGGCCAUUAAAGCACAGAUCUUUGAAUCGAAAGGGAUCAGGAAAGAGAAACUAACGGAUAAAAUAUGCAUUAACCAAGAAAACUCAUGCGAUGGUUCACCGAACCUUCAUAAAAAAAUUGAGUUGGCUGGAUCAAGAUGUACUCGUUACCUGCACAUUGUUAGAGAUCGAACCGGCUUGAGGAGAAACGAGAGCUUACAUCUGAAGCAAAUGGACACGGAGUAGGAGAUUGUCCGCAACUUCAUAAGCUUGAUGAAGUGAACAGGUGAGGUCUCGUCCAAAGCUUCUUCCCAGAUUUCAGCAUUUAGUUUUGCUCUCCCGAAGUUUCCUUCUCCCAAUCUCCCUCUUGAUCUCGGUUUUGCUAGGUUUUCUUGUUUUUUUCCUUUUAGUUUUUCCGUUUUCCAACCCCCUCUUCUCUGCUCGCAACCCAGAAAUUUUCCCUUACCGCCCUCUUGUUUCCUUGCUUAACUCCGUCAAACCCCUCUCCCUCAGUCCUCUCUGGUUUUCUCUCUCCUUCUCUGUUUUCUUAGCCGAGCUUCCUCUCACUCCCUCUUGCUCUCCUUUCUCUCCCCAAAGCCCGCAGCCUUUCUUUCUUUUUCCUUUGCUGUUUUUCUUUUCCCUAACCGAGCUCUCCCUCGUAUCUUCUUUCCGAUCCUAUCCUCCCUCUCUUCUCCAAAAAUCUCCCCCCUGCGGCUGGCUUUCUCCUUUGCUUUUUAUACCAGAAACCUCACAACCCUAAACACUCCCAGCCAUCUUCUGUAUUUGCAGCCCAAGGAGCCGUCCCAAACUUUCCUUGCAAGCUGCUACAAAUGCAGCUUGCCGCGGCUAUCCUUUUUUUUUUUUUCAACUUAAUAAAUACAUAAUAUAAAUAAUAAUAAUAAUAAUAACAAAAUGACCAAAACCAUGUAAUAAUAAUAAGAAUGAAAACAAAUAAAUAAAAAAACAAACUAAAUAAAUAAAAACAACAAAAAUGUCCAUUUUUUCAAAUUUUCUUCAUUUUUCCUUUUUUCUCUUUUUUUUUUUCCAAAAUAACUUAAUAAAAAUAACUAAAGUGCAAAAAGGUUGAAUUUAAAGAAAUAAACAUAUUUUUGUGAACAAAUUUCCCUUUUUCUCUUUUUUUUUUUUUAUGAUUUUUCCAAGAAAACUAAAAACCUAUUUUUUGAAUGCUUUUUUUUCCUUUUUCUUGUUUAACAAAUUCUAUGAUAAAACUUAAAAAUAAAAAUAAAACUGGAAACUAAAAACUAAAAAUGAACACAACAAAUAAAAAACUAAAAAUGGAAUUUCACCAAAAAUUUGGUGUCUAUACUACCUGGUGGUAGGUAAUACAUUCAGUCCUUCGCGGAAUCCUUCAAAGAGAAGGGAAAAACUCUCAUCUUUAUUUGCUCUUCUGUAAUUUCCGGAGGUUUCAUACUGUUGCAAAUGACGUCAAAUUCUUGCAAGUGCUUGUAGGGCUCCUCACCUGAUAAACCAUGGAAAGAUGGUAAAAGAUGAAUUAGACCGGAUUUUAACUCAAAAGAUGCGUUAUCAUUUAAACUUGAAAAAAUAAUGCAUAAAGGUUGUUGAUUUAAAUUAGGAGCAGCCAACUUCCUUAGUGUUCGUGCAUUUGCCAUGGUGACUUCCUCUUGAUCCGAAUCACUCGAGUGGUCACCCUGCAAAUUUAUCGACUUCACCUCUGGAUCCAGUCCUUGAGGUGCAACACUGGAUUGUUCCUCUCUGAACUGUCUAGUUUCUUUCCUAGUUUGGCGUGCUGUCUUCUUUACUUCAGGGUCGAAAAUCAAUUCGCCUGUACGAGAAGAACGAGGCAUAAACUAGAAAAAAUACCAGCAAAUUAAAAAGAAUUAACACUUAAAAAGAAACAAAUAAUUAACGCUACUCCCCGGCAACGGCGCCAAAAAUUGACAGGUGCCGAACCUGUACAAUAAUAAAAAUAAAUCUAAUUGCCAAUAAAAGCAGUCAAUAAUCAAUUUUAGGUACUGGAGCAGGGACUUUAGGUGUGCAAUGGGUUACUUGAUUCAACUUGUUCCCGAAAAGUUUGCUUAAUCCGAUAUACCAGAAUUAAUUAGUUGACAGAAAUUACUAAAUAGUAGACAGUGACAAGUAGGGUCGUCUCCUCAAGGACUGAGGUUAUUUGUCUCUUUGAAAUUCCAAUUGACAAUGGGGGGUUUUAUCGGAGUAAAGAUAAAAAUAAUUAAACAAUUCCACUAAAAAUAAAUAAUUAACUAGCACGAAUAUAGUAGGAAUUAAAUCAAGAAUAGAUAAAUUCUAGUCAAGAAUACAACUAUUCAGACACAGUCCACUCACCCAAUCAUUGAUACAAGGAGGUUCACUUAAUUUAUUAAUAGGUUAGUUAUAGUCACCGACGAAUUCUAAUGACCAAUUUUUUUCUUAAUUUAUUGAUAACCAAGGUACAACUAUUGAUUACCCCUAAUCAGAAAAUACUCCUAGGUAAGACCGUAGGAAUUAAUUUUUCAAUUGCAUUAAUAAUUAGAAAAAUCUAAUCCCAACCAAUAACGCGCUACGAGGGUUAUUUAAAUUAGAUUGCACGUUCCCCUAGUGUGUAAACACGUCAGUUGCCACUAAUAUUAAUCAAUCAAACAAUUACGGAUUUAAUUGAUUAAUUUGGCAGGAGAUUAAUAAGUCACAUUGAACAUCGGGUCCUUGACAUUCAACAAUCCCAUAAAAAUUCAAACAGACAACGUGCAAAUAUUAACAAAUUAAGAAACGCAUAAAAACUAAUUAGAUCUCACAAGUAUUCGAGACUGCGCCGUCGAGUUGAUUCUCGACUAGAUGAAAGGCUUAACCAUGCCACAUAAAUGAAUCUCUACGCAAAUUAAUUGAUUGCAAAGGCAUCACCAUUUUCACUAGAAAGCAAGAAUAAAAGAUGUAUUUUUUCCGUUGAAAAAUAUUGUCGAACAGUUGACGUGCGCCAAGCAAGAAUAAAAAAAGAAGAUAAAAAAACUAUCGUCCAAGACUAAACAUCUCGCGUGUGUCCCCCCAAGGGAAAAAGAAAAGAAAAGGUCUUGUUUGGAUUGCGAUUUUUCAUCGGAAAGUUACGUCAUUUUUCAUGAUCACAUUUCCCUAUUACCUUUUUUCCUCACAUACAUCAAAUCGUUACAGUAAUUUUCUCAUGAAAAAUCAUGAAAAAUACAAUCCAAACACAACCUUAAUAUCCCCUUAGAUUUUUUUUUUCCAACAUUUCACAUUAAUCCUAAAUCUUAACCACAAAAAUCUCAAAUUUUGACCGCUAUCCAUCCACAAUACUUAACUAUCCUAAAACUAUUGCUAAGAACCAAUUGCCCCCGAAGCCUAUGUACGUUUCUCCCUUUUUAAAACCAAAAGAAAUGACUAAUGCUUCCUUUGUGGUCCCUACCGAAUUUAGAGUCAAAGUACAAGAAAGUCCAAAGCCCCUGAAUGUUUCCUCUUUUCUAGUUUUCUAUUCCUAGUCAAAAACUACAAUACUCAAGGGAAUGCCAUCCGUCUCUAGCAUUCCGUGGGCCAGCCUUGUGAGGCUUCCAUUUGGAGUCUUCCAAAUUCACGUCCAAAAGUCCUUCAUUUUUUAUAGUUGUCUGCUCCAUUUUCUGAAAUUAACUCCAGAUGUCAAAUUAAAGUAGACAUCAAUAAUUAACACAAUAUGUGACAAUAAUAAAAGAAAAAAUUAAUAAUAAAAUUACUAAUAAAUAAUACCCUAUUAAUUUGCUAACUCCUUAUACAAUCUUUUAACCUCCUCAUUUUCAUAGAAUAGAAUAAAUUAAUUUAUAAAAAUAUUAUCAUUACCAUAAAAAAAAAACUUACAUCCACAACAAAUUCAAAUACACGAUCAACUAAGAGAAAAUGGUCCCUCUGAGCAAAAACUUGGUAAACCGAUCAGUGUACUCCUCUCAGACCACUGUGCUUCCUUAGGCUCUGGACACCACCAUCCCUUAUCAACUCCAAAUCCUACUUCCUAGUUCCUACCCUCCAUGCCUACCCCAGUCAUUUCCAGCCCUUCCUUAAUUACUCCCUCCCACAAAAUCACUGCUCCCUUCCUACCCCAAUCAUCAUCACAUGAUCACCAUUUAUAUAUCCAUACGUUUUCAUUACUUCCUCUAUCUUCCCUCCCCAAAAAUUGUGCUUCCACCGACACAUACUUGAUACUCCUGACUACCCACUUGCCUACCCCAAUGGUCACUAUCCCUUCCAUUAAGUCACUGCUUCCUUCCUAAACAUGAAUAAACACAGCAAAAUUAAAUAAUAAAACAUGUUUAAAACACUCAAAAUAUGCACUUAUCAGUAAUAUAUUUUCUAACUUUAGAUCUCAAUUUAGCGAUAUGUAUUGAGCACUAUUUCAAUUUUCUAUGAUAUGAAAAAUUAAGUUCAAUAUUUAAUACGAAUUUUUAGAGUAAGUUAAAAAACCUGGUGAGCUGCUGCCUUACAUCAUCAAUGACAUUAAAUUUAUUAUUUUGUAAAAAUGAUAAUUAAAUGUUCACUUCUAAAUUUUCUUCUAAGGUUAUUGUGGAAUUUAGAGAAAUUAAUUCUGCGUCAAAAAAAAUUCUUUUGAACAAAAAAAACCUUUAUUAUCUUUCUCUAAGAAAAGAAAAUCUAAGUGGGAAAAAUUUACCCCAUGAGAUCUUUAGAUGUACAAUUAUGAGCCUUAGGUUAAACAUUUAUGAGCCUCACCUCACAAGCUCAAUAAAUGUUUGUAAGCAUGUGCUUGCUUUCAAAUGUUAUUUAAUUGCAAGGGGGCCAGCUGCAUUAUCACUAAAUAGUUCGUACCACAAGUUUUUUUAAAAUUUUUUUUUUAUCUCUGUACUCUCCUCAGCUCCCUUAUCAACUCCAAAUCGUGCCUCCUACCCUCCAUCCCACAAAAUCACUGCUCCCUUCUUUACCCCAUUCAUCAUCACCGUAUUAUAUACCCACACAUUUUCAUUACUUCCUCUAUCUUCCAUCCCCAAAAAUUGUGACUGUUCCCUUCCUCUUCUAUGCUUCCACCAACACCUACACCUGACUACCCUCCUUGCCUACCCCAAUCAUCACCAUCCCUUACCUAACCCCUUCCUCCCCUAAAGUCCCCUAAAAUAAAAUUAAACAACUAUUGCAUUGAAUCUAAACUAAUCUAUAUAAAGAAAAUUCCUCAUUGAUGCUAAUAGACUAAUUAACAUAUUUACAAUAACAAUAAUUGAUGCCCAAUACACCACUCAUGCAACUUUCAGAAACUGUAAAGAAACAAACAACCUCACUUAGUGGAUAAAUUCCAUUAUUCUUCUAAAGUUAUAUGACUAUUACGAAGGACAAUACGCUUUAAAGUUAUAUGAGUACAAUCAAUUAACAUAUCUAGUCUAUCGGAGAAUGUCAAUCUUUCCAAUUGAUUUCAAUUGUUGAUGUGGUGCCUCCUUAUUGGUCAAUUAGUGAUAGCCUUCCAAUUGAUUGUAAUUUGAUCAAACAUAGGCUUGUGAUUCAUCAAUUGAUGGUAGUCCUUCCAAUUGCACACAGAAUUGAUGAUGUGGCCAGUUUUGAUUGAAUGGGAGAUGGUAAUUAACAUAUUGCAUGUGGGAUUGUGCUAAAUUUUGGUCUUUUAUUAAUUUUUCCUUUUCCAACAAUAAAUUGUGCUAACAAAAAAUUAGCCUCCCUUUUUUUUUCUUCUUGUCCAGCAAAAUCACGUUUAACUACCAAUCUUUCUUGAUUAAUUAAUCAUUAUUAAUAGCUCAUUAAUAAUGCCGUGUUUUUUGAUGGUAAAUUAAAUAUAUGUUCCGCCUUUUAUUGCCUAACAGAUCACACCUAAUUACCAAUUAUUUACAAUUAUUGACACUCUCGUUUGGUUGCCAAAUGAAUCAUAAUUAAUUAUCUUUUUUUUAAUUGCAUGUGUUAUGCUCCAACUGUGACAAAAUUGGCUCCUUUUUUUCCGUAAAAACAACCUUGCACAUCGCGUUUCUCUUUAUUAUUAUUUUUUUUUGGGAAUGAGAGGGGAAGACAUUUAACAAUUAUUAUCAAAUUCUUCUAAUUAUCUUUACUUAUUAUAUUAUUAAUUCUGUGCAAACGAUUGAUAAUGUGGUGCCCUUCCAGUUGUGUUAAUAACGUGGCAACAGGUACGUUUAGUUACAAAUUUUUAAAGUUUUCUCAAUUAACUAUUAAUAACUAAUUAAUAGUUUCAUGCAUUUGGUCGCACAACACACCACGUUCAGUUAUCAUUUCCCACUCUUUUUUUUUAAAAAAAUAAAACCUGAUUUUAUUGCACUAGAAUGGACAUAAUACAACUCUCAUCGCAAUCUUCUCCUACGAAAAUUGGGGAGACCUAACUGCUCCAGUUGGAUCUCACCCCUAACCCUAGCAGGCAAUUCGCGAUGACUCCAUCAUUUCCCACUCUUAAUUGUUAAUUAAUUAAUUGAUAUUUUUGCUAUUUUAUUGCCUCAAAAGUGAUAUCUAAUUAUCAGGUUUUUGCAAUUAUUACCACUUUCUUUUGUUUGCUAUAUAAAUAACAAUUACUUAUCAUCUUUUCUUUUCAAUCACUCGUGUAAUGCUCCGAUUGUGAAAAAAAUUCCUCCUUUAAAAAAAUAUGGCGAAUUAUUUUUUUAAAAAUGGUUUUUUUCCCACGGAAUGAGUGGGGAAAACAUUUAAUUAUUAUUACCAAUUUUGUGUAGCUUCUUUUUCCAGUUUUACGCAAACGCUGGAUUAUGUGGUGCCUUUCCUGUUGUGUUAAUAACGCCCUGUUUCUUUUGCCGAAUGAAUUAUGUUAUUCAACGUGUCCUUGUGCUAAGAAAAUUGGCCUCCCUUUUUCUUGGCUUGUCCAACAAAAUCACGUUUAGCUACCAAUCUUUCGCUAUUAAUCAUUAUUAAUUAAUAGGUAAUUAAUAUGGCUGCUCUUUUUUUUUUGUUGGCGCCUAACAAAUCGCAGUUGAUUUACUCAAUUUUUUCCUAUUAAUUUUUAUAAUUUAAUUUAAUUACUGAUCCGCCCUUUGUUGUGUAACAGUACAAACUAAUUACCAAUUAUUUACAAUAAUUAACACUCUCUUUUUGUUGGCAAAUAAAUCACAAUUAAUUAUCUUUUUUUUUAAUUGCUUGUCUUAUGCUCCAACAGUGACAAAAUUGGCUCCUAUUUUUUGCCAAAAAAACUACCGAAUCAUCUUUAAAAGAAAAUGUUGCUCUUUACUUUUGUGGAAAUGAGAGGGGAAGAUGUUUAACUAUUAUUAUCAAAUUUUCACAAUUAUCUUUAUUUAUUAUUAAUUCUGCACAAACAAUUGAUAAUGUGGUAUACCCUUCCAGUUGUGUUAAUAACUUGUUUAGCGACAAAGUUAUAAAGUUUUUUCAAUUAACUGUUAAUAACUAAUUAAUAGUGUCGUGUAUUUGGUUUCCCAACACACCACGUUUAAUUAUCGAUUUCUCACUAUUAAUUGUUAAUUAACUAAUUUAUUGCCAUUCUUUUCUACUUAAUUGUUAUUUGCUUAUUUUAUUGUUUCACCUAUUAUCCUUAACAAUUUAUAUUUAAUUACCAUCUUCUUUUAAUUAUUAGCUUUGUCUUUUUUUUUUUUCCUGACAUGUUGCAUUUAAUUACCAUUUCCUUUUUUAGAUUAACAACGACUUUGUUUCUCCGCCAGCAAAUCUUACUUGCUUGGCUAAUCUUUUGCAGUUUGUCAUUGCCUCAUUCCCCAACACAUACGGAAUAAAUCAGCAUCCUGUUCCAAUUAUAUGUUACACAUUUAAUAAUGCGGUUAUGUGAGGACGUGUUAAUGUUGAUCCUACCCGAGAAAUAUACUUCUUAUUUUUUUCUUUCAUGUUUGGAUUGUAAAAAAUUAUACUUUAUUUACACACACUGAUUUGCUUGUAUCAUUAAUACAUUUUCUAAUCAUCUUUUUAUUUCACAUACAUCAUAUGAAAAAAGCGCUACAGUACUUUUUCCACAAAAUUUUCUCAAAUAAUUUACAAUCCAAAAGUGUUACAUAAUUUUUUCUGUUGUAACUUGCCUUCUUAUUACUAAUUGACAACUAUUUUUGUUAGUAAAUAUUUUGUUCUUUCAAUUGAAACAUAUACAUGUUUUCUCAAUUCCUUAAUACACUGCAUUCUCAGACAUCACUUGUCCUCCUUUGCAGACGAGUGGUUGUACCUGACCCGAAUGAUGGAUGUUUUAUUUCACUAUAUUACCCAUCCCUUGUGUGUGAAUUUACACUUCCACUCAACAGGCCUUACAAAUUUUUUUUCCCACUUUCCUUAAGGUCACUCUGCACUCUUGUCAAGAGUCACCUGUUUUUGGUUUCGUUGAUUGAGGUGGUUCUAUGUUUUGCAUUUGUACAAUGGUUGCAGAGUUCAUCUGUUUUUUCCCACCGGAUUUUUUAGUGAUUAUCAUCAUGAUUAGCGGUAAUUGUGCAUCUACUACAUUCUUUCUUCUAUUCUAUUGCUUUUGUUUCUUCGCUAGACAGAAAGCAAUACCUCAUAAGCACUGUUCUUUACUUGCUUUUGCUAUUUUGAACUUCCCUUCUUCCUAAUUUACUGGGUUGAUUUUAACUUGCACUGCUGCUGUUAUUACUGGUUUGCUGGUGAGUAUGUUGUCUUCGAGUUCACUUCACUUUGUCAUUCUAUAAUUGUUGAAUUAUUUGAGAAUAUUGUCUUGUUAUUUAUUUUCUUUAUUUACUUUUCUGCUCUCUCAUGCACCGGUUCAGACAUUUUAAUUUUUUUUCCCUCCCUUCUAAACUUUUACCACCGGUUCAUAUUCUCUAUCUACCUCUCUUUUUUUUUCCCCUUUUCUUAUUACCGUUUACAUGAUUGUGGUUUCUUUGUUACUUUUAAAAUUUCAAGGGAGGACAGUGAAACUAUCAAAACCUCAUAUUUUUGUUCUAAAAUUAUCCCCUUUUCUUUUUUUUUAUAAAUUUUGGGUGAGAUCUACUCUAACCACCAUUUCAAGUCAGGCUUUUGUAUUUUUGUUCAUUGCCCACCAUCUUCGCCCCCCACCAAACAAACCCAACAAAUAUCCCCUGUUAUUAUUGAGGAGUUAAGGGGAUUUAGUUUCUUCAGGACAAUUGCUGUAAACUGACUGCUAUUUUAUUCUAUGUUAUACCUUUAAUUACCCCAAAAAAAAAAAACACUACGAGUGAGGGCAUGUUCUGUGAGUCCACAGGUCGCUUACAGUGACACUUACCGUAACACUAGCAAAUUAUCUAUCAUUUCAGUCUUCACAUCAACAGUUGAUACGAACACAUCACCUUUUUGGAGAUAAUGGUCCAUCCACGGUGAGCCAACUCGUGUGUUUGCAUCGACUCUGGAUUCAUGCACGAGCACCAAGGUGAUAAUCAUCCACUUGGUUGCAUCCCUUUCAGAACGAUAGAUACCAGAAGUUACGUUGUACAUAUAUAAAAUUUUGGGAUAAUUUCAGAAACCUCCCUUGAGGUAUAUAAAAUUUCACUUCAGUUUGACAAAAAUAUUUCUAUCAAAGGUCACAAAUUGAUAACAUUACUCUUACUUUCAAUAAUUAUUUAACCAAAAAAAUAAAAUAAAAUUUUAAACCAAAAUAUGUAGAUUAAAAACAUAAAUUAAUAUCUAAUAAUGAUCCAUAUUUCUCUAUAUCAAGGUCGUAGUGGAACAGCAAAAAACGUGGAUAAAUUAAAUCUAAUCAAAGUUAACCACUUGGAAGGAUUUUGGUAAGUAAUUGACACUUUGAAAAAUUUCGUGGACAGUUAUAUUUUAGGAAGUCAAGAAAUUUUUUAGGAAAUAUAUUUUAAUACAUGAUGUAGUUUAAGUUAUAUUGUAAACUAAAAUAAUCUCUUCAUACAUUUGACUUUUUCAAGGCGUAAAUUUUUCAAUAUAACAAAAAUAAAUAGUUCUGAUAUUAAGAGAAACCUUAGGGGAUAUUAAGAAUUUACACCAUAUAAAAAAUUUCAAGGUGAUAUUAAGAGAAACCUCAUGGAGGUUUCUGAUAUUAUCCCUUUAAAUUUUAUAAAUAAGUGGGGGAAGGAUUAACCUCUUCAUGCCAGUAAUGAAGGCCCAGGAAAAAAAACUUAAUUGGAAGUAAGUGAACCACAUAAAAAUGUGGAUGGAAAAUAAAAAAAAAAAAAAAAAGAUUGUCGAUGAUGACAAUUAUUUUUACCUUUCUUCCAUGUCAGGAUAGACCUAUUGUAUUCCCUGACUAGAGCUUGUCUAAUCUAGUGAAAGAGCCUGAAUACAGAUGAAGGCAAUCAAGAUCAUUUGAAAGUUGUUCUAUUUCAAAUGAACAAGAUGCUUUCUUCUUCUUCUUCUUCUUUUUUUUUUUUUGUCAAACUAUGAAGUAUCACCCACUUUUUCUAUACAGCGACAUACCCAUAAGAAGUCUUUUGUAGUGUUGUAACAAAUCCAGACCUCUACCAUAAAGAAAUCAAGAAGUGCGACUCCUCCUUUCCAGUACCUCAUCCAGGAGUUAGUAUAUUUCUUGCGGAUUUAGGGAAUUCUUUUCUUUUGCUCAUAUUCCCUCUCAAAUGGAUUUGAUAGGAGGAGUUUCUACGUCUUACCUGUUCACUUUUACUUGAAUCGUUUCAUUCAAAAUCGUAUAACAACUCUGCUCGAUAUGCCACUCAUGCACCUCACAGAAAAUGUAAAGAAACAAACAACCUUAUGAUAAGUUCCAUAAUUUUUCAUAUGGAAAGCAGUACAAGCUUUCAAUAUUACAGAGUCAUACAUUAUUCACUUGAGAGAUAGAGCAUACAUGGCUCCUUAUUGUUCUUACUUAAAACUGAAAUUAAGUAGAGGUAACAGACUUGAGAAUAUCUUCAUUUUUCUUUAUGAACACCACCGGGUAAGGCUGACCACCUAAAGCCAGUCGCCUGGUUCCAUCGUCAUCAUGAUAGAUGCCAACAUAUUUGCAAAUCGCUUCAGAACUGGAGUCACAAACUGUGGGACAGAAAACAAGCUUGUAACCUUGAACACCGACGGCUUCAAUCUUAAACCAAUUGGCCGUGGUUUCACAUCCCGAGUUCC
rnacentral:lncRNA from 1 species